rnacentral:lncRNA from 1 species
AUUGAUUUGAUGAUUGACAAAGCCAAUCAAUGUGCAGUCAAUCAGUCCGAAUCGGCAGAACGCAGGAUUGAAUUCAAUUUUUUUUACAGCUUCUAUUUUCUUGUCUUGAUUGGGAUCAAGAAACCUUUGAUUGCCUGUGCUUGUGCACCCUGGACACUUGAUUUAUAGUGUUACCUAUGUUAUGUUAUGUUCAGUGAAUCAAUUUAAUACAAGUGACAUUUGGGGACUGAAUCUUGUGUGAUUUUUUCAUUGUGGGCAUGAAUCCUGUAUUGAUCUGCUGUUCUGCCUCUUGUCUUCUGUACAUCUCUCCCUGUCUGCCUUUGUGGCUAGGUUCAGUUGAAUGCUCUAGUUCUGGGAGAUGGUGAUUAGAGACUGCUUUGUUUUCACGCAUUCUUGUUUCAACGCAGGUUUGCAAUUGAUACAUAUCUUUUUAUUCGCCAUUCUUGUUGAUCUUCGUAUCACAUUCCCUUUGCCUUGCAUGUUUAGAAUACAUCAACUGUUUUUACACAGCAAGUGCUAGAACAACAUGAUAGGUAUUUUGUGCAUGAUAGAAAUGCUGUUGGCAUUCUUGGGUUUUCUCCUUUGCAAGCCCAGAAUAUUCUUAAAGUUUUCAAUGAGAGUUUAUGAAUUUGGCAUGUCUUCUUUUGUUUGUUAGAAUCUUAUUACAUUGAUCAUUUAAAAAGAAAGGAUAUUUCAUUGAUGCUAAUAGUGUCCGUCGUUCUCAUGUCUUUGCAAAGUUAGCCAAAGGUUAAGUUUUUUUUUUAAUAUUUCCCAUUUCUUUGUAUUGAGAUGAAAAAGAAGAAAAAGUGGAUUUGUACAUACUGGAAAAUUCAGAAUAAAUUGGAACCGUUAACUAGAAUUCUCUUUCUUUUCUGAACUGCGGUAGUGAACUACUCUUAAAUCAGUAUCCCCCUCCCCCCCCCCGCCCUCCCUCUUCAAUUUCAAUAGCAUAAUAAAAUAUUAUGGCUUUAUGCUUAAUCCGUGUAUAGGUGAACUUUAGGUCUGAACAUCAUUAUUAUCCGAAGAUCCCCUUUAUGUACAUAUCUCUAGGGGGAAUCAUGCUUUAAUUUUUCAAAAUAUUAAAUUAAAUAUCUUGAAUAAAAAAAAGAAAUUCGCUUUUGUGGAUGCAUGUAGUAUCUGCGAUCUCAAGAAGGAACUAGGAAGAAUACCAAUUUACGAUAGGUCAAGGCCUUUGGAUUUUUCCAAUUUCGUUUGCCCUUAGCCAUGGACCAGUUGAGAUGCCUACAAUAUCAUGAAUUUGAAUUAUGUAUUAUGAGGUAUGCAUUUUAAUAUUUCUAGGAGCAACAUAUAUGAUGUUUGUUAUUUUAAUACAGUCGAGCAAUUGUUCCAUACAACAUAUGCUUCAUACUCGAAAUGGUUCAUACGAAAAACAGAACUGUAAAAAAAUAGUAGUUCGUACAUAUGUUUUUGAGCGUAAGUUCAUACAUUAUAUAUGUGCCUUGUCCAAUAUGCAUACCAGCCCAUAUAGUAACUCUUGGCCUCCUUUGUUUUGGACGAAUCUUGUAGAAAUUUUGUAGGAUAGGAUUUCUAUAGAAAAAAAAACCUUUAGAGCCCCUUAGUUGGUAGAAGUAGAAUCUCAUUACUAUGAAGGAAAUCCUUUUAUUCUCUACGUUUCAUAGAAAAAUAAACAUUAGACUGGACUCAAUGGAAAAAAAUUCGAUACGUCUAGAGCACAUCUAAAUGUAACAUAGUUAUUGGACAUCUAAUUGACUAAAUCAAGCAUAAAAAGGAAAAUAAAAAGGAAAAGAAAAUACCCACAUGAAUCUCCACGUAAGAUCAAUGUUAUAGGACUUAGAUGCGUAAUACUUAUCUCACAUCUAGAUGUGUUUUAGCAAAACCGAGAAAAUAAUAUGGUGUGAAUCAAAGAGCAUCUUCAUUCCUAAUCAUAUUCAAAGAAUUUGAGAUACAUGCAUCUCAUUUUCUUUGACUUUCCUAUUCUUAUUAUUUCCCUACCCCAUGAACCAAAGGAGAGCAGCUGGAGCUCAACUCAGAUGUGCUGCAAAUUGCAGUUCGCAGUCCAAACCGGCAAAACGCAAGAUCGAAAUGAUUUAUAAAUCUCUCUCUCGUUGCUAGAUACUACUAAUAAUAAUAAAAACCAUGGUUCGCAGAAUUUCAAAAACACCCAAAUUAGUACUUCCCCUGUCCCAUAAUAAGUAUCGUUAAUUUUGUAUAUGAUUUCGUAUAAAGUUAGUAUUGUUUUUGGACGGAAAGAGAAUGUCAUAGCAUUUGGAACCCUACAUGUAGGAAUCGAGACACAACAAUCAAGUACUGGAAGUUGUUUGUUUGCACCAUAACGAAAAGCAAGAAUUUACAAUGGUAUCCUUAACUCAUCAAGCUUUAAGUUCUAGACUGACACUGGUGCUCACAUAUUUCUGAAUUUAUUUCAAAUCUUUCAACAAUGUACCUAUAAAAGUGGUUGGGGUGACUUCGCCUCUAAACGCCAAAUGAGGCCUAGAGAGAAAAAUAAAUCGUUGAACAUAAUCUUUUUAAAAGUGUUGUAUUUUGUCUAUUUCUAAAUACUUAUAGUUAGGGUGAACUAGGAAGUACGUAAAAUGCAGUCGAACCAAAAGAGAAUUGCCACUUGCGUGAUUUCUUUCCUUGUCCUCUUUGAACGUGAGUGCAUGGAUCUUGGCUGCGUGAUUUGGUUGGAGGUUGGUUGGUUGUUGGUAUAGUGCCGUAUGCGCCGACUGUGACCGACGGACGGGCGGGUGGAGGAGAAGUGCACGGCAGCCGCGUCACGACCCAACAACAGCAUGCGUCGCCGCCCCGGCGUGUCGACGCCGACGGCGACGCGUCCGGCGCCCGACGUGUCACACGGAGGAACCUACCGAGAGCUUUCCGGCCCGGCCGCUCAAAUUUCUUUCCUUUCCUANNNNNNNNNNNNNNNNNNNNNNNNNNNNNNNNNNNNNNNNNNNNNNNNNNNNNNNNNNNNNNNNGGCAAGGGCACCUACGCCGGCCGCCUCUCGCGGCUCCUCGGCGUGCCCCACAUCGCCACCGGCGACCUCGUCCGCCACGAGCUCGCCUCCUCAGGCCCCCUCUCCAAGCAGGUAUAUACUUACAUGUCAAUCUUCUCGUUCCUCUGCGGUUAACCGUGCGGGCGUCGUGGUUCGGGGAAGAAUCGAUGUAACAAGAUUAUGAUUGUGAUUAUGAAUCCCCUGCAAGGUUAGGGAUAAGAUCACCUGCAAGAUUGUGAUUCCCCUGCAUCAGCUACCGAAUCGGCAACAGUCAUGAUGGUUAACUCGGUCUGAAAACACUCACAGGAUUGCGAAGCCUUCAAGAUAAUCCAUUAGAGCUGUUUAUAUGAAACCUGAGUGCAAGGAUGUGCAACUCGCUCGGUCGAUGCCUGCAGCUUAGGAUAGAUUGCUCGAACCCUUGUACUAUGACCGUUUAGUUUUGUGCCGCUACACUUCCAGUAGCAGAGGCACGAAUGGUUGAUGACAAGGCCCAAAUAAGACUAACCUGGAGGUUGUGUACAGUUUCUGAAUAACAAUGUUGAAUUGGUUUCUACUACUCCCUCUGUACCUAAAUAAUUGUAGUUGGGCAGAACUAGUCUAGUUCUGCCCAACUACAAUUAUUUAGGUACAGAGGGAGUAGUUAGCAUGGAACAUGAUCUAUUAUGGAAAGCCAAAUCAGCGUAACACCAACUAGUUUGACUCUGUUUUACUUUUUUUACCACGUCUUGUCUUAUAUCUGCUUCGUUUCCAGCUUUCUGAGAUUGUGAAUCAUGGAAAACUGGUGUCGGAUGAGAUCAUCAUAAAUCUGCUGUCAAAGCGCCUUGAGGAGGGAGAAGGAAAGGGUGAAUUGGGGUUCAUACUUGAUGGUUUUCCAAGAACUAUAAGACAAGCGGUGAGCUAGUUAUUUUACCUGAUUCUAAGUAUGCUGGACAUAUAUACUUGCAUCUUCUCAGUUCGACUUUUAUCAUCGGGGGAUGGGAUCAUGGAAAUUGUAUACAGUUUCAGAACAAAUGUGGAACUUGAUUAUAGUAAUAAUUUUGAUGUACCCUGGUUCAUGUCUAUGGUUGAGAUGAACUGAGUCUUCAAAAUUUUGUGCAGUUUUUUUGUUGUUAGAAAAAACUUAUCCGCUCAUAUCGCGUGACAGUUCGCAAACUAAACUGUAUUGUGUGGUUUGUUAGGAAAUACUAGAGGGAGUCACAGAUAUUGAUUUGGUGAUCAAUCUCAAGCUUCGAGAAGAAGCUCUGCUUGCAAAAUGCGUUGGCAGAAGGAAGUGCAGCCAGUGUGGAGGAAACUUCAAUGUAGCCUCCAUUGACAUUGAGGGUGAGAAUGGUGGGCCUCGAAUGUAUAUGCCUCCACUACUACCUCCUCCACAGUGUGAAUCAAAGUUGAUUACCAGAGCAGAUGAUACUGAAGAGGUGGUAAAGGAGCGAUUGCGUGUUUACCAUGAUUUGGUAUGUAGCAGUGAACCUUAGAUUGCAUUUUUAAGUUUUAUUUGGUUUGUUAUUUAUUUAUAAUUUAUGGAAUCUGAACGAUCAACUUGCACUAGUAGGGCAUACGAAGCUAUGUUUGUUUAGGUAUGAGAUCAGUAGUGUAUUUAGCAGUAUAGAAAAGAGAUGCUAGGUCGUUUAUAUUUCAAAAAAGGUUACCUUAAACUUGCAUGUGUGAAAUACCGAGACAUGUGAGACAUAUUGAACUUUCUUAUUUGCUGAGGUUUUUAUGAUAAAUAUUUACUACUGUUUAGCCAAUUGGCUCUUGAAUUUAUGUGUAUUUGUUGUUCCAAAUUCAGCAAUGAGCACAUUUCAUCUUCCAAACUUGAAAUUAUAUGAUGCAACUCGUAUGGUAAUAUUCCCCCUCACUGGUAUAGGCUAUGAAUAUUUCCUCUAUAUAUUCGAUCAUAGCUCUGUUCUGAGUGUAUGACCCUGGUAUGGGUGUUAUCCUUUUUAAGCAAGCUGUCAUCUUUGCAGUGUGAACCAGUGGAGGAUUUCUACAGAGCUCGGGGGAAACUCUUGGAGUUCAAUUUACCUGGAGGAAUCCCCGAAUCAUGGCCGAAGCUGCUCCAAGCUUUGAAUAUAGAAGAUCCUGAUAACAAUAGAUCUGCAACAGCAUAAUGUUGCGAGUGUCAGAAAUGCGUAUUAUGUAUUAGUAGCCUAUAUGCCAAACGUAGUUUACUUGAUAAGCAUUCCUGGCAUCUCUAGGAAGUAGUUCAUUCAGGGCCAUUAUUUGAUCUGGCACUCAAGAUUUGUAUAGCUGAUUGAUCAUCGAUUGCGCAAGUUCGAUGGGGUGUGCUAGUUGUAUUCUUAAAGGUAUAGCCUCUUAUGUAUCAAAGGGCAGAUGAUAAAUAACCGACAGUUGGCGGUUGGAGUCUGCUGAUAAAGGUUCUUGAAACAAGCAUGCUGCAAAUAUCCUUUUGAAAACAUUAUGCAGGCAGAUAAAUAUUCUUGUGGUAUGCCUGCCUGAGAUUGAGACCUACUCCCUCUGUAAAGAAAUAUUAGAGCAUUUAGAUCACUACUUUAGUCAUCUAAACUCUCCUAUAUUUCUUUACGGAAGGGGUACUUGUUGAGCUUUUUGGUUACCUAUUUUAGAAUGGCUUUUGGUUAUGCUGGCUCCAGACUUCAUUGCACUGGCCCUUUUUAUUAGGGCUAAUGUGUAUUCUCUGUUCCACGUUCAGCAAGGGUUGCACUUCAUCUGCCAAACUUAAUACGUAGUAUUAUUAUUAUAUGGUGCUCAUGGAGCAAUCUCAAUGUUAUAGAUUCAAAAUAUUUUGUUUGACAGUUGAUCUGUUGCAUCCUGUCAGGGAACUAAAUUUUGCGGUGACGAAUGCCCGAAUCGUGGCAAUAAGCUUUGAAUGUAUAGCCCGUACUGAUAAAAUAAACCAAACGUUUCGGAGAAAAGGAAAUACUACUAACCGCUAUCAGAAAACUCUGCUCUCGCAUCUUUUUUUUUAAGAUAAAAGGUGUUUUUGUUAACUCAAAAUAUAGCAUCAAAUGGGUACAAUUCAUGAUGGACAACAUCCGGUCUCUGCAUAAUCAGGACCCACACAACAAGAAGUUCAAAAAAAAGGAUGCACACAACCAAACAUAAAUAAUCCGAAAAAAGACAAAAAAAUAAGGGGGGGGGGGGGGGGGGGUAUCGGCACCAAUAGAGUCAAAUAGAAAACAGACAAACUACUCUGCAAACCCAACUCCUGUUUGGUCCCAGAUGUUGUGGUGUGCCCCCCUGAUCUGAUGGUGAAGGUUUUUGAGGAAGUUCCGGCUGCUUUUCAGAUGGCUCUUGCAGUGUUUCAGGCCAACCAGAGGCCAGCUCUUCCUUGGUUUGAUAGAAAGCUGCAGUUUGUGGGUGCCUCUCUCAGGCUGAUCGAGUUCCUGGGAUCAAAGGAGGUGAUGGUCAACGAGUUCAACAAUCCUUUUCCCUCCAGGAAUGUGGCUCGCGAGUUAUGUUUUGAGGACACUCCCUGCUCUUGAGUGGUUGACAAUCUUCAGUUGCAGUACAGUUCUGUCUUGCAAUCGGCCCAGAUGUCUGAAUUUUCUGAUGAUGGUGCACUCGUUGAACUGUCUGACCCAGCUGACCCGAUGGUGGCUCCGGUUGUUGGAAUUCAGACUUGUUCUGCUAUUUCUUCUCCUGUGGGAGUGGGUUCUGCUGCCUCAAAGAAGCGUGGACGCAAAGCUAAAGUCCCAACUCCAGUUGUCACUUCUGAGGUUAGGAGGAGCAGCCAGAACAAUAUGCUUUGAAGAGAACCAGCCUUCUGACAGUCGCCAACGCAAGUUCGCUACACUUCCCAGUUCCAGUGAUGAUCCCUGAUCCUGCUCCCAGCUCUGAUCAACCUGGCAUUCCUGAUCCCACUCCUAUAGCUUCUCUGCAGCAGGUGGGCACGAUGAACUGCGGCAUACCAGCUCAUGAGCUUUCAGAAGAAAAUCUUCUUCAGCCAAGGAAGGAGGGGGAGCAAUGAAUAAUGGAAGGAUCCAGUCUUCCUUCUGUUGGUGCCUGCUUUAUUAUUUUGGAGCCUGUUAAUCACAAUACCACCUGGUCCUUCGGCCUACAAACCCCGCUCCAUUUUGUCAGCCCGUAAUUUUUUUUGUUUCCGUUGUUUCCUUGCCAAAAGAAAAAUCGGAUCUGAAAUAAUCAAGGCUUGGCAAGACCCUCUUGGGCGUUAAAAAAAAGCAUAUAUAAUCGUAUUUGUGAGGACAGGUCGUGUGACGAAUAUAAUAGCACGAGCUACGUGACAAAAAACAUCAUCGAGAUUAACUUUGCUGGUCUGAAUCAUCCCAUUCUAUUUCUCAAGACCAACCGAGUCAUGUUGCUCAAGUCGUGCUAAAUAUGUGUGUGUUCUAGACGAAGCCCAGGAGGCGAUUAUCUAUACGGAUGAAUGGCUUUAAGGACCUGGCAACAAGUUGACCUAGAUCCUCAUGCUAGUUUAUUGAUGUCGACCUCGACAUCAGAUGAAUUUCCUUUUUUAUGGACAUCAGAUGGAUUUGAAAUUAAGCAAGUUGCGAGAUUAGAUGUGUUUAUAUGUGUGGGUCGUGGGUCUGAGUCACUAGUAAUAUUUUGAGAGACCGAUCGAGUCGUGCUAAAUACUCCAAUUACUAGCAUUUGUUCAGUCCCAAGUGUGCUUAUCUACACAUGCGAUGCGAGUGUAAUUGAAAUGGAUCAAGCUGCGAGAUUAGAGCUGGAUCAGGCGUUAAACAUGUGAGGCUUGUCUGGCGCCCAUGUUCUCAAAGUCAAACAAAUGAAGUAUAUGCGGUUGGCACAUGAAACUUAGUCGACGGCGCUGUGCCUAAUCACGAGCAAUAUAGCUAAGAGAGAAGCCAGUAACUGCGUUGCUUGCAAACACACACACGCACACGGAUAGGCAGAGCGCAAGAUGGCGCAGUGGUGGGAAGAGUGGCAGCUGCGCAUCCUCGUCCUAGCCAGCCUCAGCGCCCAAUACUUGCUCGUAUUAUCUGCCCGCGCUCGUAAGUUCCAUCUCCCGCCAUGGCUCAAAGCUUCGUUCCGGCUGGCGCACCUCGGCAGCGACGCUCUGGCCAUCUUCGUCCUCGCCACGCUCUUCAACCGCCAAAAAGGUGGGCCGCGCUGCAGCUACGCGCGUGGCAGCCGCGAUUUGGAGCUGCUAUGGGCGCCGAUCCUGGUAAUGCACCUCGGCGGACAAGUCGCCAUAACCAGCUACAAGAUUGAAGACAACGAGCAGUGGAGGCGGCACAUCCUAACUCUCUCUCUCUAAGGUCAGUGCAAACUAAUUCUAGCGCCACUUUUCGUUUAGUCAUAGCCUCACAGGAACAUUAAAUUUCCAUUUCGUCAUAUAUGUAUCCCUUGCAUUUGCCCCCUUGCAUCUUCAAGGCGGAACGUCAAAUCUUCCGCAAGCGUCUACAAGUGUUGUUUAAACGCAGUUUGUCAUCGAAUAUGAUCAUGUAUCGAUCCGUCGAACGGCUUAGAUCAUGUUUUACAGAUAUACUGAAGACAAACAGGGAGGAGGAGGGAGGGGGGGAGGGUGUUACGGGUGUCUGGACAUCUACAUGACGAACUAAAAGUCACCACGUGUCCUAUCUCCAUCCAGAUGACGACUACUUGGGGCUAAUUUUUUCACCAAAUGAUAACGCCCACACGUAACGAUAUAUGUUGAAUUUGUUUUGUUCGUAUCUUGACAACGGUUUAUGAAUUUUGUGUGCCGUGUCGACAUCAUCGUGUGUGUGGACAUUGGAGAGUUCGCUCUCAUGAACCAUAGCAUGCGGUUGCCAACUGCACUGUGUGGAUGAACCACUUUCUACCCAUACAGUCAACAUUUAGUCCUCACGCGUGUGGGUGAACUGCUCUUCGUCCACACGACGGACGUAUGUCGACUGGAGUUGUGCGUAUGUGAUAACUAGGUAAACACACAUGACAACUAUGAUUCGUUGCUAGAUGGCAACUACAAUUGCGCGUGCGUAACAACUAGAUAAAGACAUGUGACAACUAUGAUUAACCAUACAUGACAACUAUGAUUGGACCACACGUGGCAACUAGCUAAUCACACAUAGCAACUAUUCUUUGAUCACAUAGGACAAGUAAUUAAUCACACAUGACAACUAUGAUCUGAUUAAAUGCGGCAACUGUCGUUAAUUAGACAUGGGAACUAUAGUUUACCAAAACAUAAAAGUUGUCAUGGUUUUACAACUACAUUUGCCAUCCCGAGUAACUAAAGUUGACAUUCCUCGGGGUAACUAAAGUGUCAUCUCACGGAUAACUAAUGUAGCCGUGCUAAAACGUAUGGGUAGAUUUGCUUCGUGCCACAUAUGCAGAAUGAGGACGAGUAGUAGUUGUUAGACGUGUAGCAUGAAGUAGUUGCGCUCGUACGUAUGGACAGUUCUAACAUUCGCUCACACAUUACUAUGUGAGUUGUCUCCUGAUUAUGACACACAAGACGUAUGAACGCAUAUCUAAUAUAUCACACAUGUGAUGAAUAUCGAGGCACUUUUUUUGCUUUGGCCGAAACUACUUUUAGUCGUGAAAGUUUCUGACGGAAGAUGUGCAUGUGAACGAAAGGUGUUUAGCGGAAGAUGUAUAUAAGUGAGCUUAAUUAAUUAUUUUACUCACACACAAUUGAACGGAAGGCGCGCAUGUGAACGGAAGGUGCGCAUUAGUGAGCUCAAUUGAUUCUUAUUUUACUAACACGCAAUUGAAGGAAGGUGUUUGGCGGAAGUAUGCUGGGAGUUUUACGUUGCCAUCCCACCAUUCCUUGGCGCUACACAAAAUUUGCCUAAGAUUUGCCAUUUUGAGAAUCUGAGCUAUGCAAUGUGGCCGUGAUUAGGAUGUGACAUGCACUUUGGUUUCAGCUUCUCACUUCUCAGUGCAAUGCAACAUAAGGUCAUUUCCAACGGCAACUCAUAGAAUUUUCUUUCGCAUCUGUGUGCGUGAACUCGUUAAUCCAUGUUUGAACUAACUAGAUAAAAUUCAUGCAAACAUGCUAAUUUUUAAACACAGUAGGCGCAUCAUCGUCGACGGAAACGUCACCUUUCACUGAAAGCGUAUCGGCGGAAAUCCUGAAAUAAAUCCAGGAAUAAUGCAAGCACCAGGACUUGAACCCUGAUGGGGUGGGGAUACCACGGUCCCUCUAACCAUCCAACCACACGUUAAAAACAUGCUGAUAUUCAUUAAAGUAUAAAAUUUUCUUCAACAUCUGUGUAUAUGGACCCGUCAAUCCGUAUUUGAACUAACUAGAUUAAAUUCAUGCAAACAUGUUGAUAUUCAUCAAAUUUCAGAUAGAAAAUAGCAUAAACCAUUCAUACAUAGCAUAUAAAUUAAGUCUAUUACAACAUUGGCUCAAAUUCGACUAGACUAACAGUAAGUCUAACAAGCUUUCCAUCAACGGAUAAUGCCUCUCACACAUACUUCCAGUUUAGCUUCAUCUAACAAUGUGUGUACAUGAAUGGAUGUCCUUCUAUCCUGUGAUACAUCGCGACGACGCGUGCAGGCUACAUAAUAUGUAGACCAAUAUUGAGUGAAUGAAUCAAUCAACAAGUUAAGCAAGGGAAAACAAAAGUUACGAUCUCACCUUUUGCCACGUGCAAUGGCCACCUUGACUCUAGCUGACGAACCACAUUAGAAAACUUAGCGACAUUGGUCUCGAUUGCGCACCAUAACGACCUCACAUUGCAUUAUUGAAUGAUGUACAUGUCGUAGGAUGUAAUGUGCUUUCGUACGUCAAACGAUUCAUGUACUUGAUGCGAGAACGCCACCCCCUCCUACUUACGAAAUUCACGCAUUCGGCCAACCAUGCAUCACACAACAACUCAUCCUCCAUGGUCAAGUGACUCGCCAUCCUUUGUACUCUAAAAACUGACAUAGCGUUUGAAAGUAAGUUCAGUGACAUUUGACCAAACACCUACCAAGCAUGGUGUCCGCCAUGAAGGUCGUCGAUAGGAGGGUGAAGUGUAUUUGGGUAAAAAUGGCUCCAGGGUGGACAACAUCGUCGUAGAGGCGAGCGGGCGCGUUAGUGCUGGUUGCGGACGGCCGACGAUGCAUCUGUUGCGACCGGAGACGUACCACAAUGAUGACCAAGGUGCUGAUGCAAAGCAAGGGAAGAAGGGGCGGAGUGGAGUGGAAGGAAAUGGGACCGGGAGGGGGAUUGGGUGUCAUCAUCAUUGAUGUUGCUUCCAAUUGUUCGUUCUAGCUCGAUGUGCUAAGUCCGGAUGCGCCACCAGCUGGGUGGCUUGGCCAGGUGUUAUUGGUACACUGUGAAGGCAUCUUGUAGCCUUGCAGUUCAUGACAUGGAUCGGGUGUUUAUUGGUGAUUGAACACAGUUUCGCCACCCAUUUUAUUCAUCGAAUAGUUUACGGCCUGAUAUGAUUGAGUGGAGAAAAUAAAUCAAGAUAUGUCGCUAUGAAGAUUACAUGUGCAGUUAUAUUAUUUACAAGAUUAACUGCUUUAAUACAAUUAAUGCCACUUGCAAAAUUAAUUCUAAUUAAUCAUGUUUCCAUUUUUUCCAUGAUGCAAUCAACACAUCAAUGGACAAUGUUGGAUAAAUGUGAUUAAAUGACUAAUACCAUUUGGAUUCAUAAGUAGUAGCAGAUGUACUUCCAUAUUAUACUUCUUCAUCAUUCUAAAUACUCCCCCCUCAUUCGCUCUCGGGCGACAUAGGCAUGUAACCAUAGCUAGGCAUUGCCACCUCCCUCCCAUGUGCCUUCCCUCCCCUCAUCACCACCGUCGGGCAAGCUAGUGAGUUGGUACGCUACAACGGGGCUUACCCGUGCGCGCUCCUUUCCCAAAGGGAUCCUCAUCCAACACCGGGUGCCAUCAUUGUGCCCUCGCAACUUCACUGGAUGCGACUUCAAAGUCGGACUUCCUGUUCCUCCCCGUCGUGCGGUGGAGCCCCGUCGACCGUCGCAGUCACCUUCGACAUGUGCUGGCAUUGGGUACAUGCCUCGUUUGUGUGUAUCGGUAAAGGGGUCGACUUUGUCUGCUCUGGUCGUCAGGUCUCGCCGGCAUGGCCUAGGAUGGCGACAGCUCCAGACAGAGCGGACGAUGUCUUCUCUUCGACGAGGGAUGGUCGUGGGUGAUGUUUCAUGACUUCCAUCAUGUGGACGGCGAGGUUGCGGUGGACUUGUACCAUAGUGGGAUGGGGUGCCUCGUCGGUCGGUGUUCCUGCUUUAGAUAAAUACCUCAACCCUUCCCUCCUGGUGUGCGCUCUCUUGGUUAGUUUUGUGGACGGAUGGUUGGGAUUGGUAGUGGACUGGGGAAACCAUUGGUCGUUGGUGGAGGCGACAAAGAUGACGACGCCAUUGACAAGGUGUCGGCUCCCUUCUCUGAGGCCUUGUGGAGGUCCCUUCCCUCCCUCCUCCUUGCCUUGAAAUAUCUAUAUCACCUUGUGGACGACGGUAUCGGGUAGUCAUUGCAUCCCUUCCUGAAGGCAUCGUCUGGGGUACACGGAAGCAUGUUUGGUUUUAUCAUGCUUGGCUGGGGCAUAUGGUGGUGGCUUCUUGUGCUACGAUCUAUUUCUUCUGUCUCAAAAUAAGUGUCUCAACUUUGUACUAAAGUUGUUACAAAGCUGAGACACUUAUUUUGGGAUGGAGGGGUACUUCUUUUCCCGCUGGUCUUUGUUAUGUGGUGGCAUUCUUCAUCUUGGAUCUGGAUGUGUGGUUGGCCUCCUAUUGGUUUAGCUCGGCCACCAACUCCAUCCUUGUUUGUCAUUUCACCCUAUGCACCAUUCAUUUUCCCCUCCUCUCGCCUCAAGCUAGGAGUGUAAAUUAUCCCAUCUCAUUAUCAUCACUCUCACCUUCCUCCUCAAAAUUAAUAAAUGUUCAAUCUUGUCUGCUUUAGUGUUGUUUUCUCAACUCCUCUUCACCCACUUCUCAUUUCACUUGUGAAUACCCAAAAAUGCAACAUAGUAAAGGGCUUGUUGACAUUCCUCUUGCUCCUUUCCUUGUACACUUCUCAAUUCCCCACUGAAUAAUCUAACAAUGCAACAUAAAAAGGACAUGUUUACAAUUAUUUUGUUCCUUCCCUCGUAUAGUGCUUGGAUAUAGGUCUCAAGCUCAUUAACUGACACACCCCUUGGAUGCAUGUCGUCCGCUAGACAAACACAACUUGACCGUCGGUUGCAAUAAUCAUGAAUUUAGCUCAAACAGUGUGAGAGUGCAUCUUGAGUUAGGUUGCACUCAACCUUCACAAUGCAAUACGCCUCCAAAAUGUGCCUUUGGUUUGAUAGGUGCCACCACAUCAAGAGACAUUCAUUCAUGCAUAACACAUUGCCGCAUAUUGUUCCUCCACUUUGGGACUCGCAUUUCCCAUUGAGAAGACAAAGCCAACUAUUCUAAUAUUAUCAUCAUUCAACAUUGAGUCGGGUUCUUUCCCGCAAAAAAACGUCGAGUCCUUCUCGCUGCUUUGGCACACUAGAAUGUCAAAAUGCAUAAAUUAAACCUCAAACACAAAGGAAAAAAAACUAAAAAAGCAAGAGAAGGAAUAACUUCACACUGUGGGAAUUUUAGCAAACACCUCACGGGCACCCGAGUUGUCAUUCACCUUGUCAACAUUGGAUGAUGGUCCUUGUUGCACUGGGAGAGGAGUGGUUGUGGUGAUCUCCGAAGGCAGAGGAGGAGCGGGAGGGGGCUACAUCCCGUCGUUGUUCUUCUGUGGAGCGCACCAUCCUUUACUUUUCCAUUGAGAUCCUCCCUUUUUUGAGUUGUGUUGGCAACAUCGUAGGGAGUCCAAAGGUCAUGUAGAUGCACCUUGCCACCGACGGUGUCUCGAGGUUGUUCAACGGUGUCACUCAUGAUGGGUAGCACCACUUGCCUGUAGGCACUACGGCAACACAGGCGAUGCAGGGGAGGCAAUCGGUGGUUUUUGGAGAGUGGUCGACAAUGAUUUUGAUUUUGGGCGCAAUAGGAAACAAGAAUGUCGUUUCAUCCAAUUUUCUGCGUUGGGUGGGAGCUCGGCCUCCCAACUUUUAGGGAGGGGGCUGUUUUGGGGAGCUCCCAAAAAAAUAGGAGUUCAAAGGAUUUCAGGAUGGUUUAGAUGAUCAUUUUAUUGGGAGUUAAGGAUUUUUUGGGGAUUUGUUAGAGUUGCUCUUACAGAAGACUCUUUUAUCCAUAAAAGGAAUAUAUUAAUAUCGCGAAGAUACCAUUUACACUUAGCAUGUGCAAUAACGUAAUACCCUAAUGGCAUUACAGAUGCACACAACCAAAAGAAGAAGAAGCUAAAAAAGCCAUGCUACAGAGUUCCAAUCCUUGCAGCAACAGUACAACCACCACUAAAACAACACCUGAAGUCCAAGUUCUCUAAAAGUGAUGCCUCAAAGAAGGAAGCACUGCACAAGCACCGUCGUCAUCCGAUCGUAGAUCUUGGUUUUCACCCUGAAGAUAGUCCCGCUCUGAAAACAAUGCCUUCAACGAGGCCAUUGCCAGACACAAACAAUUAAGGCCACGCCUUGGAUUUUCACCCUGAAAAGUAAGACCUUGAACUUUACCUCUGCUAUCACCCCCACUUACAUACCACUGCUACAAAUUCUGAAACUCUAAGCAAGUUCCUCAACUCAUAGGUUCCAAUCACCAUUACUAGUCCUCCAACCUAGGCUUCCAUGAAAUUUUCCGACUCUGACUUCACCAUGGAGCAAAACAUAGCUCCUGAUGGAAACACAUAGCAGAGAUUCGCUCCGCUCCCUCCUUAGGACCAAUGGCCACGACCAAAUCCCACCCAAUCCAGCAAUCGCCAGGCAUAACACGCCCAUGGGAGUUUGCGAGCAGAGACUUCUAAAACCUGACACUCCGGCCAGAUCAGGAGGACAUGCGUCACGUAGAUCUUCAUCUUGACGUAAGAGGAACCCUAGGACCGAUGCUAUUAUUUUGAAGCCUCACAUGCACCGACACCGCAAGACCACUCUCAGCAGGAACACCAUCAAUGGCGGCAUAUACUAGUGCCCAACUCUACGUCGCCGGGGUGGCCGAAGGACACAGCCAAACCACCAUAGCUUGCCCUGACGGGACCCGACACACCCAGAUCUAAUCCCAAAGGCGAGAUCGGGUAUCCAAGCCCAGAUCGCCCCGAUGGCUCUGCGUCUUGGGAGACAGGCGCUAGAUCAGCAAGCUACCGGCGGUGACCCACCAUCACCACAUCGCCGCUCUGCCGGGCUCCAGCCUCAUGACAUGUCGUCCGCAACAUCUCUGUCACACCAAACACAAAGCAUCGGUGGACGAACACGCCGUGACACCCGGCAUCAUCAAGCCAUCACCCGAAGAACCGGCCCGCGCCAACCUUUGCAUAAGGGGACAAUCGACCGCCGCUGCCACCGAUGCUGACUGGGGCUUUGCCUGAUCGCGCACUGUGACGGUGGUGGCGAGGGAGGAGGAGAGUGGGGAGGGGGGCUUGGCGGCGGCGGGAUUAGGUCGCCUCCCCGUCGCGACGCGGGGGCGAAGGAGAGACACUAUGAACCCUAAUAAUGAUAUCUUAAAAUGGGGCAACUAGAUGCAUUAAAGUUUACUGUAUCCAUUCUUUCUAAUUAGAUGCAUUUGUUUUGUGGGUAACUUGCAAAGUGUUAGAUGUACUUUCCUUCUUCUACCACAACAGAUGUCAAUUAUACCCCUCCCAAAUUGGGUGGACCAUUAAUUAUUUUCUCAUGAUAACUCCUCUAACCAUUGUUAUUACACGGGGCACUAGAGUCCUAAGUUACUUGGAACUAUGGUCUUGAUUCUCAUGCGGAAAAAAAUCACCUAACAAAAGGAAUGGAGGGAGUAUCGUUAGCCUAUUUUCUUGAUGAACCACAUGAAGAAGGGAGGAUCAUCCCCUGCCAUGGCCUUAGAGCAUCUACAACCACGGUUUGCUAAUCCAGGUCCUCAAACGUCAGCGGAUACGUCCGGACACAGACAGAUGCGUCCGCGAUACUGACCGAUCAAUCCUCAAAUCUGAUCAUUCACAUUUGAGUUUCUCAUAUUUGAAUCCCUAUAUUCAUACAAAGCAUGCAAAAGAAAAUCUUGUGUACUAUCCUAGUUUUCUUCGUCGAGAAUGUCCACGACGUCAGUGUCAGGCGCGUGGGAGAGCUCCGGCUCAUUGAGCUCAUCCUGGUUAGCGAGCAUAUGCGCCUCCGCCGCAUCCUGCUCCGCCUUCAUCUCCUGUCAACGACGACGUCUGGCCUCCGCAACCGACUCCGAGCGGAUGGAGUUGAGGAUGGCCUCCUGCACCGCACGCAGAUCCGAAUUACCAGCAUCCCCCAUGUCUUCCUCCGGCCCCCCUCCUCCUCGCUCCGGAUCAACUACAUUUGGAGGUAGCCCUGUGACGAUCCGGGCUUCGCGCCUUGCGCGGACCUGCUCAAGGAGCUGUAGCCGACGCUCUAACAUUAAUAAGUGGCGGCAGGAGGGGGGCAUGACGUUGUCGGAGAGCGUAAGAGAGGAAACAGACGAGCUCUGAUGGCGGUGCACAGAGGGAGGAGUUCCUUGGGCUAGGGCUUGGGGACACCGGUCGACUUAAAUAGCUGGAUUUGGCAUCGUGCUAUGAGGCGGAGCGGCGUUCACACUACGACGAUGAAGGAAGUGUCCGUCGUACCGCCUGGUUUCGGGCAAGUCUGCGCGAGACUCCAUCAUCAGGCGGAUGUGGCGGACGUGCUCGGGUGCCCCAUGUCCGUCCCAUAUUUAGGUUGGAUAUGAGGGGUAUCGGUCAGCCCGGACGUUUGACACUCGUUUAAGACGCCAAUCUAGAUCGAUUUUUUGUGACCGGGGGUUUGAUGCCAGUUUUGAGAGGUCCGGCAGUAGAUGCUCUUACAUUACUGAAAUUCAUGAUUUUCAAUAGUGGCUUUUUUUAAGAAACACAAAUAGAUGUGUUAAUGAUAGCAGAAGUAUUGCCGAAUUUCAGUAGAAGUGUUAUUAGGUGCUUCAAGAUUUAAUUUUAUUGUAAUUUUUUGUUGAUAGCUUACCAAGCUAACCACUUGGUUCAAGAUUUAAUUGUUUAGAAGGUAAUCAUGUUGAAGUAUAGUUUCAAUUAUGCGGUUAAACAAAUUUCGAGACAUCCUAAACCUGUGCGUAAAAUCUAUAAUUAGAUAGGAAGGUGGAAAAUAGGCAAACAUAGAGUAAUGUGCUAAUUACGGACCUUCGUCGAAAUAAGUUUUCGGGAUAGCGAGGAUUUUCAUUGAAGUAGUCAUUCCAGAGUAGAACAAAUCCCGCAUCUCUUCCUCGAUUGAUCAUCUGACGUCCAUGCUUGGAACCACCAUGGCGUCGACGGUUCCCCUGCUCUUCCUCCUUGCGCUCUGCGAAUGCUACAAGAAUGAGUUCGUCGUCGUCGGAUGAAGACGACGACGAAUUCAUGAGCAUAUUCACAGAAGCAAUGUUUUCACUCAUCAUUCUGUUGUGUGAGAGAGGACAGAGGAAUUCGGGAAAGGAAUGACCAGGAUUGGUGGAUGAGAGAUGGGAGGGGUGGUAUAUAUAGACCUGGAAAUAGAGUCGUUGCAAAUAGAGCCGUUGGAAAUAUAGACUAUCAAAUUUAGAAAACAGAGGUUUUCUAAAUUCAAAUUUUUUUAGACCAUUGUCCAUAUAAAGAUUUCGACUAUUAAAUUUGCACAAGCCACUGGAGAUGUUCUAAGUAUGCAUGUAGAAUUUAUUUAUAAUUUUUUGUCCAUCUUAUCUUAUUAAUUGGAGCAUCCACGGUCCCUCCAGGUCACGGUCGCACUCUACGUGUUUUACAAAUCAUGGUCGUCAGAUGACAAAAGGUUGUUGGCUGCAACAAUUUUGCUUUUCAUCCUGGUGAUUAUCAGAUCCUUCCAGAAGGCCCUGAAUCUUAAGGGCAGUAGCUUUAAUGCCCUACGAAAGGCCAGCUCGUUGCCCAAGUGGGUCACCGUCUGCAUCCGCCGGCGUACAUACGGACACGGACAACCAAAAUGGAAGAGGGAUGAAUUUGACACUAAAAAUAUCGCAUCGAUUGAGGAAUAUGUACAAGAUGGAAGAGGUUUCGUGCCCGGAUCCGGAUUUGUUGAACCGCAGGUUGUUGUUCAGGGCCUAGACCUUGAACAAGAAGAAGAAGCAGGCAUCCGGCAAUGCACACCGCACAGAAGAGUAGUCCUCCCAAGGCUACCGUACCAGCUAUUUCUAGACUUUUCAUGUCAAUAUAUUGAUCGUCUUAAAAUCAUGAGACACUUGUGGUCGCUUGACAACGAAUCUGCCUAUCUUACAAUAGAAGGCAUGUUAUCUGCUAUGACCAGUUUUCUGUACACCAAAGAUGAUAGAACAGCCCGCCUUGAUUUCAAGAAUGCUACACCACUGCUCAUCCUCCGUCGGUGGACAGAAAUCCUUAUAACUUAUGCAACGUUAAUUGCAGUCAUCUCGCUGGUACACACAGACAGCCACAAGGAAACCUACAGCGGUACUGAAGAUACCUGGGUUACAUUUGUGUUACUGUACGGCACCCUUGUGCUGGAGCUAGUUUACACUGGUUUACGCUCAGCUUUCCAGGACAAGUUCUCUGGCAAAAUUCUCCAGCAUAACCUGAUUGGAUUAGUGGCCCAUAACAAAGGGCACUCCAGGUUGACGCGUAUUGCGGCGUGUUUAGGAUGCAAGGAGUUGGUGGACGAAUACUUUUGGCACAUGAAGCCUAACUAUUCUUCGUGCAGGGACAUUACAGAAUUGGUUCGUGGGCAUGUUCGAUCAGGGUGGCUGCAGUACAUACGUGACGCGAGCUGUUACAGGAAGUUUAAUGAUAGCAGGGGCGACUGGACGCUAGCUAUGAAUGCAUGUCCCGAACGACUGGAUUGGAGCAUACAGAUGCCAUUUGACGAGAGCAUUAUUCUCUGGCACCUGGCCACAGAUUUAUGUUUUCACCGUGUGGCCAUAUCUCCUGAUGAUCUAGAAUGUGCCCGCCAGUGCAAAGUAAUGUCCAACUACAUGAUGCAUCUGUUGUUUGAAAAUCCUGAGAUGCUAAUGCCAGGUAGCAGAAGGAAUUUGUUAUCGGGCGCCUGCGAUGAACUCCAUCAACUCCUACAGGAUGACAAGACGCCAAGGGACGAGAGGGGAUUUACACUGCGAGUAAUGGAGAUAUUCGACGCCGAGUCUGAGUCUGUUAUCCACCCCGGCCAGGAUGAACCUGUCAAUCCCAACCUUUGUAUGACCAACAACAACUCAAUUGUUCACAAUGCUUGGCGGCUAGCUAAAAUAUUAUUGUGCUUGUGCGAUGAUCUUGGAGAUGGUGGAGGUCAGACCAGGAUGUGGAAGGUGAUCCAAGGCGUGUGGGUGGAGAUGCUAUGCUUUUCUGCCGGGCGCUCCCGAGGAUACUUGCAUGCAGAGGCACUCGGAACGGGUGUGGAGUACCUCUCAUAUAUCUGGAUCCUUUGGGCAUACUCCGGGAUGGAGACAUUUGCAGACAAGCUUCAGAGAAGGGAGGGCCUCAUUAGGCAGUGAUGACUCUACGGUUUUAGCACUCACUAUCUGACUCUGGUUCACAAAGUGAAGUGAAGGCAGCGCGUGUGUCGUCCUUUAGAGGCUACUAGCUUGGGGAUACAGUACUGUGUUUAUUCAGUCGGUGCCAUUUAUACAUUUGCAUCCCCCUGUCUUUCUCACGACUCUAUGCUAGAUACUCACUUCGUUUCUAAAUGUAAGUUUUUUUAAAAGUUUCAUUAGAGGACUACCUUGUACUCCAUGAUCUGUUUUUUACUCUGUUUUCAUUUUUUUAAUUUUUUUUGGUUGUCUUCUUGUAGGAACUUAUAAUUAAAACAAACCGGGGGCCAACCGUUGCAUUAGAAAAAGCCAACUGAAAGGGAUAAACGCUCUGUCCAUGGAUGGUACCAAAAACUGAGAGUCGACGUUCUCAUUUCUGCAUGGACCAAAGGCAUCGUACUGAUUUCCAGUAUGUAUUCCUCUUUGCAAUAAAAAGAGUCAGCUCUAAGAAGGAACCAGUUCGGGGGUGUAGCUCAUAUGGUAGAGCGCUCGCUUCGCAUGCGAGAGGCACGGGGUUCGAUUCCCCGCACCUCCAUUUUUAUUAUAAAUUUUAAGACUCAGGUAAACUGUGUUUCUUUAGAGCGGUUUUUUGGAGGGACUGUGCGAAGGAAAUGGUUCGUUUGGGCACAAUAACUUCUAAUUUUGGGUCUUUCCUUUCUUUGCUGUUAUUUCUACGAGCCAAUCAAAUUUCGUUUGGGGCACAACAACUUUUCGUUUUUGACCUUUCCUUGCUUUGCUGUCAUUUCUAAGGCCCAGUCAAAUUUUGUCUGGGGCACAAUAACUUCUAAUUUUGGGUCUUUCCUUUCUUUGCUGUUAUUUCUACGAGCCAAUCAAAUUUCGUUUGGGGCACAACAACUUUUCGUUUUGGACCUUUCCUUGCUUUGCUGUCAUUUCUAAGGCCCAGUCAAAUUUUGUCUGGGGCACAAUAACUUCUAGUUUUGGGUCUUUCCUUUCUUUGAUGUUAUUUCUACGAGCCAGUCAAAUUUCGUUUGGGGCACAACAACUUUUCGUUUUGGACCUUUCCUUGCUUUGCUGUCAUUUCUAAGGCCCAGUCAAAUUUCGUCUGGGGCACAACAACUUUUUGUUUUGGGCCUUUCCUUUCUUUGAUGUUAUUUCUAAGAGCCAGUCAAAUUUCGUUUAGGGCACAACAACUUUUCGUUUUGGACCUUUCCUUGCUUUGCUGUCAUUUCUAAGGCCCAGUCAAAUUUCGUCUGGGGCACAACAACUUUUCAUUUUGGGCCUUUCCUUACUUUGCUGUUAUUUCUAAGGCCCAGUCAAAUCCCGGACCCCGUGUUUUUUGCGGGCAUAUGUUGAUGAUGGUUGUGUGUAUUUUGACUAUAGAAACUAAGGGAAAAGAUUACCUUCUACAAACCGAUCGCGCGCGUCCGUCCGCCGGCUCCGUGGUCUUUCAAAUUCAUAAAAAAAGUUGCUAGUUUUUGGAGGGACUUUUUUUAGAUAAGCAAAUGGUUCGCUCGGUGCACACAAUGACAUCUCGAAUCUCGAAUGCCCAGCCAAGCCAAGCGACCCGCGCAAACAACAAACACACAAAGGUCAACUUNNNNNNNNNNNNNNNNNNGAUUGCAUUCAACCAGCCAAUCUGUCCUUUAUCAGACGGACAAGACCAGACCAACUUCCGUGUGAGCUGUGGCCGUUUUUUUUAAACGAUGUCAUUGUUUCAGGAACUGUUUCCUGCACCUGAGUGUCUGCCAGCGUUUGAUUGUCUUGUUGCUGGAUCUGGAGGGCGGCGGCGAGAGGUGUUGCUCCUNNNNNNNNNNNNNNNNNNNNNNNNNNNNNNNNNNNNNNNNNNNNNNNNNNNNNNNNNNNNNNNNNNNNNNNNNNNNNNNNNNNNNNNNNNNNNNNNNNNNAGUACAAGAAGUAAGAGGGGGAAGAUCUACGCAUAGCGGACGAGAACUACAGAUGAUCAAAUGAAUGAUCUUGAACACCUACCUACGUCAGGCAUAACCCCACCGUGUCCUCGAUCGGAGAAGGAACUCACGAAAGAGACAGUCACGGUUACGCACACAGUUGGCAAGUUUUAAUUAAGUUAACUUCAAGUUAUCUAGAACCAGUGUUAAACAAAGUUUCCACGUUGCCACAUAACCGCGGGCACGGCUUUCCGAAAGAUUUAACCCUCCACGGGUGCUCCAACUAGUCCAUCACAAAUUACCACAAGCCGCAUAGAAAUCCUCAAUCAUGNAAGCUCGCGAUCUCGUCGGAUUCCCUAGUGGAAAACCUCAACUCUGAGAUUACCCAAAGCAUCACCGGAAUCCCGAUGCACAAGAUAUCUCGUCAAAGGUAAACCUAAUCCAGCAAGGCCGCCCGGCGUGUCGACGAUCCCGAUAGGAGCCGCGUAUCUCGUUCUCAGGACACGGCGGAUGGAACUAGCUACGGGUGCCAAACCUCGAGUUUCCCCGUGGUGGCCCCGCAGGCAGACCGUUUGGGNNNNNNNNNNNNNNNNNNNNNNNNNNNNNNNNNNNNNNNNNNNNNNNNNNNNNNNNNNNNNNNNNNNNNNNNNNNNNNNNNNNNNNNNNNNNNNNNNNNNAGUACAAGAAGUAAGAGGGGGAAGAUCUACGCAUAGCGGACGAGAACUACAGAUGAUCAAAUGAAUGAUCCUAAACACCUACCUACGUCAGGCAUAACCCCACCAUGUCCUCGAUCGGAGAAGGAACUCACGAAAGAGACAGUCACGAUUACGCACACAGUUGGCAAGUUUUAAUUAAGUUAACUUCAAGUUAUCUAGAACCAGUGUUAAACAAAGUUUCCACGUUGCCACAUAACCGCUGGCACGGCUUUCUGAAAGAUUUAACCCUGCACGGGUGCUCCAACUAGUCCAUCACAAAUUAUCACAAGCCGCAUAAAAAUCCUCAAUCACGNAAGCUCGCGAUCUCGUCGGAUUCCCUAGUGGAAAACCUCAACUCUGAGAUUACCCAAAGCAUCACCGGAAUCCCGAUGCACAAGAUAUCUCGUCAAAGGUAAACCUAAUCCAGCAAGGCCUUCCGGCGUGUCGACGAUCCCGAUAGGAGCCGCGUAUCUCGUUCUCAGGACACGACGGAUGGAACUAGCUACGGGUGCCAAACCUCGAGUUUCCCCGUGGUGGCCCCGCAGGCAGACCGUUUGGGNNNNNNNNNNNNNNNNNNNNNNNNNNNNNNNNNNNNNNNNNNNNNNNNNNNNNNNNNNNNNNNNNNNNNNNNNNNNNNNNNNNNNNNNNNNNNNNNNNNNUGAGCCACAGGGGACUCAGCAAUCUCAUUUCCAAAGGUAUCAAGACUAGCAAAGCUUAAUGGGUGAGGCAUGGUAAAGUGGUGAGGUUGCAGCGGCGGCUAAGCAUAUAUUUGGUGGCUAACUUACGAGUACAAGAAGUAAGAGGGGGAAGAUCUACGCAUAGCGGACGAGAACUACAGAUGAUCAAAUGAAUGAUCAUCAACACCUACCUACGUCAGGCAUAACCCCACCCUGUCCUCGAUCGGAGAAGGAACUCACGAAAGAGACAGUCACGCUUACGCACACAGUUGGCAAGUUUUAAUUAAGUUAACUUCAAGUUAUCUAGAACCAGUGUUAAACAAAGUUUCCACGUUGCCACAUAACCGCUGGCACGGCUUUCUGAAAGAUUUAACCCUGCACGGGUGCUCCAACUAGUCCAUCACAAAUUAUCACAAGCCGCAUAAAAAUCCUCAAUCACGAAGCUCGCGAUCUCGUCGGAUUCCCUAGUGGAAAACCUCAACUCUGAGAUUACCCAAAGCAUCACCGGAAUCCCGAUGCACAAGAUAUCUCGUCAAAGGUAAACCUAAUCCAGCAAGGCCCACCGGCGUGUCGACGAUCCCGAUAGGAGCCGCGUAUCUCGUUCUCAGGACACGCCGGAUGGAACUAGCUACGGGUGCCAAACCUCGAGUUUCCCCGUGGUGGCCCCGCAGGCAGACCGUUUGGGACCAACACCAUCAGCACUGGCCCCCCUGUUUAUGUAAAAUUACUCCUCAGGUUCAUGACGCCCUAUGCAUUUCAGUGUUAACAAAAUUAUUAUGUUGGGCAAAUGUAGAACCAAAGUUGGGCCUUGCCAGACCAGCUUUAAUCUAAAACGAAUUAUCAAGGGGGUCCCCAUAACAACCCNNNNNNNNNNNNNNNNNNNNNNNNNNNNNNNNNNNNNNNNNNNNNNNNNNNNNNNNNNNNNNNNNNNNNNNNNNNNNNNNNNNNNNNNNNNNNNNNNNNNGGAGCGCUCAAUUAUGGAACAUAACACCGGUAGCCGAAACUAAGGGGGCAAAGGUGGAACAAAACACCAGACUAGAAAGGCCGAGCCUUCCACCUUUUACCAUGUAUAUAGGUGCAUUAAAUUAAAUAGCAUUUAAUAGGGUGAUAUAACAAGGAACCCAUGUAAUCACAUGGAAGCAACUGCACCUGCAACUAGCAACGCUAACACAGGGUUAAGCAAGCGAUAACAUAGCCAAUCAGUGGUUUGCAAGGUCGAAUAGGUUGAAGGUUAUGAUGACAUUGUUGAGAGGCUGAUAUUUAACAAGUGGUAGGCAACGAGACAUAAUCGAUAGAAAUGGUAAAACUAGCAUGGCAAUGAUAGUAAUGGUAUCUGGGGAAAUGAUCAUCUUGCCUGAGAUCUCGCUUGGAAGAAGAAUGACUCCGUGAAGCAGACGGAGCGAUGUAGUCGAACGGGUCCUCACAAUCCGACACGCUUGCGGAACUCUAUCGAGACGGAGGAAACCGAAAACAAGAAUCAACACACGAUAUUCACCAUACGAUGCACAACACAUAUGAUGCAUGAACGGACUAAUGCAAGGCAUGACAAUCACAACAAUCAAACACUACACAUUAAGUGAAGCUCGAUAUGCAAUGAGUUGCAUAUCGACGAAACUCCACGUUUAAUUAUUUAGUUCUAUCCCGAUUAGUUACACGGCAAUAUUAAAUAUGGUUAAACAUGGCAAGAGGUGAAGCGUAAUUAAUCUACCUAUCUAGGCAUUUUAAAUGAGGUCGGAAAUGACAUAUAGCACCUCCGAAACGACCUCACAUGUUAAUUUACAAUUCUGUCCAGAUCUGAAUUAACACCUUUAAUUAGUUGUUAAUAAGCAAAACAAAUAGGUUCACGUGAUUCUACGCGUCAAGGCAAGGAAUCUACACAUAAAAACAUCUCCAACGGAGCUACGGUUCAAAAGAUAUAAGCAUCGCAAGAUAUGAUGGCAUGAAUGCAAUAUGUGUGCAACGAUGGCUACGAGCACUUCAAAACAUACUAACAGAAAGAGAAAAUGAAACUAAACGAGAUUCUAAGCAAGUUUCAUAUAGGACACGAUCAAAUCGGAGCUACGGUUCAAAAUCUACGAGCAAAACAAGAUAUCACUUCAAACUGCCAAAAACAGCCACAUAGCAUUUUCUACGCCCCACAACUACGGCUACACAACUCCCAUAAACUCAAGCAAGGCAUGGCAUUAAAGAGGGCAAGACGUACUACUACAAACAACUAACAACAACUAGCAUGGCAGCAAGGAGCACUAGGAAAAAAAGACACAAAAUGGCAUCUCACACACUAUUUCAUACUUAGUGAAAAUUACACCUCAUGAAUGUGCAGUUUUCCGCCUGAAAGGACCAUAAGCUACAGGGCUCCAAAUGGCAUGAAACUUGCCAGCAUGCUAGAGAAACACAAGGGGUACAAAUAACUCCAUUGGACCAACCUCAAAAGAGAUACACAUCACAAGGUGCAAGCAAGCCAAGACAGCAACAAAAAUACCAGGGGCUAAACAAAACAUCCAAGAUCAACUCUCUAGUUGACAACUAAUUCAAACGAGGCACGGAAUAAAUUCUACGAAUUAAACAAAAGGGCGACUUAGCAAAAUAGCUCGCGAACUAACUUGCUAUAAUGCUAAAACUAAUUGCACAGAAAAAUCCAUGGGAUUUUUCUACCCCGGAAACAUAUAAAAUAUGUGGGGUUGCAACACAAAAUAAUGCCACACGAAAAUGCAAGAAAAUAACCUAUACGCGGAAAAAUAAUCUACCGGCAAAUCCCUACGCGUAAAAAUACGAGUGACCGUUCUAAAAAACGUAGAAAUAUGGUCUAUAAAACAUGGACAUUUAUUCUAGGACAUACGAACAACCCGGACACGCGCGUAAAAUAACUACGGGCAAUAAACCUAUCGAGACAGCACGCUUAUCUAGGAAAACAGCAUGCUAAAUGACGUCAAACAAUUGUGCAAGUUUUAUAAACGGAUUCUACGCGAAAUCCUACACCAAAACCAUAUAUUACUCGCUUCGUUCCGACUAACGGAAUAAAAGAUACGGUCGUUAUAAAAUACGUAUAUAACUCUGGAAUUAAUUAAUUCCAAAAUCCCUAAAAGAAAUUGCACUAUCGGGCCUACUCGGGCGCUAUAAGACGCGCAUGGGCGAGGAACAGGGCGGAUGGGGCGCUCACCUAGCUGGGCUCGCCCCAGGUUGCAGGGGAGGAAGAGGCAGGCNNNNNNNNNNNNNNNNNNNNNNNNNNNNNNNNNNNNNNNNNNNNNNNNNNNNNNNNNNNNNNNNNNNNNNNNNNNNNNNNNNNNNNNNNNNNNNNNNNNNCAGUACAUGUACUUGUAACGAUAUCCAUUCUUGCGACACGACGAGAUGCGCUUCUAUCCCUGACGAGGCCUUCGUGCCAAAUUAAGGAUAGGGUCGCAUCUUGGGCGUGACAAGUUGGUAUCAGAGCCGUACCGACCUAGGAGCCCCCUUGAUUGAUCGAACUUGGCCGAGUCGAGUCUAGUGAAAAACUAUUUUGAGUCUAGUUAUAUAUCGGAGAGUAGGAUUCUUUUUUCUCCUCUUCUAUGCUCUGGUGAGGAAUCUUGACGUAAUAAUUUACUCUAGUCCUCUUCCCACUUAAAUUUUUUUUAGGAUCACGCGGAUAUUUUUGGAAUCUAUAUGAUGCCGAUGUGACGGAGUUCUGUCUUGGUGCCUCCUGUCUGACUUGAUUUUCUUCCAGGGAGUUGAGCUCCAGGGGAUUCUUGAGCACAUCGUUAUCAUUCAGGUUUCUUAGUAUCUCAGAACGAAGGAUGUUCGUAAUUGCUUCAAUACUAGUAGUGGCGAGAUAACCCCGAUGUCCCCAGUACUGGUGCAGAUUGUUCGGGAGUACUGCCAUACUUUGUAUCAUUGUGAUCACGAGGGUCUGUUGUAGAUGAAGGUCCGAGAUUCUGGUUGUGUGUUGACGGAUGUGAUACAGGUGACGGGUUAGAUAGGAGUUGUGUGUUAUUACUCCUUGUAUCCGUGUACCAGAUUGCAUGACCAGAUAUUUCGGGAAUUCUUAGGUGGGAAUUCAAGUAGUUGCUUAUAGGACAAUCUUCCAACAAAUGCAUGAUGUUAGGUUGGGGUUCGACAUCUAGUGGAUUCGUUUGUUCACGGUCGACUUACAGCGGUACACGUUGUGUCUUAAAGAGUCCUUGUAGCUUGCUACGACUCGGGGAUACUUCGUAUGUCGGGUGCACUGCCUUGCACUUGAUGGCUACUGUAAAAUCAAGCCCGUGCGAUCCUGUCCACGAAAAUAUCGGACGAAAUCUUUCUCAUGAGUUUGUUCUGGCUUGUUUCAUAAGCCACACCUUUUGUUUUUUGUUGAAUAUGGUAAUUCGUGUUGCUUCGAUGUCAAGUGGUGAUUUCAGAUCUUUCCUAAUCUGUGUUCUCAUAUUUUUAUGUGAGAGUGCUAAUCCUUUUGCUCAAUCAAUUGUCUCAUCAAUUUUGUCAACCGGAGUCGUCAUGUUAAUUCUUUUCCAACCGGUGUGCUUCUCUGCAACUGAAUUCAAUCUUCUCCAGUUGUUGCAGAUCGUUCUCUCAUUUCAUACGGAGUUCAUCUCAUCUGUCUCAAGUCGUCUUUGUUUUUCCCCGCCCUCCCACCCUUUUCUUCAGUGAUUGGAUGUCAUCCAAGUGCAUUUCAUUUCAUUGUUGCUUCCGCUAUCUCUUCUUCCUUUUGUAACCGGUGAUUCAUGGUGAACAUUCUCAGGAGCUUCAUGUUCAUCUUUAUUCAUUCUUGGCAUCCUUACCGGUGAAUUCAACUUAGUUGUCCGUGUCAUCUUAUCCAUUCAUCCGUGUAAUUCUUUCCUAUGUUGGGAAUUCAUUGAGCCUAUCUUGUUAUUCAUUCCUCUCUCUUUCUAUCCGGAGUGUUGAAGAUAUUUCAGAAGUCCUGAUUCUCGAUCCUUCAGUUAUUUCGAGGUGCUAACCUCAUCUAGUUCUCUUAUACCGGUGCAAUUUCUCACUCUCUGAGCAAUCUUUUCAACGGUGGUUUCUUUGAGUGGUCCCAUAACCCACAGGUUUUUCCCAGGUUCUUUUAACUCUUGUAAUCUUUUCCGGAGAUCUUUAAUUCUUUUCAACUAUGACGUAAGUAUGAAUUUCAUCAGUCAUAUCCCUUCUCCAAGUUCUAUUUGAAUUAAUUCUCAUAUUGGCUCAACAUUUCAUUCUUCUUUAUUCCAGAGUGUCUCAUUAAUUCUUGGUGGUGUUGUUCUCAUCAUUCUCUUCUUUCAAGACCAAAGGAGUGUUUCUCUCGAAUCUUGGUCCAUUCUUUUCGAGAUUCAUCAUUUCAGCUUGGUGUCGUCAUCUUAUUUGUUCCAAUCAUGAGAAUCCAUUUCUCGCUAUCCGAUGGUUUUCUGAGUUGUUUUCAUUCUCGAUCCUCCGAAGGCCAUCAUUUCAGAAGAAUCUUCGUUCUCAGCUUUCAGCUUUCAUCCUCAAUUCUUCUCAAUUGUUGUCUCUUCGUUCGUCUCGGUUAUUCAGGCGCCUUUUUCAAGUUUUCUUUCAGGUGGCUCAUGAGCUCUUCAUUCUCAUGUAUCUCCAUUAAUUCGUGGUGUUCCCAUUCAAUUGUGAUUUCUUACCGGUGCUUCCUGCAAUUAUGCUUCCAAUGGUGCUUAUCUCUCUGCCUCUUCAAGAUCCUUUCAAGAAUAAGUGCUACGCUAAAUCCAUGACUUGUCAUCAAUUAUACUUGAUGAAGGAUAAGCUUAACAUAGUUCUUAUUCUUGUUCGUAAUGGUUUCAAUUCUUCUUCCGGAGCGGCUCAUUAUGUCAAUUCCUUUUUCUCAAGUGUCCUUAUCUUUUCUUUUCCGGAGUUCCAAGUUUUCUCAAGUAUCUCCUUGUGAGGCUCAUCUAAAUCCUGGCAAGGUCAUAAUUUUAUUCUUUUCUAUCUUCAUAUCUUUGCAUCGUUCAUUUGCAUAGUGAGGUCCUUCUUGGUGGUGCAUCAAGGUUUUAAUCCAUUAUCAAGUGUUCUUCAAGAUUCUUGUUGGAGAACCUCAAGUAUCCUUUCUCUUGCAUUUCUAUGUGCAAUUGUUCUUUCCUUAUCCUUGAGGUGGUAUUAUAGCAUUCUUGUUAGUGUAGGAGUCUCGAAGAGAUUUCCUUUCAAGAAUGAGAUAAUUAAACCCACCAAUUCUAUGAUCAUGAGAUAUUUUCAACCCAUGAUUUCUUCAUUGAGCUAUCUUGGUUUGGACUUCACCUAAGCUUUUCCUAUGGAUUGUACUAUCAUGGUGCUUGUCUUUAAUCUAAGUUCUCAAGACAUCCUCUUGGUGUAAGAUUGUUCAUAUCUUGCUUCUCCCAAUCAAUCCUUGUUUCUUUUAAUACUUGGUUGUCACCUCAUAUUUGUUGGGAUGAUUUUCUUAAGCCCACUAGUAUCUUGUUUCUGUUGUUGGGUUUCCAACCACUACGUCAAUUCUUUGUCCGGAGGCUCUUCAAUCCUAUUGUGAUGAUAGUUGGCAUUCUUUCUUCAUUCUCUACUUCCGCUUGAGCUAGUUCAUAUUCUCUUGUUCCGAAGGCAUUGUGAUGUUGCUCUUUCGGGUCUAUUAUGUUGUUUUGUCAAGAUCAUGGUGUUCCCUUGCUCUAUUUACUUGUUUGUUGUGAAUAUUGUAUAUCUCUACCAUCUUAUCGAAUUUUUUUGUCCCUUUUUCCUACCGAGGUGCUGCCGAAAUUUUCCGUGAAUUCUUGCUUCUUUCUCAUAUCAUUCCUCAUCUCUUUGCAACCUUUGUUGGUGUCACUCGUUUGUCAAAGAAGCGACUAAGUUCUUACCUCUUGUUCUUUCUCAUCCUCUCCCCCUUUCAUUCUUGGAUCUCGGGGCGAGAUCCUCUUGUAGUGUAGGAGAGUUGUGACAGCCCGAUGCCGGCGUUCCAGAAGAUUCCCCUCUCUUUCCGUUUUCGUCGUGUGUCUAUUUUUAUUUGUCGCAUCAUCAUCGCAUCAUGCGCAUCAUCUGCAUUGCAUCGGCAUCUCCGUUGCCGCCAGUUUUCAAAACUUGCAUCCGUUGUUAGUUGCCGGUUCCCGUCGUUGUCCGUUCUGAGCCCGACCGCACACGCACGCGCCCGCGGCAUCGUUCGAACCCUGUUUUAAAAUUGUGCGCAAAACUUUCUCUGAUCGGGGUGAAACUUGGCAUGCGGUCGUAAGUAGUUAUAGCUAGGCCGCCUGUCGAAUUUCGUCGCGAUCGGAGUCCGUCUGGUACCCGAACGGUUGACCAUAGCGGUGUCGUAUUCGGUCUACCGUUGGACGGUCAUCGGUGUUUUAAAAAUUGUUGCCGCGCCGCCCAUUCUCCCUCUCGUCUCAGGUUAUCCCCUCUACACGGCCGCGUACCCAUACCCGCGUUCGGAAUCGUCCGAAUCCGACCGCACGGUUGNNNNNNNNNNNNNNNNNNNNNNNNNNNNNNNNNNNNNNNNNNNNNNNNNNNNNNNNNNNNNNNNNNNNNNNNNNNNNNNNNNNNNNNNNNNNNNNNNNNNUAUCGGGUGCCGAGCCAAAGCGGGCGCGAGGAUUUUUUUUCAACAAAGCGAUUGUUUCAGAAACUCGAGCGUUGUCUCAGGAAUUACCGGGUGCCCAGCCGAAGCACGCGCGAAGAAAAAAAACUGCAACAAAGCGAUUGUUUCAGAAACUCGAGCGUUGUCUCAGGAAUUACCGGAUGCCCAGCCUGAAGUGCCGCGCGCGGAUCGAACGGCUACGCAUGUAGAUCAAACGGCUAUCAAGGUGGAUGAUGUUUUCUAAACAUCACCCUACGGAUGUGUAGCAGCCUUCAAAAGGAGACAUUCCUCUCAACGUGACGAAAUGCAAGGUAUUCCUUUCAAAAAAAAAACUAACACAUAAAGGGUGAAACGGGCGCGCCUAUUUGACUCGUUGAAGCGACUCCGGUGCGCGGGAGAGGACACUGCCUCGUUUUUUCACAUUUUUCUUUAGUUUUUGGGGUCUACUAAGCGGCUGCAGGCGGAUCUUUUAAAAAGACUCGUCGUCUAACGAGCCGUCAUAUCUAACAAUUCAAUUUGCAACACAUGUCUUGUUGCGGAAACAUUUGGAACAAAGAUCAUGUUGCAAUUUUUUUUACAAGACGGGUCGUGUUGCAGGAUCUAUUUUUGCAACAUGUGUCGUAUUGUAGAUUUUUUUUUGCAACAUCGAUCAUGUUGCGAAAUAUUUUCCAACAUGGGUCAUGUGUUAUUGGAUUUGUUUUUGCAACAUGGAUCAUGUUACAGUUUUUUUUGUAACAUAGAUCGUGUUGCGGGACUGUUUUGCAACAUGGGUCAUGUUGCAGGAUCUUUUUUGCAAGAUAGGUCAUGCUGCGGGAUCUAGCCGUUGUGAGAUCUAGCUCUUGGUCGGUUUGCAAAAGGGACUACUUGCAGAAACUCUUUUUCAAAUAAUGGACCAGUUACACAACGUGGAACUCACUAUCUCACGGAGCUCAUCCAACGAACAUGAAGAUGGUGGACGUUCACGUAAGAUCGGUCGGUUGAAGAAAAUCAUUUUCCUUAGUUUUUUUAACUUUCUUUAACACUUUCAAAUAUUCUAAACAUAUUUAAAAAAAUGUUAAACAUGCAUUUAAAAAAUGUUGAACAAGUAUUUCAAAAAUGUUAACCAAGGAUUGUGAAAAUGUUGAAUGUUUAUACAAAAAAUGUUGAUCGUGCAUUAUAAAAAUGAUAAAAUGAAAUCUUUUGAUCAUUGUAUAUAACAAUAUUAAUCAAGCAUUUGAAAAUAUAUUGAACAAGUAUUUCAAAAAUGUUAUCCAAGCAUUGGGAAACUGUUAAAUGUGUAUAGAGAAAGUAUUGACCAUGCAUUAAAUAACUAAAAAAAUAUCAUUGUAUAUGAAAAAUAUAAAUCAAGAAUUUUAAAAAUUAAAUCAAGUAUUUCAAAAAUGUUAUCAAAGCAUUGGGAAACUGUUAAAUGUGUAUAGAAAAUGUAUUGACCAUGCAUUAAAAUAACUUUUAAAAAUAUACCAUUGUAUAAAAAGAUUAGUCUGGCAUUUGAAAAAAUGUUGAAUAAGAUUUCAAAAAUAAUAAUAAGACAUUUGGAAAAUGUUAAAUGUGUAUAGGAAAAGUGUUGACCAUGCAUUAAAAAUAAUUGCAAGUCUUGCAUUUGAAAAAAUGUUGAUAAAACAACAGAAAUUUUUUGACCAUGUAUUAUACAAAUGUUAAUAUUGUACUUCAAAAAUGUUAAUCAAGCACUUGAAAAGUUUAAAGUGUGUAUAAUGAAAAUGUUGACCAUGUAUUAAAAAUAUUAAUCUUGUAUCUGAAAAAUGUUAAUCAAGUCUUUGAAAAAUGGUUACAGUUUGUAGAGGAAAAUUGUUGAUGAUGUAUUAAACGAAUGUUAAAUUUCUAUUGUAAAAAUAUUAAACGUGUAUUAGAAAAAAUCUAGAACGAAAAACCAAUAGAAACAAGGAAAACCAAAAGCCGAAUAAGAAACAAAGGAAACCAAAGAAAAAAAAAGAAAAUACGAAGAAACGAAUGCAGAAAGAAAUAAAAAAAUCGGAGAGGAAUAAAAUGAAACAAAAGGGAAGUACAAAAAGAAGAGAAAACCGGUUAGAUUUGCCUCAAGUAGGGCGAGCCCAUACUACUAACCCUUUCAUCCUCUUUUUCCUUUAAUGUGCGCGAAUGGGCCGACCGAACCACUCUAGAUGCAUCAAUGAUUGUUUCUACUAUCUACGAAAUAUAGUCAUUGCAGGAUGAAACAGGGUGACCCUCUUUCUCCUUUAAUUUUCUACUUCCUAUUGUUGUACUUGCGGGUGUUGUUAUAUUACAAUAUGCCGAUGACACCAUUCUUUUCCUUGAUGAGUCCUUGGAACAUGCUAGAAAUUUGAAGUGGAUCUUGGCUUGUUUUAAAAGAAUCUCUGGACUAAAAAAUAAUUUUCAUAAGAGUGACCUUCAUACCGUUCAUGUGAAUGAGGAGAUGUCUAUAAACUUGUUGUGAGGUUGGGGAUUUCCCCUAUAAGUAUUUGGGACCCCCCCCCCACCCUUCAUUUUAAAAACUCGAAAGGGAGGAUCUCCAACCAAUUAUUGAUAAGAUUCUCAAGAAUAUUUAUGGUUGGCUGGGUAGGAACCUCUCUUAUAGGAGCAAAUUAAGUUUACUUACUACUUGCAUUGCUAGUAUUCCUACAUACCUUAUGUUUAUUAUGAAAUUCCCUAAAUGGGCUAUUGAAGCAACCACUUCCCAAACGCCUCAUUUCUUUUAGGGCAAAUUCGGAGAUCGGCACAAAUGCCAUUUGGCCAAUUGACGGCUUAUUUCUAGGAUGAAAGAAAUUGGGGGUAUGAGUGUCCCUAAUCUUAGGGAGUUUAAUAUGCCCUUGAUUGCUUCUUGGAGCAAGAGAUUCUAUGAUGAGAGAGAUAUUGAUUGGAAGAAAUUGCUCUCCUUUAAAUAUGAUGCUGACAAGCCUAAUGUUCUAAGCCACGCCUCAUUUAGGCUCUACUUUUUUGAAAACUACUUCAUGGGAUUUUAUUGCUGCCAAAACAUUUAUAGAUCGGUCUGUGGUAAUGGGAAAUUCCACCUAUGUUGUCUCAACAUAGUCGGUCCCAAGCCUAGGUAAAGGAGGAGGGUUGUGAUAGGCUUGGCGAGCCAACAUCAAAACCCAGCCACUCUUAUGUAGAUGAAACCCAAAAAUAUUUUAUUGGAGAAAGGGGCAUCUAUAAGAUGUCCAAGAUCCAAAAGAGUAAGACGAAGGAUGUUGACCAAAUCAAAUACAUCAAGGAUGGAGCAGAUCAACUCGUUGUGAAGAACAAGGAGAUUAAGCAUAGAUGGCGGGAGUACUUUGACAAACUGUUCAAUGGGGAGAGUGAGAGCUCUACGAUUGAAUUGGACGACUCCUUCGAUGAUACUAGCAGGCGUUUUGUGCGACGAAUCCAGGAGUCAGAGGUCAAGGAGGAUUUAAAAAGGAUGAAAGAGGCAAGGCGGUGGGCCCUGAUUGUAUCCCCAUUAAGCUAGGGAUAGGCCUUGGGGACAUAGCGAUAGUAUGGCUAACCAAGCUUUUCAACCUCAUAUUCCGACAAACAAUAUGCGAGAAGAAUGAAGGUGGAGUAUAUUAGUAUCAAUCUUCAGGAACAAGGGGGUGUUCAGAGUUGUACUAAUUACCAUGGAAUUAAGCUGAUUAGACAUACAACGAAGCUACGGGGAGAGUUAUUGAGCAUCGCUUCAGAAGAACGACAAGCGUGACCAAAAUCGGUUUGGUUUCAUGCCUGGGCGGUUGACCAUGGAAGCCAAAUUCUUGGUACCAUAACUUAUGAAGAGAUACAAGAAGCAAAAGAAGGACCCGCAUAUGGUGUUCAUUGACUUGGAGAAGGCCUAUGAUAAGAUACCACAGAAUGUCAUGUGGUGAGCCUUGGAGAAACACAAAGUCCAAGCAAAGUACAUGUAUGGUAAUGUUGUGACAAGUGUUUGAACAAGUGAUGGCAAUAUUGGUGACUUCCCAAUUCAAAUAGGACUGCACCACGGGUCGGCUUUGAGCCCUUAUCUUUUUUGCAUUGGUAAUGGAUGAGGUCACAAGGGAUAUACAAGGAGAUAUCCCAAGGUGUAUGCUCUUUGCGGACGAUGUGGUGCUAGUCGAUGACAGUCAGACGAGGGUCGACAAGACGUUAGAGCUAUGGAGACAAACCUUGAAAUCGAAAGGUUUUAGACUUAGUAGAACUAAAUCCGAGUACAUGAUGUGCGGUAUCAGUACUACUAGGCAUGAGGAGGAGGAGGGCAGGUUAGCCUGAAUGGACACGUAGAGCUUCAUAAGGACACCUUUCGAUAUUUGGGGUCAAUGAUGCAGAAGGAUGGGGAUAUCGAUGAGGAUGUGAACCAUCAAAUUGAAGUCGGAUGGAUGAAGUGGCGCCAAGCUUCUCGCAUUCUGUGCGACAAGAGAGUGCCACAAAAGCUAAAAGGCAAGUUAUAUAGGACAGCAGUUCGAUCUGCAAUCUUGUAUGACGCUGAGUGUUGGCCGACUAAAAGGGGACAUGUGCAACAGUUAGGUGUGGUGGAGAUGCGCAUGUUGAGAUGGACGUGUAGCUACAAAAGGAAGGACCGGUUCGGAAUGAUGACAUACAAGAUAGAGUUGUGGCAGUACCGAUUGAUUAGAAGCUUGUCCAACAUAGAUGGUUUGGGCAUAUUGAGUGUAGGCCUUCAAAAGCUCUAGUGCCUAGCGGACGACUAAAGGAUGAUGGUAAUGUCAGAACAGGUCGCGGUAGACCGAAUCUUACAUUGGAGGAGACCGUAAAGAGGGAUUUCAAGGACUGGAGUAUCACGAGAGAACUAGAAAUUGACACGGGUGCGCGGAAGCUUUCUAUCCAUGUGCGAGAACCAUGAGUUGAUCGCGAGAUCUUAUGGGUUUUACCUUUAGCCUACCCCAAUUUAUUUGGGACUAAAGGCUUCGUUGUUGUUGUGGGGGGGGUUUGACCAUGUUCGUUGUUGUUGUUGUCCCUGGUAAUGGGAAGUAAAUAUGGCUUUCUAGUAUGACAUGUGGAUUGACGAGUUCUCUCUCAAAACCUUGUUUUGGGAUCUUUUUGAGAUAUAUCUUUUUGAGAUAUAUCAACAAUAAGAUGCUACAAUUUCCCAAGUUUAGGAUGUGGAAACUUGCAGCUUGCCCUUAGAAGGUGGGUAGAUGAGCAACCUAUGUCUAGAUAGUUCAAGUAGGUUGAUCUAGUCAAAGAAUGUACUCUAUCUUUUAGGAAAGAUCAACCAAUUUGGAUGUUGGAACCUUCUCGCAAGUACUCUAUUAAGUCUUUUUAUAAGAUGAUUAAUUUGGAUGGGUGGUGUCACGCCCAAGAUGCGACCCUAUCCUUAAUUUGGCACGAAGGCCUCGUCAGGGAUGGAAGCGCAUCUCGUCGUGUCGCAAGAAUGGAUAUCGCUACAAGUACAUGUACUGAAAAGAAGAGAUAUAUAAAAGAGUUGGCUUACACUCGCCACAGGUUACAUCAGAGUCACAUCAGUACAUUACAUAAUCAUCAAGAGUAAGAGCAGGGUCCGACUACGGACGNNNNNNNNNNNNNNNNNNNNNNNNNNNNNNNNNNNNNNNNNNNNNNNNNNNNNNNNNNNNNNNNNNNNNNNNNNNNNNNNNNNNNNNNNNNNNNNNNNNNCAACCGUGCGGUCGGAUUCGGACGAUUCCGAACGCGGGUAUGGGUACGCGGCCGUGUAGAGGGGAUAACCGGAGACGAGAGGGAGAACGGGCGGCGCGGCAACAAUUUUUAAAACACCGAUGACCGUCCGGUGGUAGACUGAAUACGGCACCGCUACGGUCGACCGUUCGGGUACCAGACGGACUCCGAUCGCGACGAAAUUCGACAGGUGGCCUAGCUAUAACUACUUACGACCGCAUGCCAAGUUUCACCCGAUCAGAGAAAGUUUUGCGCACAAUUUUAAAACAGGGUUCGAACGAUGCCGCGGGCGCGUGCGUGUGCGGUCGGGCUCAGAACGGACAACGACGGAAACCGACAACUAACAACGGAUGCAAGUUUUGAAAACUGGCGGCAACGGAGAUGCCGAUGCAAUGCAGAUGAUGCGCGUGAUGCGAUGAUGAUGCGACAAAUAAAAAUAGACACACGACGAAAACGAAAAGAGAGGGGAAUCUUCUGGAACGCCGGCAUCGGGGUGUCACAGGUGGGGGGGGGGGUUCUCUGAAAUUAAAGAUUCUAUAUGAAACUCAAAGUCCCUCCAAAUAUACAUGUUCUCCUUUGGCUUAUCUUUAAUAAAAAAAGUUUGAAUAGGGAGCUGUAAAAUGUUGGAUGUUUCGUUUCUUGCCUUGGCUUAUUAAAGUUGGGGCAGGGGGAAACCCCUUUCGCUUCCAAAAAAAUAACUACAAGGGUGGAUCCUACACAGCGGCAGCUCUUCCACAUGCUAAAGUUCUCCCAUACAAGGGCACAAUACUCUAUUUUUUUUCUUUUUUGUUUUCCUGUUUGUAUUUCUAUUUCAAAAUACUUGAAACAAAAAUAUGCUUAAAAAUUAAUAUACUUCAGUUUUUAAUUUCAAAACACCCGCCACGCAAUUUAAAAAGAUAGCAGAAUCUAAGAAAAUGUUCAUAUCGUUAGAAAAAAUGUUCGUCAAAUUAAAAAACUAUUCAAGCAUUUCAAACAAUGUUUGUGAAAUUUUGAAAAUAAUUUCACAAUUUUCGAAAAUGUUUUUUUACGUCUAAAAAAUGUUUGUACUAAUCAAAAAAUGUACGUGACAUUUAACAAAAUAUUAACACGUUGGAAAUAUGUUUGUCAUGUUUUUGAAAACGUUAAUAUGAUGUAAAAGAUCGUGUAACAUAAAAAUAUGUUACAAUUAAGAACAAUUCAAAGUAUAUAUGAAUAUGUUUAAAUGGGUUUGAAAAAAUGUACAUCAAGUAUUUAAAGAAUGUUAACAUUUAUAAAAUAAAUGUUAUGCAUGUAUGUGAAACAUGUACAGGUUGUAUUGAAAAAAUUCGAGAUGUAUUUUUAAAAUAAAAAAGAAAAUAAAAUAGAAAACCAUACAAAGGAAAAGAAAAAAANNNNNNNNNNAAAAAAAGACAUGAAAUGGUCUAAAACCGGCUCGAACCAGUUCAUAGAACCAUUAUUUAAAGCCGGCAUUUUAUUGAUUAAGCAAUAAAAUCAUACAAUCUGCGCUGACUCAUUUAGCAAGCAUCAUAUAUAGCCUGGCGGAUGCCAGCUCAUUUCUGAGUUCUUAUUUUUCUUGUACUCAUUUUCUCAAAUUUUUAAAGUGUUUUGGUGUUUUGUUUCUAGAACAUUUUCUAACCCGUUAAAAUAUUCAAACUCAUAAUUAUUUUUAACAUACUUGAUAAUACAAUGAGUACACACAAUUCAAAAAAAAGUUCACAACUUUAAAAUUUUGUUCUUGAAAAUGUAAAAGAUUGUUCACAUUGUUUGUAAAAUAAGUAUGUAGCAUUCAAAAAAAAAUUCACAUUAUUUAUAAAAUGAGUACGUAUAAUUCAAAAAAAUCACAAUUUUAAAAUUUUGUUCUUGAAAAUAAAAAAAAUCUUAACAUUGUUUGUAAAAUAAGGACAUACCAUUCAAAAAAUUGUUCAAAAUGUACAUGCGUUAAAACAAUGUUUGUUAUAUAAAAAAAAGAUCCUACAAUACAAAAUUUAUACGUGCGAUGUGUUAAUUUAUGAGAUUAGUAUUUUUUUUAGGUUUUUGCUGUGAUUUUUAUGGUGCAACUAAUGUUAUGUAAUGCAAUUUUCAGGUUCACUUUCCAACUCUAUAAAAUAAUAACCGGUUUGAUUUUAGUUGUUGUUUCAAAAUGAAAUGCAUUUCUGGAUUCUGGAUUCUGGAUUCCCCUUUUUGAUGAACACAGUUAUUACCUCAAAGAACUAAGGAAAAACACCAGUAAGUGUAGUAGUGUUCAUUUUUUUUUAAUUUUCUCUUUUUCGUUUAUACUUAAUAAUUAUUUUAUCAUGUGUAGAUACCCAAUUUCCAGAGAUGUUGGCAUGACUGUAUGAGUUUGGUUCUAAUUUCUAAAAGAGUAGAAUUCAGCAUCGAGAGGAUCUAUUUUGCUAAACUAACCCAUCAAGAUAAUGAGUAGGUUUUAACAUUUUUUUUAAUGUUUUUUAUUUUUUUUAUAUUUUGGUUCUAACUUAUUUUAUUCAAGUUUUUCACUGUUUAAUGUACGAGUUCCGUAUGUGCGUGUGUAUGUGUGCGGGUUGUAUUCUUGAAUGUAUAUAACCCAUCCUUUUUUUUUGCGGAGGUAUAUAACCCAUCCUUGUGUCUGAAGAUCUGGUGAUAAAUAACCGACAUUUCCGAGACGACUUCUGCUUGUAGUAUGUGUUAAAUUAAAUCUUGAGGUGCGUAGUUGAUCUAUCGAUGAUCAAGUAAUCACACGGACACGACAUCAAGAUUUGUUAACGAGGUUCAUCGAUAUGGCUAUAUUCCUGGGGAUCAGUACAGACGUUCUUUUCCGUGACACCGUCACAAUACCUCAUCGGCCGGGCGCCAGCACACGUCGUUGCCCCCUCCCCCCUGCAUGCAUGUAUUAUUAUGUUAUUAUAGGUUACAUCAUGUAUCUAGUCUCACUAUAUAGGAAAGAUGUAGGAUACAUGUGUCUUAUUAGGACACAACUUCAUAUGAAUCAUAUCCUAUCUAGACACAAUACUAUUCAGAGUGCAACAAUAUAUUCGACACAAUUUCAACAAUUUGUACACAAAGAGUAAAUUAGAGAUUAUAGCCCGUAAGGUCCAAAAAUUGACACAAAGAACUUGGUUGGUAAGAAGAUGGUCGUGCAUUGAUCCGCCACUCGCGAGGCUGGACACCAUUCGCGACAUAUUCGCACAAUCAGGUUGCAACGAUGGACACCAUUUGCUUGAAGUUGCGUUGUGUAGAAACUGAUGUUUUCUGCUACUAAUUGAAAGGGAGAAUUGGGCAGAGCAAGACGAGCCACGGAUGGCACAAAACGGAGAGUGGUGGCGUCGUUCUCAUCUCCGGUCGCGUGCCGGCCAGUGUGGCCUAGGACGGCGUUCUCGUUUCCAAUAAGUACAGAUCCGAAUGUAUAGGACCAACUGUGGGAUGCAAUCAAUUCGGGGGUGUAGCUCAUAUGGUAGAGCGCUCGCUUCGCAUGCGAGAGGCACGGGGUUCGAUUCCCCGCACCUCCAUUUUUAUUAUCAAUGUUUCUUAAGAGCGGUUUUUUUUGGAGGGACUCUGAGAAGGAAACAGUUCGUUUGGGGCACAACAAUUUCUCGUUUUUGGCCUUUCCUUGCUUUGCUGUCAUUUCUAAGGCCCAGUCAAAUUUUAUUUGGGACACAACAACUUCUCGUUUUUGGCCUUUCCUUGUUUGGGGCACAACAACUUCUCGUUUUUGGCUUUUCCUUGCUUUGCUGUCAUUUUUAAGGCACAGUCAAAUUUUAUUUGGGACACAACAACUUCUCGUUUUUGGCCUUUCCUUGCUUUAUUGUCAUUUCUAAGACCAAGUCAAAUUUUAUUUGGGGCACAACAACUUUUUGUUUUGGGCAUUUCCUUGCUUUGCUGUCAUUUCUAAGGCCAAGUCAAAUUUUAUUUGGGGCACAACAACUUCUCGUUUUUUGCCUUUCCUUGCUUUGCUGUCAUUUUUAAAACCGAGUCAAAUUUUAUUUGGGGCACAACAACUUUUCGUUUUGGGCAUUUCCUUGCUUUGCUGUCAUUUCUAAGGCCCGGUCAAAUUUUAUUUGGGGCACAACAACAUCUCGUUUUUGGCCUUUCCUUGCUUUGCUGUCAUUUCUAAGACCUAGUCAAAUUUUAUUUGGGGCACAACAACUUUUCGUUUUGGGCAUUUUCUUGCUUUGUUGUCAUUUCUAAGGCCUAGUCAAAUUUUAUUUGGGACACAACAACUUCUCGUUUUGGGCCUUUUCUUGCUUUGCUAUCAUUUUAAGGCCUAGUCAAAUUUCAUUUGGGGCACAACAACUUCUUGUUUUGGGCCUUUCCUUGCUUUGCUGUCAUUUCUAAGCCCCAGUCAAAUUUUAUUUGGAGCACAACAACUUUUUUUUGGGCCUUUCCUUGCUUUGCUGUCAUUUCUAAUGCCCAGUCAAAUUUUAUUUGGGGAACAACAACUUUUCGUUUUGGGCCUUUCCUUGCUUUGAUGUCAUUUCUAAGACCCGGUCAAAUUUGGUUUGGGGCACAACAACUUCUUGUUUUGGAUCUUUCCUUGCUUUGCUGUCAUUUCUAAGGCCGAGUCAAAUUUCGUUUGGGACACAACAACUUCUCGUUUUGGGCCUUUCCUUGCUUUGCUGUCGUUUCUAAGGCCCAGUCAAAUCCCGGACUCCGUGUGUUUUUGUGGGCAUAUGUUGAUGAUGGUUGUGUGUAUUUUGACUAUACAGAGGUUGGAUGUAUGCUCAUUGUAUUUCUAUCCUCUUCAUACUUUCUAUUAAGUUAAUAUAAAAUACACCCUUUGUUGAGAAACUAAGGGAAAAGAUUACCUUCUACCAGCCGAUCGUGCGUGUCCGUCCGCCGGCUCCGUGGUCGUUCGAUCAUGUGGCUCGUCUAUGAAGAGCGAGAAGUGAGGAGGAAAAUUUACUGUUGUGUAUUGAUCCUCUCUAUGUUACAUAUACAGAUAAUGCACACGCACCAGCCUGUGUAACUACUCUAGCUAUACAUGCGGUAACAAACCUUGAAGACUAGGUGUGACGAUCGUGGCUAGAAGAACGUGGAGCAGAACUGCUGGACUGGUUCCAACACCCCCUGGCAAUCACAGCGGCGCUGUUCGAGACGCAGAGUUGGUCUUGAAAUCCUUAAAUGAAGCGGAAGGAAGCUCUGUGGUCAUCACAUCUGCAAACUGUUGUUUGGUGGGGACGUGCAGGAUGCGGUAGUGACCAAGGGCAACCUUUUCGCGCACAAAAUGAAUGUCAAGCUCAAUGUGCUUGGUACGACGAUGAUGAAUCAGGUUCUGGGCGAGGUAGAGGGCGGAGACAUUGUCACAUUAGACAACGGUGGCCUUGGCAAUGUCGGAGUUGAGCUCGUGUAGCAACUGUCAUAUCCAGCAACACUCCGCAACAGCAUUGGCAACCGCACGGUAUUCGGCUUCUGCACUGCACCGGGACACCGUAGGUUGCCGUUUGGAGGACCACGACACCAGAUACCCGCCGAGGAAGACGCAAUGGCCCGAAGUCGAACGUCGUGUGUCCGGACAACCCGCCCAGUACGUGUCGUUGUACGCAACAAGCUCCAUCGACGGUGAAUCAACGAUGGUCAGGCCAUGAUCGGUGGUACCUCGAAUAUAUCAAAGUAUCCGCUUGACCAUAGCGCAAUGUGGCAGCUUGGGCACAUGCAUGUGAAGACAAACCUGCUAGACAACGUAUGCAAUGUCCGGGCGCGUGAGUGUCAAGUACUGCAACGCACCCGUGAUGCUGCGGUAGGUCGAGGCAUCGUCGAAGGCAGCACCAGCGUCGGCGGAGAGCUUGUUCUUGGUGUCCACACGCGUGGGCAUCGGGUGACACUACUGCAUCCCUGCUCGCUGGAUGAGCUCAGCGGCGUACUGGGCUUGAUGUAGAAAGAACCCGCAGGCGGAUCGGUGUACCUGAUUACUGAGGAAGAAGCUCAGGGCCCCCAAGUCCUUGAGGGUAACUGAGGCACGGAGAUUACCGAUGAUAUGGUGUAGGAGCACGUCAGAGGAAGCAGCAAGAACGAUGUUGUCGACAUACAAGAGGAGAUACGCCGUCCCCAUGGCAUGUCGAAGGACGAAAAGUGAGGCAUCGGAGCGAGUUGCCCUGAAGCCGAUGGUGUGCAGGCAGUGAGCGAAUGUGGUGAAUGAUGGCCCGGUCGUCCUGCGGGAGUCCGCAAUUAGCAAGAGUGUCGGCGAGGGUUUUGAACCUCGUGCAGUACUCCUGGACAAAGGAGUGGCUUUGGAAGAGGCCAUGGAACUCCUCCAGCGCCUGGGAGCCUUGUUGAUGUCGGUUGCCGCGGUAGAGCGUGUGGAUCGCCUUGAAGAGAACGUACGCGGUGGCUUGGUCGACGUGAAUCGUGCCGUCGAUGUCCUCCGAGAUCGUGUCGUAGAUCCAGCGCACGAUGCACCAGUCGAGUUGGGUCCAGAUGGGAUCGGAGAGGCGCUGUCGGGCGUUGACGGUGCCGUCCACAUGAUCGGCGAGGCCAUAGGAGUUGAUCAAGGCGUCGAAGAAGGUGAGCCAGAGGGUGAAGUUGGGUGGUUGGAGCUUGAGGGUGAUGGGAAUUUGGCCAUGGACGUUGAGGCUGAGGAUGGUGGAGAGGGGAAUGGGCGGUGGGUCGGCGGCGAAGGGGUUCGAGCCGUCGGAGCCGCAAGUAGAGACGUCGGAGGAGAUGUCCAUCGAGGGGCGGAAGCGAGAGGUCGAGGAUGGUUAGAAAUCUGAUACCAUGACGAGCGAGAAGUGAUGAGGAUAAAUUACUGCCGUGUAUUGAUCCUCUCUGUGUUACAUAUACACAUAAUGCACACGCACCAGCAUGAGUAACUACUCUAGCUAUACAUGCGGUAACAAACCCUGAAGACUAGGUGUGACGAUCGUGGGCAGAAGAAUGUGGAGCAGAACUGCCGGACUGGUUCCAAUAGUCUAGCUGGGAGGGCGAACGACUGGAUUUUGGUUUUUUCCUCACACAUUAAUUCUUGAAACAAAAAACCAGUUUCAUAAACAACGGUCGCAUUGCAGAAAUAAUUUUGAAAAGAACAAACGCGUUGCAGAAACAACGAUAAUGUUGUAGAAACUUAUGUUUGCAAAAAUUACGACAUCUUCUGACCCAUGUUGCAAAAAUUACGACAUGAUGUAAAAAUGACGACAUCUUCUGAAUCAUAUCGCAAAAAUUAUGACAUAAUGCAAAAGUUAAUCUGGUUUGUUUUUUGAGUUAAAUCGAACAGCUCAGUGUGAAGAUCCGAUGAUCAUGUUGGUGACGGAUGUUUUUGUAACUCGACCGUUGCUUCAGAAAAUUAAUUUGGUCAGGGGAUGCGACCGAGCCGCGUGUGAUUAUCCGGCAUGGUAAGGUGCAAUCAGAUUGGGGGUGUAGCUCAUAUGGUAGAGCGCUCGCUUCGCAUGCGAGAGGCACGGGGUUCGAUUCCCCGCACCUCCACUAUAUACUUUUUUUCCAAGAAUCAUCAGGAAAAUGAUACUCCAUUUUUUUUCACUAUUUAUUUUGAGCCUUCCCUUGUUCGGCUCUCUUCUCCAAGGCGAACCGGCGCAGGCGUUUCCCCCGAGAAGGCGUGAGAUGAACAACGACAGUGGCAUCACAGCUUGCUUUAAGCCACAGCCACACUAAACAAGGACGGCCUACGCUACGCACCGAGGAAUCCAAAGCCAUAAUUAACUGAGGAAUGUUCUUGCUACUGUACGUACGGACUGAUCCCUAGUAGCUAGGCAGAGAGCGAUGAUCGUUCUCAUUCCGUUCCUCCCACCCUCAUUUUUUAUGUGGUUAAUAAUGAUUAACAGGGGCUUGCAAGCUCGCGGCAAAACAUAGUAAUAACGCAACAAAAGGCGGGAAAGCGGCACACCUACAGUAGCUAGGUAGAAAUGGAACCUGCCAAGUGGACCUGAGGCGUGUUUCUUUUCUUCCGAGUAGAGUUCCAAGUGUGCGUGGGGGCUUUCUCGGACUAAAGCGGAUGAUUGCAUGCGGAAAAGGGUUCGCGCUUCUGAGAUUCGUCCGGGGGCCGGCGUGCAUGCCGGUGAACAACGGAAAGGGAGUCGCUCUCUUCGGCUCUUGGGCCGGAGCUGGACAAGUGCAGGGUUUCGCCCCGCUCCUGGAGCUUUGCAUUUGAGAGCAGGUGCAUGCUCUUCUCAGCAAACAUUCAGAGCGUGUUUUGUAGGAUGCCAAUCCUUUGGAAUUUUCCCUGAUGAUUGCUUUUGGAUCCUCUCCCUAUAGUNNNNNNNNNNNNNNNNNNNNNNNNNNNNNNNNNNNNNNNNNNNNNNNNNNNNNNNNNNNNNNNNNNNNNNNNNNNNNNNNNNNNNNNNNNNNNNNNNNNNAAUCUUCAAAGGUAUGAAGAUGCACUCAUGUCACGCCCAGAUGCGACCCUAUCCUCAAUUUGGCACGAGGGCCUCGUCAGGGAUAGAAGCGCAUCUCGUCGUGUCGCAAGAAUGGAUAUCAUUACAAGUACAUGUACUGAAAAGAAGAGAUAUAUAAUAUAAUUGGCUUACACUCGCCACAAGCUACAUCAGAGUCGCAUCAGUACAUUACAUAAUCAUCACGAGUAAGAGCAGGGUCCGACUACAGACGAUAACAAACGACAAAAGAAGAACGACGUCCAUCCUUGCUAUCCCAGGAUGCCGGCCUGGAACCCAUCCUAGAUCGAUGAAGAAGAAGAAGAAGAAGCAACUCCAAAUGAACAAUCAACACGCUCGCGUCAAGUAACCUUUACCUGUACCUGCAACUGGUGUUGUAGUAAUCUGUGAGCCACAGGGGACUCAGCAAUCUCAUUUCCAAAGGUAUCAAGACUAGCAAAGCUUAAUGGGUGAGGUAUGGUUAAGUGGUGAGGUUGCAGCAGCGACUAAGCACAUAUUUGGUGGCUAAACUUACGAGUACGAGAAGUAGAGGGGGAAGAUCUACGCAUAGCGGACGUGAACUACAGAUGAUCAAAUGAAUGAUCCUGAACACCUACCUACAUCAGACAUAACCCCACCGUGUCCUCGAUCGGAGAAGGAACUCACGAAANNNNNNNNNNAGUUGGCAUAUUUUAAUUAAGUUAACUUCAAGUUAUCUAGAACCAGUGUUAAACAAAGCUUUCACGUUGCCACAUAACCGCGGGCACGGCUUUCCGAAAAGAUUUAACCCUGCAGGGGUGCUCCAGCUAGUCCAUCACAAAUUACCACAAGCCGCAUAGAAAUCCUCAAUCAUGNNNNNNNNNNGGUAGGCAUGUUUUAAUUAAGUUAACUUCAAGUUAUCUAGAACCAGUGUUAAACAAAGUAUCCACGUUGCCACAUAAUCGCGGGCGCGGCUUUCCGAAAAUAUUUAACCCUGCAGGGGUGCUCCAACUAGUCCAUCACAAAUUACCACAAGCCGCAUAGAAAUCCUCAAUCACGAAGCUCACGAUCUCGUGGGAUUCCCUAGUGGAAAACCUCAACUCUGAGAUUACCCAAAGCAUCACCGGAAUCCCGAUGCACAAGAUAUCUCGUCAAAGGUAAAACUAAUCCAGCAAGGCCGCCCGACGUGUCGACGAUCCCGAUAGGAGCCGCGUAUCUCGUUCUCAGGACACGGCGGAUGGGUCACACUAGGAGAACCAAACCACAGGUUGCCCCGCGGUGGCCNNNNNNNNNNNNNNNNNNNNNNNNNNNNNNNNNNNNNNNNNNNNNNNNNNNNNNNNNNNNNNNNNNNNNNNNNNNNNNNNNNNNNNNNNNNNNNNNNNNNAGAGGGCCAACGGGCCGGCUUGGUGGGGCGCUGGUGGAGUGGGCCUCGACCUGUGUAUGGCGCGAUGGCUGCAGGAGGUGGCCGGCCCAGGCGGGAGGAGGCCGGCCCAGGUGGGGUGGAGGCCCAUGCGGGCGCUCGGGACGAGCCGUCCCCGUCCUCCCGCACGGGACCAAGCUCCCUGUCGACUCCCGGCGGCGGCUCCUGGCGGGGAGGCACGGGGAAGACGCGAGCUCCUGCGGCGGGAAUAGAUCCGGCCACCGGGGCUCCGUUCCCGGUGGUGGCGGACCGAGGCGGCACAGGGGCAAGCAGAUCGGCAGCGGGGGAUAACCGGCGAGCUCCUGGCGCGGGCAGUGGCCAUGGCGGCGGCGGAGAGGCAAGGCGGCGGGGUCUUGCGGCGCGGAGGCAGGGCACAGAAUGGUGGCGAGGCCCCGGCGAUGUGGCGGCCGGCGGCAUGGGGCGCAGGCGGCGGCGUGAGGCUGCUGCUCGGGAGCAGGGAGGAGGCAGCCUCGGGCGCCUCGGCAAGGCGGCGGCGCGAUGGUUCCGGUCCCGGCGGGCCAGCCGUGGGCCUGGGGGGCCCUGUCGGUGGGGAGGAGAGAGGCAGGACACUGGGGUGGCGGCUGGUUCGGUUGGUGGGCAUGGAAAACGAUGAAGUGGCUAGGGUUUCCUUAAGGGGCAAUUUAGGGGUGUCUAAAUAGGGAAGAGAGGCUAGGUUAGAGGGUAUCUGNNNNNNNNNNUUUUUCCACCCUCCAAUCGCGACCGUGCGGUCCGAUCGGAGAGGCGGGCUAGGGUUAGCUGUGUAGAGUGGCGUUGGCUAAGAUGAGAGGGAAGUGGUGCGGCGCGGCAACGAUUUAUAAAACACCGACAAACGUCCGACGGGAGACCGAAUACGGUGCCGCCACGGUCGACCGUUCGGGUACCAGACGGACUCCGAUCGCGACGAAAUUNNNNNNNNNNNNNNNNNNNNNNNNNNNNNNNNNNNNNNNNNNNNNNNNNNNNNNNNNNNNNNNNNNNNNNNNNNNNNNNNNNNNNNNNNNNNNNNNNNNNNNNNNNNNNNNNNNNNNNNNNNNNNNNNNNNNNNNNNNNNNNNNNNNNNNNNNNNNNNNNNNNNNNNNNNNNNNNNNNNNNNNNNNNNNNNNNNNNNNNUGGCGCGCGCGAGUGCGGUCGGACUCAGAACGGACAACGUCGAGGACCUGCAACUAACNNNNNNNNNNNNNNNNNNNNNNNNNNNNNNNNNNNNNNNNNNNNNNNNNNNNNNNNNNNNNNNNNNNNNNNNNNNNNNNNNNNNNNNNNNNNNNNNNNNNACGGGAAAAUAAACUACCGGUAAAACCCUUCACGGAAAAAUACGAGUGACCGCUCUAAAAUACGUAGAAAUAUGAUCCCUAAAACAUGGACAUUAAAUCCAUGGCAUACGAGCACUUCGGACACGCACGAGAAUUAACUACGGAUCGGAUCCUAGUUAAACAGCACGUAAAACGAGGCAUUAGGCACUCUAAACAGCGUUAAACAAAUAUGCAAGUUGGAUAAACGUGUUCUACUCGCGAAGCUACCCCAAAACGAUAUAUAACACGCUGCGAUCCGACUAACGGAACUAAAGAUACGGGCGUUUUAAAAUACGUCUACUUCUGGAAUAAAUUAUAUCGCAAAAUAGGAAAAGGUCUAAUGGGCCGAAUCUACAUAUGGGCCAAUGGGCAACACGCUAAAUAUCGCCCGGGGCGGGGGUUAGGCGCUGGAGCUCACCUUGGGGGGAGCCUCUUGGGCCGGUUAGGGGGAAUCGCCCCGGACUGGGCCUGCUCGAGGUGGGCCGCGCGGGGCACGUGGGAGGCCGGCCCACGCGGCUACGGGAGGGAGAGGCGCCCGGCCUCGUCGUCCUCCUCUGGCCGAGCCGCACGAGGGGAUGGCGGCGCCGACCUGCGCGGAGGCGCGAGCGCCACGGCGAGGCUCAAGUCUGGCAGAUCCGGUGGCUAGGUCUGCGGCAAGCCCUCUGGCUGCUCGAUCCAGGAGCUCGCCAUGGAGCUCGGGCGGCUCCUGGUCGUCCACUGCGAAGAGAGGAGCAGAGAGGUUAGGGGGAGAGAGGAGAAAGAAAAGAGGAGAAGGGACGCGCUGGCCGGACCUGCGGGGCGGCGCUCCGACGGCUCGCCGGCGGCGGUCGGAGGGAGGUGGCGGCGAGAGGACCAGGCGGCGGCGAAGGUGGCUGGAGGCGCGGGGCACCUCGGGCGCUGAAGGCGGCUCGGGAGGCGGCGGCGGCGGUUCGGGCCUGGCGGGNNNNNNNNNNUGCCCGACGUGUCGACGAUCCCUAUAGGAGCCGCGUAUCCCGUUCUCAGGACACGGCAGAUGGGUCACACUAGGAGAACCAAACCACAGGUUGCCCCGCGGUGGCCCCAUAGUCUGCCAAUUUGGAGCAACACUCAUGAGGAGCACUGGCCCGGGGGUUGAUUAAAUUAUCCUCGGGGUCCGGAAAGUCCCUAUGCAAUUUUAUUAGGUGUUUAGGCAAAUGUAGUACCAAAGUUGGGCCUCGCCAGACCAGUCUUAAUCUAAAACUAAUUAUCAAGGGGGUCCCCAUAACAACCCCGAUCGUGUUAGGAGCGCUCAAUUAUGGGAACAUAACACCGGUAGCCGAAACUAAGGGGGCAAAGGUGGAACAAAACACCAGGCUAGAAAGGCCGAGCCUUNNNNNNNNNNUUGCAUUAAAUUAAAUAUCAUUUAAAUAUGGUGAUAUAACAAGGAACCCAUGUCUUCACAUGGAAGUAACUGCACCUGCAACUAGCAACGCUAAGACAGGGUUAAGCAAGCAGUAACAUAGCCAAUCAGUGGUUUGCUAGGUUGAACAGGUUGAGGGUUUCAUGGCAUUGUUGAUAGGCUGACAUUUAACAUGUGGUAGGCAACGAGACAUAACGACAGAAACNNNNNNNNNNGCCUUAAAUUAAAUAGCAUUUAAAUAUGGUGAUAUAACAAGGAACCCAUGUCUUCACAUGGAAGCAACUGCACCUGCAACUAGCAACGCUAACACGGGGUUAAGCAAGCAGUAACAUAGCCAAUCAGUGGUUUGUUAGGUUGAACAGGUUGAGGGUUUCAUGGCAUUGUGGAGAGGCUGACAUUUAACAUGUGGUAGGCAACGAGACAUAACGACAGAAACGAUAAAACUAGCAUGGCAAUGAUAGUAAUGGUAUCUGGGGAAAUGGUCAUCUUGCCUGAGAUCCCGCUUGGAAAAAGAAUGCCUCCGUGAAGCAGACAAACCGACGUAGUCGAACGGGUCCUCACAAUCCGGCACGCUGCGGAACUCUAACGAGACGAAGCAAACCGGAAACACAAAUCAACCCACGGAAUUCACCACACGAUGCACAACACAUCUGAUGCAUGAGCAGCUGAAAACAUGCAAGACACGGCAUGAUAAUUCACACAAUCAAACACUACACAUUAAGUGAAGUUCAAUAUGCAACGAGUUGCAUAUUGACGAAACUCCACGUUAAUUAUUUAGUUCACUCCCGGUUAUUUACACAUCAAUAUUAAAUGUGGUUAAACGAGGCAAGAGGUGAAGUGCAAUUUAAACUACCUAUCUAGGCAUUUUAAAUGACGUCGGAAAUGACAUAUAGCACCUCCGAAAUGACCUCACAUGUUAAGUUAUGAUUCUGUCCAGAUCUGAACUAACACAUUUAAUUAGUUGUUAAACAGCAAAAAAAAUAGGUUCACGUGAUUCUACGCGUCAUUUCAAGAAAUCUACACAUAAAGAACAUUUCCAACGGAGCUACGGAUCAAAAGAUACGGACACCGCAAGAUAUGAUGGCAUGAAUGCAAUAUGUGUGUAACGACGGUCACGAGCACUUCAAAACAUACAACCACAAGGGAAAAUGAAACUACACGAGAUUCUAAGAAAAUUUCAUGUAGGACACGAUCAAAUCGGAGCUACGGUUCAACAACUACGAGCCAAACAAGAAAUCACUACAAUCUGCCAAAAUCAGCCACAUAGCAUCUUCUACACCUCACAACUACGAACUAUUCAACUCAAAUAUAAUCAACCGAGGCAUGACACGAAAGAGGGUGAGAAGCACUACAACAUACAACCAACAACAACUAGCAUGGCAGCAAGGAACACUAGGAAAAGAAGACACAACAUAGCAUCCCACACACUAUUUCAGGCUUAGUGAAAAUUACACCUCAUGAGAGUGCAGUUUUCGAUCGGAAGCAAUAUUGACAGCAGCAAAAUCAUAAGCUACAUGACUCCAAAUGNNNNNNNNNNGGAGACGAAGCAAACCGGAAACACAUAUCAACACACGGAAUUCACCACACGAUGCACAACACAUCUGAAACAUGAGCAGCUGAAAACAUGCAAGAUACGGCAUGACAAUUCACACAAUCAAACACUACACGUUAAGUGAAGUUCAAUAUGCAACGAGUUGCAUAUUGACGAAACUCCACGUUAAUUAUUUAGUUCACUCCCGGUUAUUUACACGGCAAUAUUAAAUGUGGUUAAACGAGGCAAGAGGUGAAGUGCAACUUAAACUACCUAUCUAGGCAUUUUAAAUGAGGUCGGAAAUGACAUAUAGCACCUCCGAAAUGACCUCACAUGUUAAGUUAUGAUUCUGUCCAGAUAUGAACUAACACAUUUAAUUAGUUGUUAAACAGCAAAACAAAUAGGUUCACAUGAUUCUACGCGUCAUUUCAAGAAAUCUACACAUAAAGAACAUCUCCAACGGAGCUACGGAUCAAAAGAUACGGACACCAAAAGAUAUGAUGGCAUGAAUGCAAUAUGUGUGCAACGACGGUCACGAGCACUUCAAAACAUACAACCAGCAAGGAAAAAUGAAACUACACGAGAUUCUAAGCAAGUUUCAUGUAGGACACGAUCAAAUCAGAGCUACGGUUCAACAACUACCAGCAAAACAAGAAAUCACUACAAUCUGCCAAAAUCAGCCACAUAGCAUCUUCUACACCCCAUAACUACGAACUAUUCUACUCAAAUAUAAUCAACCAAGACAUGACACGAAAUAGGGUGAGAAGCACUACAACAUACAACCAACAACAACUAGCAUGGCAUCAAGGAACACUAGGAAAAGAAGACACAACAUGGCAUCCCACACACUAUUUCAAACUUAGUGAAAAUUACACCUCUUGAGAGUGCAGUUUUCGAUCUGAAGCAAUAUUGACAGCAGCAAAAUCAUAAGCUACAUGACUCCAAAUGACAUGAAAAUUCACAUCAUCCUAGAGAAUCACAAGGGUUACAACUAACUCCAUUGCACCAACCUCAAAAGAGCUACAGAUCACAAGAUAGAAGCAAGACAAGACAACAACAAAAUAUACCAGAUUCCAGACUUAGAAAUAUUUCAGCACCUCCAAAUCAGCACUAUUUCUAGCAACUUGANNNNNNNNNNAACAGCAAAAAAAUAUAACAGAUUCCAGACAUAGAAAUAUUUCAGCACCUCCAAAUCAGCACUAUUUCUAGCAACUUGAGGGCGAUCAAACCACACCUAAACAUGAUUUUCUAUUACAACCAAAAAUACCAGGGGCUAAACAAAACAUCCAAGAUCAACUCUCUAGUUGACAACUCCGUCAAACAAAGCACGGAAUAAAUCCUACGAAAUAAACAAAAGGGCAUCACGGCAAAAUAUCGCGCGAACUAACUUACUCAAAAGCUAAAACUAAUUGCACAGAAAAAUCCAUUAAAAUAUGUGGGGUUGCACAACAAAAUAAUGCCACACGAAAAUGCGAGAAAAAUAACCUAGACACGGAAAAAUAAACUAGCGCAAAUCCCUACACGCAAAAAUACCAAUGACCGCUCUAAAAUACAUGGAAAAUAGGUUCCUAAAACAUGGCCAUUUUAUCUAAGGCAUUCGGGCAAACCGGACACGCGCGAAAAAUAAACUACGGACAAAACAUAUUAGGACAACACGUGUUUCUAUGCAUACGACAUGCCAAACGACGUCAAACAAUUAUGCAAGUUGGAAAAACGGAUCCUACGCGAGAAACUACAUGAAAACCAUAUCUAAAUCACCACGAUCUGACAUACGGAUUAAAAGUUACGGGCGAAACAAUAAUCGUCUAUUUCCUGGAAUUUUAAAUUAUUCCAAAAAUCCCUAAAAGAAAAUAAGCUACCGUGCCUAUUCUAUUCUCAUGGGCUACACAAGGGGUGCAAGUUAACUAUCCUGCGCCUAAGGCAUGGAAUAGAGGGGCUGGGUGGAUCUCACCAGAGGGCCAACGGGCCGGCUUGGUGGGGCGCUGGUGGAGUGGGCCUCGGCUUGUCUGUGGCGCGAUGGCUGCAGGAGGUGGCCGGCCCACGUGGGGUGGAGGCCCAGGCGGGCGCUCGGGACGAGCCGUCCCCGUCAUCCCGCACGGGACCGAGCUCCCUGUCGGCUCCCGGCGGCGGCUCCUGGCGGGGAGGCGCGGGGAAGACGUGGGGAAGAGGCGAGCUCCUGCGGCGGGAAUAGAUCCAGCCACCGGGGCUCCGUUCCCGGUGGUGGCGGACCGAGGCGACGGAGGGGCGAGCAGGUCGGCGGCGGGGGAUAACCGGCGAGCUCCUGGCGACGGCGGAGAGGCAAGGCGGCGGGGUCUUGCGGCGCGGAGGCGGGGCAGGGAAUGGCCGUGAGGCCCCGGCGACGUGGCGGCCGGCGGCAUGGGGCGCAGGCGGCGACGCGAGGCUGCUGCUCAGGAGCAGGGAGGAGGCAGCCUCGGGCGCCUCGGCAAGGCGACGACGCGAUGGUUCUNNNNNNNNNNNNNNNNNNNNNNNNNNNNNNNNNNNNNNNNNNNNNNNNNNNNNNNNNNNNNNNNNNNNNNNNNNNNNNNNNNNNNNNNNNNNNNNNNNNNAACGAAAGAAGAAUUAAGACAAAGUCUAACCAUAACAUUAAACUAGUGGAUCCAAAUCAGCCCCUUACGAAGCAACGCAUAAACUAGGGUUUAAGCUUCUGUCACUCUAGCAACCCAUCAUCUACUUACUACUUCCNNNNNNNNNNCGUUCGUUACUUUGAUAGUUUGAUAUGUGGGUGGACCGGCGCUUGGGUACUGCCCUUACUUGGACAAGCAUCCCACUUAUGAUUAACCCCUCUCGCAAGCAUCCGCAACNNNNNNNNNNUUCUUGGGCGUGACACCUUACUUGGACAAGCAUCCCACUUAUGAUUAACCCCUCACGCAAGCAUCCGCAACUACGAAAGAAGAAUUAAGACAACGUCUAACCAUUGCAUUAAACUAGUGGAUCCAAAUCAGCCCCUUACGAAGCAACGCAUAGACUGGGUUUAAGCUUCUGUCACUCCAGCAACCCAUCAUCUAAUUACUACUCCCCAAUGCCUUCCUCUAGGCCCAAAUAUGGUGAAGUGUUAUGUAGUCGACGUUCACAUAACACCACUAGAGGAAAAGACAACAUACAUCAUAUCAAAAUACCGAACGAAUAUCAAAUUCACAUGACUAUUAUCAGCAUGACUUAUCCCAUGUCCUCGGGAACAAAAGUAACUACUCAAAAAGCAUAAUCAUAAUCAUGAUCAAAGGUGUAAUGAAUAGCAUCAAGGAUCUGAACAUAAACUCUUCCACCAANNNNNNNNNNGGUGUGAUUCCGAUCUAGUGCCGAACCAUGGCACCUCCGCGUUCAACACACGUGCAGCCCGGUGACGUCUCCCGCACCUUGAUCCAGCAAGGAGGAGGGAGAGGUUGGGGAAGAUCUCCGGCAGCACGACGGCGUGGUGUCGAUGGAUAGACGAGGUCUCCCUGCAGGGCUUCACCAAGCACCGUGGGAGAGGAGGAAGAAGGGGGGCAGGGCUGCGCCGAGGGAGAGGGAAAACUGUGUGCAAAACAGCCCCAAAACCCCCACUAUAUAUAGGAGGAGGGGAGGGAGUGCCACCCCUAGGGUUCCCACCCUAGGGGGUGCGGCAGCCCCCAGAUGGGAGGUGCGGCGGCCAGGGCAGGGGGAGGGGUGGCGCACCCCUAGGUGGGCCUUAGGCCAACCAGCGCCUAGGUUCCCCCCCUCUCCACCUCCUGUGCCUUGGGCCUCCUUGUGGGAGGCGCACCAGCCCACUUUGGGCUGGUUNNNNNNNNNNNNNNNNNNNNNNNNNNNNNNNNNNNNNNNNNNNNNNNNNNNNNNNNNNNNNNNNNNNNNNNNNNACAUUACCAGUGACGCCCGAAACAUUUCCGGUGUCCAAAACCAUCCAUCCUAUAUAUCAAUCUUUACCUCCGGACCAUUCCGGAGCUCCUCGUGAUGUCCGAGAUCUCAUCCGGGACUCCGAACAACUUUAGGUAACCUCGUAUAACAAUUUCCUAUAACCCUAGCGUCAUCGAACCUUAAGUGUGUAGACCCUACGGGUNNNNNNNNNNGACAGGCAGACAUGACCGAGACACCUCUCCGGCCAAUAACCAUCAGCGGGGUCUGGAUACCCAUGGUGGCUCCCACUUGCUCCACGAUGAUCUCAUCGGAUGAACCACGAUGUCAAGGAUUCAAUCAAUCCCGUAUACAAUUCCUUUUGUUUGUCGGUAUAGAACUUGCCCGAGAUUCGAUCAUCGGUAUACCUGUACCUUGUUCAAUCUCGUUACCGAUAAGUCUCUUUACUCGUUCCGUAGCACGUCAUCGUGUGACUAACUUCUUAGUCACAUUGAGCUCAUGAUGAUGUUCUACCGAGUGGACCCAGAGAUACCUCUCCGUCACGCGGAGUGACAAAUCCCGAUAUCAAUUCGUACCAACCCAACAGACACUUUCAGAGGUACCUGUAGUGCACCUUUAUAGUCACCGAGUUACGUUGUGACGUUUGAUACACCCAAAGCACUCCUACGGUAUCCGGGAGUUGCACAAUCUCACGGUCGAAGGAAAAGACACUUGACAUUAGAAAAGCUUUAGCAUACGAACAAUACGAUCUAGUGUUAUGCUUAGGAUUAGGUCUUGUCCAUCACAUCAUUCUCCCAAUGAUGUGAUCCCGUUAUCAAUGACAUCUAAUGCCCAUCAUCAGGAAACCAUGAUCAUCUAUUGAUCAACGAGCUAGCCAACUAGAGGCUUGCUAGGGACACAUUGUGAUCUAUUUAUUCACACAUGUAUUACUGUUUCCUGUUAAUACAAUUAUAGCAUGAACAAUAGACGAUUAUCAUGAACAAGGAAAUAUGAUAAUAACCAUUUUAUUAUUGCCUCUAGGACAUAUUUCCAACACCUGUUGCACAAUCUGAUCAGGAGAAAACCACUUUCACCUGCCCCUUCGGUACCUUUGCUUAUAGACGUAUGCCUUUUGGCUUAUGCAAUGCACCUGGCACCUUUCAAAGAUGUAUGAUGGCUAUAUUCUCUGACUUUUGUGAAAAGAUUGUCGAGGUUUUCAUGGAUGACUUCUCCGUUUACGGGUCUUCCUUUGAUGAUUGCCUCAGCAACCUUGAUCGAGUCUUACAGAGAUGCGAAGAUACCAACCUCGUCUUGAAUUGGGAGAAGUGCCACUUUAUGGUUAAUGAAGGUAUCGUAUUAGGACACAAAAUCUCUGAAAGAGGCAUUGAAGUUGAUAAGGCUAAGGUUGAUGCAAUUGAGAAAAUGCCUUGCCCCACAGAUAUCAGAGGUAUACGAAGUUUCCUAGGUCAUGCUGGUUUCUAUAGAAGGUUCAUUAAAGACUUCUCUAAGAUUUCUAGGCCUCUUACCAACCUCUUGCAGAAGGAUGUUCCUUUUGUUUUUGAUGAGGAUUGUGAGGAAGCUUUCGAAAUACUUAAGAAGGCUUUGAUAACCGCACCUAUUGUUCAACCACNNNNNNNNNNNNNNNNNNNNNNNNNNNNNNNNNNNNNNNNNNNNNNNNNNNNNNNNNNNNNNNNNNNNNNNNNNNNNNNNNNNNNNNNNNNNNNNNNNNNCCCUCCCUCGGCUGUUUCCUCUUUCUUAACCCCUCCGCGCGUGCGUGCGUGCAAGCUGGUCGAUGUAUUGCCUGCGUCUUGUGUUUCCUAACGCCGCGUGUGUGUGCUUGCGUCAUGAAGGUGGCGGCGUCGACGAACAAGGAGGUGGAGGGGCACAUCCCCAACUACCCCAACCUGCCGCCGCAGCUGAUCUGCCAGCUGCACGACGUCACAAUGCAUGUACGUCGUCUCCCAGCCUUGAUUCCUCACAUCAGAUGCAUCCAUCCGUAUUAUCAUCCGUUUCGGUGCUGCGGGUGCUGAGUUUAGUCACCGUGACAAUCUGUGCAGGCCGAUGUGGAGACCGACGAAGUGUACGCGCAGAUGACGCUGCAGCCGCUGAACCCAGUAAGCCUACCAGAACGAUUUCAUGAUUGCAGCAGCAGUGGUUAAAUCAAUGAUGUGAUUCUUAUACGGAGUUUGAUGUUUUCUUUUCUCACCUGUCUUGUGUUGGUCUGUAAUUGGUGCAGCAAGAGCAGAACGACGCCUACCUGCCGGCCGAGAUGGGGAUCAUGAGCAAGCAGCCGACCAACUACUUCUGCAAGACGCUGACGGCCAGCGACACCAGCACGCACGGCGGCUUCUCCGUGCCCCGCCGUGCCGCCGAGCGCGUCUUCCCCCCUCUGGUGUGAUGAGUGUGUAGCUCUGGGCGGCGUUCCUUUCCUUUUGCACCGUGGGUUUUGGGUCUGCUGUUGCCAAUAACAGGUGGUAUAGUGUGGUUUGUAGGAUUUCACGCAGCAGCCUCCUGCUCAGGAGCUAAUUGCGCGGGAUAUUCAUGACGUCGAGUGGAAGUUCAGACACAUCUUCCGAGGCAAGUUCCCAAAAUCUCCAGGGCUUAUUCUUAUUAGGUCACCGUGGAAGUCUGCUGGUCUUAAAUGAAGUUCCUUCUUAAUUUGUUUGGCUUUGGACUGCCAUGGUACAGCUUGACUUUCUUAUGACUGAUGAUUGAUCAAAUCAUGUCCUUACAAGCAUUUCCAAGAGUAAAUGUGCCCACAGAAAUACCAACUGUUCGUGCAGGAAACAGUCAGUACAUGAAAUUCUCUUCGACAUCCUUGCAAAAAGAGAAAUUCUUAAAAUAUACAGUAUUAUUUUUUUAUUGUACUAAUACUUGAGCAGAGUAUAGUAUUGGAUUGAAUAUAAGUAACAAUCGACAGGAAUAUGUCAUCAGAUGUUUUCUGAAAUAUUCAUGGGGGGUCAGGCACUAACAAAAUUGCACAUUGGGGACUCUAGUCUCUGUAUUGGUGUUCACUCUUUCCAGCCAGUACCAAAAUUUGUUGUGGAUUCUUCAGUGCAGAAUAUACUCUAGAAUAUUUUAACUAAAAUGCACUUCAUUUUAUAUCACCAUGACUAACAAAGGUUGUCAUCACACACAUAUUAAUUGAACAACACCGAAAAGUUGUUUCGUAGUACUAUUUGUUAACAUCCCAUACCAUUGCCUUUUUAUAUUAACAUGCUUGUUUUUCACAGGCCAGCCAAAACGACACUUGCUAACAACUGGCUGGAGUGUCUUUGUUAGCGCCAAAAGACUCGUUGCUGGAGACUCAGUGCUAUUCAUAUGGUUUGUUUACUGUUUAUUCUUGUGCUUGUGGCAAAAAUUGGACUUCAGAAACAAGUUGGACUUACUGUUUAUUUUAUCUAGGAAUGAGAAAAACCAGCUUUGGCUGGGAAUCAGGCGUGCCAACCGGACACAGACUGUGAUGCCUUCCUCUGUUCUUUCGAGUGACAGCAUGCACAUAGGGCUCCUUGCAGCAGCGGCUCACGCUGCUUCUACAAACAGCCGCUUCACAAUUUUCUACAAUCCCAGGUAAUUUGGGUUGUUUCAUUAACAUGUGGCGAUCCUAUAUUUCCUUUUUGUGGUCAAGUUUUACAAAGAAGAAUGUUUGUAGGGCAUGUCCAUCAGAAUUCGUCAUACCACUCUCAAAAUACAUCAAGGCUGUUUUUCACACCCGGAUAUCGGUCGGCAUGAGGUUUAGGAUGCUCUUUGAGACCGAGGAAUCUAGUGUUCGCAGGUGAAGUAGCAAAAUCACAAACUCAAUCUUGCUUCUAGAUUGUGCUAUUUAUCCCUGUUGUUCUCUUGGUUGUUUUAGUACCAUGAAAUGUUUGCAGGAUGUAAUGGCAAUGACUAAAGUUACCUUCUCUUUUUUGCGGAAGGAAACUGACGAGAUAUCAAAUGAAAUGCAGGUACAUGGGGACGAUAACAGAAGUCAGUGAUGCCGAUCCAGUGCGUUGGGCUAGUUCCUACUGGAGAUCGGUCAAGGUAAGGGUUUAUUUUGUACUUGAUGAUUUUGCUCUGAAGCGCUGCCUGGGUGGUUCCCCCACUUAUCUGCUUUAUUUCGUUGGCAGCUGCAUUUAGUAUUUGCAGUUUUUCCUUUUUUUCUGCCUUCGAUGAUAUUCUUUGUAUUCUCUCUUUUAUUACGGUAUAUACCAUUCUCUUUCAUAAAAGAAAUUGUGCAUCCGUGUUAUUUUUUUUAAUUUCUUGUAUUCCCUUCGACGAUAUUAUUCUCUUUCAUAAAAGAAAUUGUGCAUCCGUGUUAUUUUUUAAUUUCUUGUAUUCCCUUCGACGAUAUUAUCUGCUUUAUUUCGUUGCCAGCUGCAUUUUGUAUCUGCAGUUUUCCCUUCUUUUGUGCCUUCGAUGAUAUUUCUUGUAUUCUCUCUUUUAUUAUGGUAUACCAUUCUCUUCUAUAAAAGAAAUUGUGCAUCCGUGUUAUAUCUUCAGAUGUUAUCGUAAUUUUGCUAUUGUUUGGUCAGAACAAGAUUAUUUUUAUUUAAUCAUUGUGUUUUAUGUAAAGAGUUACUUGCCUCCUUUUCAUUUAUCUGCUUCUUCAGACUCUUUGGGAGUAUGAUUAUUCGAGGAUUCACUAACAAGUAUCUUUGAUGCUGUAAAUGUAGGUUGGUUGGGAUGAAUCAACUGCUGGGGAAAGACCGCCUAGAGUUUCUUUAUGGGAGAUUGAACCAUUGACAACCUUUCCUAUGUAUCCCUCUUUGUUUCCACUGAGGGUUAAGCAUCCCUGGUAUUCUGGUGUAGCAGGCCUUCAAGGUACUAUUUAGUCAUUGUUCACUAUAUUGAUUCCGGCAUAUCUGAUAUUGGAGCUACAUCACUGUGUGUUUGCUAUGUGCGUGUCAUCUAGGAUCUAGAGUUCUUUUACUACUCCCUCCGUUCCUAAAUAUAAGUCUUUUAAGUGAUUUCACUAAAGGACUACGAUACGAAGCAAAAUGAAUGAAUCUACACUCUAAAACAUGUCUAUAUACAUCCGUAUGUAGUCCUUUAAUGAAAUCGUUAAAAAGACUUAUAUUAUGGAACGGAGGGAGUACAUGUAAAGAAUGAACUUCUGAUGGCAUUCAAAUCACUGCACUUGCUACAUUCUAACAAGAAUAACAUAAGUCUGAUAAUGAUAACAUGGGAUCAAGAUUACCUUCAUUAACCUUUGGUUCGGUACUAAGUAGCGGAACAAUUGAAACUGUUUAUCUGUAAGACUGGAGCCUUAUGAGCCUGUAGGUAUGCCAUCUGGUGUGUGAACCCCACCUGGUGUCAGAGCAUGAGAUUCGGAGUUGGAACUUGGAAGCAUGUUGAUUUCUCCACUGGGAACGAAUGUUGUUACUGAUGACAUCUAAUAAUUUGUUUAUUCAUCUUGAUAUAUGCAGCAAUUGAAGUUUGUAUUCCGCUAUCCUCAUUAGUAGUGCAAGUUAGAUUAUGGUAUUCAUGAUAUCUGGAUUUAUUCUAAGCAAAGUCAGCCUUUAAGUGUAGGUGCGGGAAUGAUAUUCACCGAGUCUCCAUGGCAUGAUACAUAGAGUGCUACAUAUUUUAGUUCUUUUUGCAUGUUCUUGUCAUAGGAAAUGACACACUAACCUGCUUACUGUUGUUUUUCUUUAUAGCCUCUCUUAUUCACAUGUUCCUGUAUUAAUUAUUGUAUUUCACUUAAGAUGACAGCAAUGCUUUGAUGUGGCUGAGAGGAGUUGCUGGUGAUGGAGGUUAUCAAUCUAUGAACUUUCAGUCACCUGGCAUUGGCUCCUGGGGACAACAGAGGCUCCAUCCUUCUUUGCUGAGUAGCGACCAUGAUCAGUACCAAGCAGUUGUUGCUGCUGCUGCCGCCGCCUCCCAAUCUGGUGGUUAUAUGAAACAGCAAUUCCUAAACCUUCAGCAGCCUAUGCAGUCGCCUCAAGAACACUGCAACCUCAACCCGCUGUUGCAGCAACAAAUCCUGCAGCAAGCAAGCCAACAGCAAGCAGUUAGUGCUGAGAGCCAAAAUAUUCAGACAAUGCUGAACUCAAGUGCUAUCCAGCACCAACUUCAACAGCUCCAGCAAAUGCAGCAGGUGCAACAGGCGCAGCAGGUGCAGCAGGCUCACAUUGAUCAGAAACAGAAGAUUCAAUCAGAUCAGUCAUAUCAUGUUCCUACUAGUGCGUCUCUCCCAAGUCCAACAUCACUACCAAGCCAUCUGCGUGAAAAAUUUGGCUUCUCUGAUCCUAAUGUUAAUUCGUCAAGCUUCACCACUUCUAGCAGUAGUGACAACAUGCUGGAAUCGAACUUCCUUCAGGGGAAUUCGAAAGCUGUGGACUUGUCUAGAUUCAAUCAGCCUGUAGCUAGCGAUCAGCAGCAGCAACAGCCCCCCCCCCCCCCCCCGUUUAUGGGUUCACAAUCACUAUCUUUUGGUGGCUCAGGUUUGCUUAGCUCGCCCACAAGUAAAGACGGUUCUCUUGAGAGCAAAAUUGGUUCUGAUGUGCAAAAUCAGUCCCUUUUUAGUCCUCAAGUUGAUUCUUCCUCCCUGCUGUACAACAUGGUGCCUAACAUGGCUUCAAAUGUUGCGGAUAAUAGCAUGUCGACAAUUCCUUCUGGAUCAACAUAUCUGCAAAGUCCCAUGUAUGGUUGUUUGGACGACUCUUCUGGUAUAUUUCAGAAUACAGGAGAGAAUGACCCAACAAGCAGAACAUUCGUGAAGGUAGUUGUAAUACGUUGUGUCUGUUUACAUCAAGUAUAAAUCCUUUCUUAUGGAAUCGUUAAAUAUUGUGCAGGUUUAUAAGUCAGGAUCAGUGGGGAGGUCCUUGGACAUCACCCGGUUCUCUAAUUAUGCUGAACUUCGAGAAGAACUGGGUCAGAUGUUUGGCAUUAGGGGUCAGUUGGACGACCCCGAUAGAUCAGGCUGGCAGCUUGUAUUCGUCGACAGGGAGAAUGAUGUGCUUCUCCUUGGAGACGACCCUUGGGAGUAAGAAACCCUUUUUUAGAAUGUUGAUUUCCUUUAUGAGUUUCCUGAGGUGUUACUUAUAUCCGCGUUAGAAAUUCAGGUUGCUACAAUGUAUGAUAGAUUUUUAUGUUCUUCACUUUCUUUUAGGUGAUAAUUUCUUACAUCCUGUGUGCUAAAAUUUUGAAUCGCAUGGUAUAGGAGAUGAUAUUUGAUUUAGUUGCCACAAGGUAGUAUGUUUCUCUUUAUACUUACUUGUGUGGUUUUCUGAUGACUGCAGUUCAUAGCUUAUCAAGUCACAUUCUAAGUUAAAUCUGUAUGCCUUCAGCAUCUACUAGCAAUAAUUAAUAUGUAGAGUACCCAGUGCCUAAUUUAUAUGGUCUGAGGACACAUGUUAUUUUAAGUCGCAUUCUAGGUUAAGUGUGUAUGCUUUCUGCAUCUACUAAUGAAUAUGCAGAGUACCCAGUGCCUAAUUGAUAUGGUCUGAGGACACAAGUUAUUUUAAGACUGCAGAGUGUGUACAAUUCCAUGUGUGCUUUAUUCUGAACCACAUCAUAUCUCCAUGUCAAUUGUGCAGGUCAUUUGUGAAUAGUGUAUGGUACAUCAAGAUACUUUCACCAGAGGAUGUGCACAAGUUGGGCAAGCAAGGAAAUGAUCCACGUUACCUUUCCUAAGUGCAACAUCAUUGUGCUGUUUCUGGUAAUUAAUAGUGCUCCGUUGUUUACUUACUAUACAUGCUACUUAUUGGCUUUUGCCACUGACUUUGUUAAAAAAAAUCAGAGAUCAUUAUGUUAAUGUGUCUGGUAUUUAUGUUUGUAAUGCCAUGAAAGAAUUGGCUUUACUGAGCAUUCUGUUCUGGAGCCCCUUUUGUGUAGCUACAUAAAUAAUUCAAUUUCUGAGAAAAGAAAGAAAGAAUAAUUAGAAAACAUUAGAAAAUAUUAGCUUCCCCGUUAUUUUUGAGGGUAAGGAUAUGUGUUUGCUCUCAGACUUGACCCCCUGAAAAAAAACAUUAGAAAACAAAUAAAGCCACCAUGAAGUGUAGUACUCCCUCCGUCCCAAAAUAAGUGACUCAACUUUGUACUAAACUUAGUAUAAAGUUGAGUCACUUAUUUUGGGACAGAGGUAGUAGUAUUUUUAUUUUUGAUAGGUUUUGAGAUUUGUCAAGACAGUCGUUUUGGUAACUGUAAUCAAUAUUCUUUGUUUGUUGUGAGCAGUAGACUUUCAUGGAGAAAAUUCAGUUUUUUAUGGCAUCUAUGUGCGUACUACAUCUCUCUAGAUAGUUUAGGUCGCAUGUAUUUUCAGACCCCCAAGUAAAAUGUUAUACUUGUUUGCUAAAAAAAUAAAGAAGUAAAAUGUUGAGUGGCAUGGCUGGCACAAUCUCAUCAUGCAUUUGGCUACUGUUUUUUAACGUCCGGCGCACUACAUUUUAAUCCAGUCACCGCAGCAAUUCAGUGCCCCCUAUCGGAACUUGCCGAUUUUUUGUCUUUUCAGCUGUUAUUUGGAUGUUCAUCUCUGUCCAGUAACAUAUUGACCUGCCUUACAUUUGCAGGGUCCAGCGAGGAUUCAACGGCGCAUGGUAGCACCCUUGCUCACGGCGGCACAACAUCCCCGGAACCUCCGAUCAUCUCAUCUUCGUACCUAUCUCUUGCGUGCGCUCCGGGCACGUCUCGAGAGCUCCCCGUCCGUUACCUAUCUCCGUCUGGUGCAGGCCACCGACGCCAUGAACUGAUAUUUCUGUAGGUUCCUCUCGGGAAUCUGUAUCGGUGUAACUUUUAUCCUGGAUGGUUUGUACCUCGUGCGGCGCGGCAGUCCGUCUGUUCGUGCGCCGCGUCAAUUCUUCCAAGACUCUUGCUUAGUUGGUACUAUGUCGGUCGUAUUCUAUCUAUGUAUUCGAGACUCCCAGGCACGUACGCUUUCCUUGAAGAACUGCAAUAAUUUGAAUGCAGGAGGAUUAUUUCGAGUCGUUUUGAUGAAUUCCAGUCGUUCUUUAUUUGCUGCUGCUACAUCCUUAGAUUUCACCGGUUUUCAUCUCAAGGCUCUGAUCCAGUUGGAGGUUUUCAUCUGAAGCUUUUUCGCUGAAUGGUAUGGAUGCACCUUUGUUGCCUUGUGGCUGCCUCGCUGGAUUGCACGAUUGGUAGGGAUGAUGAUGCACGGUUGGAAUUGCUGAAGAAUUUGGCUAUGCACGGUUGGUUACCAAAAUUUUAAGUGGUUGCCUAUGGAAUAUUUCACAAAUCUUGGCAAACUUGUAUGGUCAACGGAAGGAUCAAUGAAUAAGUAGGGCGCAACAGGCCAAGUUGGGAGGAUACCGUAGCCGUGAACAGCGGUGCGUUGGUCUUGGUGGCGGCGUUCGCGGCUGCGGUGGCAAAUGUUGCCGCUGCCCAUUGGUGCGCCUUCAGGUGACGACGGGCCGGGAAGAGGCGCGGAGAAGGAUCGGAAUCUGGAAGGGAUCAGCUGCGGUUGUCCGGCACCGGCAGGCUGGCGGCGCACCAUCUCCAGGCCCCAACCGUGAUGCGAUAUGUUAUCACAANAGGCUGGCGGCGCACCAUCUCCAGGCCCCNNNNNNNNNNNNNNNNNNNNNNNNNNNNNNNNNNNNNNNNNNNNNNNNNNNNNNNNNNNNNNNNNNNNNNNNNNNNNNNNNNNNNNNNNNNNNNNNNNNNGAUUCUCGGUAAGGUUCUUGAUCCAUGCUUUACUUUGUGAAGGAAUUGACACUUUAGCAUAAGAGUUCAUAUGAUGGUAUUUUUGUUCUGAUCAUGAUCAUGAUGCCUGCAUGUUCGUAUCUUGUUUUGUCGACACCUCUCUGCCUAAAGAUGUGGGCAUAUUUAUUGAGCUCGGCUUUCACUUGAGGACAAGCGAGGUCUAAGGUUGGGGGAGUUGAUAUGUCCAUUUUGCAUCAUGCUUUCAUGUUAAUAUUUAUUUCUUUUGGGGCUGUUAUUUGACUUCACGGUACAAUACUUAUGCCUUUUCUCUCUUAUUUUGCAAGGUUUACAUGAAGAGGGAGAAUGCCGGCAGUUGGAAUUCUGGCCUGAAAAAGGAGCAAGUUUGAGAAGCCUAUUCUGCGCAACUCCAAAAGCCGUGAAAAUCACCGUGGAUUUUUUUGGGAAUAUAUAAAAAAUACUGGGCCGAAGAAGUGCUAGAGGGGCGCCAGCAGGUGGCCACAAGCCUACUAGGCGCGGCCACCCCCGUGGCCGCACCUAGGGGGCUUGUGGGCUCCCUGCUGGCCCACUGGCUCCCCUCUUCUACUAUAUGAAGGGUUUCGUUCCGAAAAAAAUCAGGAGGAGGCUUUUUAGAGGAUUCGCCGCAGCCAGAAGGCGGAACUUGAGCAGAACCAAUCUAGAGCUCCGGCAGGACGAUCCUGCCGGGGAAACUUCCCUCCCGGAGGGGGAAAUCGUCGCCAUCGUCAUCACCAACACUCCUCUCAUCGGAGGGGACUCAUCACCAUCAACAUCUUCAUCAGCACUAUCUCAUCUCCAAACCCUAGUUCAUCUCUUGUAACCAAUCUCCGUCUCGCGACUCCGAUUGGUACUUGUAAGGUUGCUAGUAGUGUUAAUUACUCUUUGUAGUUGAUGCUAGUUGGAUUACUUGGUGGAAGAGUUUAUGUUCAGAUCCUUGAUGCUACUCAUUACCUCUCUGGUCAUGAAUAUGAUUAUGCUUUGUGAGUAGUUACUUUUGUUCCUGAGGACAUGGGAUAAGUCAUGCUAAUAGUAGUCAUGUGAACUUGGUAUUCGUUCGAUAUUUUGAUGUGUUGUAUGUUGUUUUUCCUCUAGUGGUGUUAUGUGAAUGUCGACUACAUAACACUUCACCAUUAUUUGGGCCUAGAGGAAGGCAUUGGGAAGUAGUAAGUAGAUGAUGGGUUGCUAGAGUGACAGAAGCUUAAACCCUAGUUUAUGCGUUGCUUCGUAAGGGGCUGAUUUGGAUCCACUAGUUUAAUGUUAUGGUUAGACUUUGUCUUAAUUCUUCUUUCGUUGUUGCGGAUGCUUGCGAGAGGGGUUAAUCAUAAGUGGGAUGCUUGUCCAAGUAAGGGCAGUACCCAAGCGCCGGUCCACCCACAUAUCAAACUAUCAAAGUAACGAACGCGAAUCAUAUGAACAUGAUGAAAACUAGCAGGACAGAAAUUCCCGUGUGUCCUCGGGAGCGUUUUUCCUCCUAUAAGACUUUGUCCGGGCUUGUCCCUUGCUACAAAAGGGAUUGGGCCACUUUGUUGCACCAUUGCUACUUUUGUUGCUUGUUGCUUGCUACGAAUCAUCUCACCACACAACCACUUGUUACCGAUAAUUUCAGUGCUUGCAGAUAUUACCUUGGUGAAAACCACUUGUCAGAUCCUUCUGCUCCUCGUUGGGCUCAACACUCUUACUUAUCGAAAGGACUAUGAUAGAUCCCCUAUACUUGUGGGUCAUCAGAACUCUAUUUGUUUCUACUUUUGUACAUAUGUCUGUACUUAUGAUCUAGAGACCAUCUUGUAGCGACAUAGUGCUAUGUUUACAAUGCUUCCCCAGUAGUUCAUGUUUUCUUUGUGACUUGUCUCAAAUAGCUGGAGUGCAUAAUGUGUUAUUGAAAUGAUUUGCAUGCAUUGCAUUGUUCAUGGUUUGGCAUAUUGAAGUGGUAUUUCCCUUCAGAGAGUUUUUGGAUUGACUUGGCACAUGCUUACACAUGUUUAUGACUAGAAGUCUAUCAAGCCUUGAUAAUCUUUUUAUUUCAGAAUAGUUAUAUCACUUUCAUGCCUGAUUCAAUGUUGCUUUGUCGCUCUGCAUGAUUAUGAAUGUUAUUGCUCUCUAGUUGGUCGCUUCCCCGUCUUUUGCUAGCCUUCGCCUGUACUUAGCGGACUCACUGCUUGUGCAUCCAAAAUCCUUGAAACCAGUUGCUCCAUAUGAGUCCACCAUACCUUCCUAUAUAUGGGAUUUACCAGCCAUCCUAAAAAAGAUUUUCGUGUACCAUCUCAAAACUAUUCAAAUGCACUUCUCUUUUUGUACUCGUACAAGCUCAUGGAGCGUUAGGGGCAAUCAAUAUCUUCCAUGCUAAAAAUAUUUUACUCCUUGACAAAGUUUAUUCUAGUCAAUUUUAUGAGGCAGAGGCUGGUUUGGAGAAUGCCCAGUUCUAAUUGUUUUAUAAAAAAUAAACUUACACUCCCCUUGGCUUGAGAUUGUAUGGAGGGCACCCGCGAAUGCGGCUAGCCAUGGCUUGUGUAAGAAUUGGUGGAGGGGGAGUGUAAACAUAAAAAGCAUGGGAACCGCCAUUAAUAUGGUUGGUGUGGAAGAUAUUGAGAACCUUUAUCGUCUACCAUUGACUCGAAAGUUACACUCCUAAAAACAUUUUAUCUUUGUUUUCAAAACCGCGAGCUCUGGUACCUAUUUAGUCUUUGCUUCCAACCACGGGUUUUCAACCUUGCCAUCAAAAGCCACGGUUCGAGAGUCUUCACCUUCUUUCUUCAAAACACCAACUAUUGAGAGCAUAAUUGUCAUUCUCAAUGUAAUGUGCAUUGUCCCAAAGUACCACAUUGUCUUCUGCAUGAUUGUGAUAUUACUCAUUCUGAAAUAUUUAUUUCUAGUCUCCUUUAAGACUCCGAAGGAGCGUCUGCAUUUAUGUUUUGCUUCACUUAUGGGGGCUAGCGAGAUACCACUCUAGUAUGUCCAAGUCAUGUGCAUUGUGAUCUCGUCAUGAUUUUUAGUUGCAUAUUAUUCAUUCUUAUUUGUUCGAAAGUCUUCACAUGAUCGAAGGAUUGCUUCGUGCAUUGUCUUUGCCGCAUUGUUACACUACUUGUUGGACUUGUUCGUAGUACAUGCUUAUAUACAUCUAAUGAAGCAAAAGAGUUUGUCAAAGUUUUCUUUGUCGCGUCCAGUUCGUUGAACUAAAUUGCUUGAGGACAAGCAAUAUGCUAAGCUUGGGGGAGUUGAUACGUCUCAAACGUAUCGACUUUUCCAAAUAAUUUUGCUAUUGUUUUGGCCUCAUUCUUGCAUGAUUUGAAUGAAACUAACCUGGACUAACGCUGUUUUCAGCAGAGCUGCUUGUAUGAUUUUCGUGUGUGCAGGAAAAUGAAUUUGUAGGUGUCCUGGAAAAUUCCAAUAAAAAAUAGAGAAAAUACACGCACCAGGAGGAACCCUUGACCAGAAGAUGGGCCAGAGGGGGGUCACCAGGCCUCCAAGUGACCUGGUGGCGCGACCUGCCCCUUGGCCACGCAAGGAGGCUGCCUGGGUGGGCCCACCCCCUCUGGUUCCCUACCUUGUCUCCUAUUUUUACCCAAGACGGAGAAACCUGAGAGCAUAAGUCCUUUUGCCAGUUCUCGACGCGGAGCCGCCGCCACCCUCGGUUCUUCUCCGGCAGAGCUAAUCUGGAGGCUGCCUUGGCCUCCGGAGAGGGGAAAUCGUCGCCAUCGUCAUCACCAUCGUCACUCCAUCACCCUUCCAUGACUUCCCCUUUCAUGUGUGAGUAAUUCCCUACUGUAGGUUAAGGGGAUGGUAGGGAUUGGAUGAGUUAGAUAAUGUAAUAGUUCGUGAGAUUGCUGGGGGCAUAUUGCCUAUCAUCUACUAUGGUGUUUAUCAUCUUUGCUACUACUUGUUGCUCUUAAUGCUUGUCACUUUGGUCCCGAGUGCCAUGAUUUCAUAUAUGAAUACCUUAUGUUUUCAUGAAUAUAUUUGUGUUCUUGAUCCUAUCUAUGAGUAGUAUGCACCUAUUAUAGUCCGGAACCGGCGAUCCCAAUGGUGACAACUUGGGACACCAAAGGGGAUAUACUAUAACUUGAGGAUUCCAUGUAUCCAUUGAUUGUUAAUGCUUUGUUCCGGUGCUCUUUGACAGGAGCACCUUAAUGUCCAUAAGUUCCUUUUGGCCCCGUUGGUAGCGGGAUGGUAGGACAAAAGAUGUUGUGCAAGUUCUUAUUGCAAGCACACACGACUACUCGGGAUACAUGCCUAAUGUUUGAUAUUGGCCUAGAUGAACAUUAGUUUUCUAUGAGCCUUGCCCCAAGUUAAAUACAUGAUAUCUCUCAUCCAUGACCAACCAUCCAUCUCCCUAGCCUACAGUGUUCUAAUCCUGCUGGUUACAAGUUGCUUUGCUUUAGCUGUUUUACUUUCGUUGCUUUGCCACCAUUAUUUCCGUUGCCACCAUCACUUCUAUAUUAUCGUUGCUACUAAUAUUUUGUUGCAAAGCAAGUAUCUUUCAGGUGCGGUUGAAUUGACAAGUCAACUAUUAAAGCUUAUAAAUAUUCUUUGGCUCCCCUUGUGUUGAAUUAAUAAAUUGGGUUAUCUUACCCACGAAGACUGUUGCGAUCCCCUACACUUGUGGGUUAUCAACAACUAAAAGAGAUAUUUGUACGUGAAGGACACAUUGGGAAAGGAAAGGGUAAAGUUGACAAGGUUGUGAGUAGGAAGGCCACUAGGAGCAUGCCUACUCCCAACUAGACAAAAUAAUUUAUGCGUCCAUCAUAUGUGCUUCGUAAGGCAAAAGAUGGAGAUGUCUAUGCUCAAUUUGUUGGUCCUUGAAAUGCUUUUUGUUUCUAUGCAAUUUGGGUUCCUAAGACCCUUGUUACUAACAUGAGAGGUCACAUUGUAAAACAGAUGCCUCUAACCAAGACUUAGAAUUUGUGUAGGUUGUCUUUCUCUAGUGGAGUCAAAUGGGUGGUUGAUAGUGGAUGCACCAACCAUAUGACCGGACAUGGCACAUUGCUCACGGAUUUCAUGGAAUCUAUUCGACAAUUUAUGAGCAUUUUCUUUGGUGGAGGGUCCAAAGAACAACUACUUGGGUUGGGCAAGGUGGCCAUCACCAAUGAUGGAGACAAGGAUUCCCCCACAAGUCGGGAUGAGACUCNNNNNNNNNNNNNNNNNNNNNNNNNNNNNNNNNNNNNAAAAAAGAGAGUAAUAAAUGAGAAAAAUAGACAAGGGACAAUGUUACUAACUCUUUUGCCACACUUGUGCUUCAAAGUAGCACCAUGUUUUUCAUAUAAAUAGUCUCAUGUUUUGUCAUUUUCAUAUGCUAGUGGGAAUUUUUCAUUAUAGAACUUGGUUGUAUAUUUCGAUGAUGAGCUUCCUCAAAUGCCCGAGGUCUUCAUGAGCAAGCAAGUUGGAUGCACACCCACUUAGCUUCGGUUGAGCUUUCAUACACUUAUAGCUCUAGUGCGUCCGUUGCAUGGCAAUCCCUACUCCUCACAUUGAUAUUGAUUGAUGGGCAUCUCCAUAGCCCGUUGAUCCAGCUAGUUGAUGCGGGACUUUCUUCUCCACUUUUACCCCUUUGAAACAUACCACCAUAUUCCAUUCCACCUAUAUGCUAUGUUCAUGCUUAUGUAUUACGUGAGGUAUAAAAUGUUGAAGUGCGUUAAAAAGUACGAUCCAAUUGUUUGGCUUAACACCGUGGUGCUUGACAUUUGUAUUUGUAUGGUGAAGACGGAGCCAUGCCAUGCUAAUAUAAUAAAAUGAAUGGAAGGUAAACAUUCUUUAAGGAUCAUAUAUUUUGAAAGUUGAUGAUUAUGUUACUUAUAUUUAUGGAUAUUACUAUGUUAGUGUUUGUUAAUUCAUAAUUUCUCAAUGAUUGUACCUGAAAGAGAUACAUGUUGGGUAGCAUGUCACAUAAAAAAACUGUUUUUAUCAUUUACCUACUUGAGGACGAGCAUGAAUGAAGCUUGGGGAUGGUGAUACAUCUCUAACAUAUCUAUAAUUUUUUAUUGAGCCAUGAUAUUAUAUUAUCAUUCUAGGAUACUUUGUAAGCAUUUACUUGCUGAUUGAUAUUGUUUUUGAGCACUAACCUAUUAACCCAAUGACAAGUGUUGGUUGUUGUUUUCUACAUGUUUUUGGCUUUUCAGAAACAUUGUACCAAACGAAGUCUAAAUACUCCGAAUUUUUUUGAUGAUUUUUUCUGGACGAAAAUAAGACCUGGAAGUUUUGGAGGAAGACCGGAGGGCACACGAGGCGUCCCCCAAGCCAACAGGGUGCACCCCUGGGGGGCGUCCUGAUGGCUUGGGGCCACCUCCCAGCUCUCCUAGCCUCAUUCUCUCCAUUAUAAAUUCACAUACAUCCUGAAAACCCUAGGGAGCCUCCUGAAACACUUUUUCUGCCACCACAAGUCUUUGUUCGCCAUAUGCCCAUCUGGAUCCCUGUUUCGGUGCCCUGUCGGAGGGGGUCGGUCAUGGAGGGCCUCCACAACAACCUUGCUGCUCCCAUGGUGAUGUCUGAGUAGUUCAUCACAGACCUAUGGGUAUGUAGUUAGUACCUAGAUGGCUAUAUUUCUCUAUGUUCUUCAUUGUCAAGAUCACCGCAAUUCAUGCAGUAAACUAUAUUAUGCAGUCACUCGUGUGUGAUGUGCUUGUUGGGAUUCGAUGAAUUAUGGGUUUAUGUUCAGAUUAUUCAUGACAUUAUAUUUAGUUCCUUGCUGGUCUUUCAUAUAUAUAUGCAUUAUUAUGAUAGCUUCGUCAUUCUCUUUGAUCUAUCGGUUUGGUUUGGCCAACUAGAUUGAUUUAUCUUCACUCGGAGAGGUGCAUUGUAGUGGGUUCAAUCUUGCGGUGCUCAAUCCGAGUGACGGAAAGGGACAUGACACAUAUUGUAUUUCUGCGAGCAAUGGUAAACGNUACAGACAUAUGUACAAAAGUAGAAACAAAUAGAGUUCUGAUGACCCACAAGUAUAGGGGAUCAAUCAUAUUCCUUUCGAUAAGUAAGAGUGUCGAACCCAACGAGGAGCAGAAGGCUCUGAUAAACGAUCUUCAGCAAGGUAAUAACUGCAAGCACUAAAAGUAGCGGUAACAAGUGAUGGUGUAGUGAGGUGAAACGUAGCAAGCGAAAAGUAACAAGUAACAAGUAGUAGCAACGGUGCAUCAAGUGGCCCAAUGCCUUUUGUAGCAAGGGACAAGCCUGAAGAAAGUCUUAUAGGAGGAAAAACGCUCCCGAGGACACACGGGAAUUUCUGUCAUGCUAGUUUCAUCAUGUUCAUAUGAUUCGUGUUCGCUACUUUGAUAGUUUGAUAUGUGGGUGGACCGGCGCUUGGGUACUGCCCUUAUGUGACAGCCCGAGACCGACGUUCCAGAAGAUUCCCCUUUUCUUUCCGUUUUCGUCGUGUGUGUUUUUUCUUUUGCCGCAUCAUCAUCACAUCAUGCGCAUCAUCAGCUUUGCAUCGGCAUCCCGUUGCCGCCCGUUUUCAAAACUUGCAUCCGUUGUUAGUUGCCGGUCCUCGACGUUGUCCGUUCUAAGUCCGACCGCACUCGCACACGCCCGCGGCACCGUCGAAACCCUGUUUUAAAAGUGUGCGUUAAACUUUCUCUGAUCGGAUUGAGAUUUGACGUGCGGUCCUAUUUUAAUAUAGCCAGGCCGCCUGUCGAAUUUCGUCGCGAUCGGAGUCCGUCUGGUACCCGAACGGUCGACCGUGAUGGCACCGUAUUCGGUCUACCGUUGGACGUGUGUCGGUGUUUUAUAAAUCGUUGCCGUGCCGCACCACUUCCCUCUCAUCUUAGCCAACGCCACUCUACACAGCUAACCCUAGCCCGCCUCUCCGAUCGGACAGCACGAUCGCGAUUGGAGAGUCGAAAAACCCCCCAGAUACCCUCUAACCUAGCCUCUCUUCCCUAUUUAGACACCCCUAAACUGCCCCUUAGGGAAACCCUAGCCACUUCAUCGUUUUCCGUGCCCACCAACCGAACCAGCCGCCACCCCAGCAUCCCGCCUCUCUCCUCCCCAUCGACAGGGCCCGCCAGGCCCACGGCUGGCCCGCCGAGCCCNNNNNNNNNNNNNNNNNNNNNNNNNNNNNNNNNNNNNNNNNNNNNNNNNNNNNNNNNNNNNNNNNNNNNNNNNNNNNNNNNNNNNNNNNNNNNNNNNNNNNNNNNNNNNNNNNNNNNNNNNNNNNNNNNNNNNNNNNNNNNNNNNNNNNNNNNNNNNNNNNNNNNNNNNNNNNNNNNNNNNNNNNNNNNNNNNNNNNNNNNNNNNNNNNNNNNNNNNNNNNNNNNNNNNNNNNNNNNNNNNNNNNNNNNNNNNNNNNNNNNNNNNNNNNNNNNNNNNNNNNNNNNNNNNNNNNNNNNNNNNNNNNNNNNNNNNNNNNNNNNNNNNNNNNNNNNNNNNNNNNNNNNNNNNNNNNNNNNNNNNNNNNNNNNNNNNNNNNNNNNNNNNNNNNNNNNNNNNNNNNNNNNNNNNNNNNNNNNNNNNNNNNNNNNNNNNNNNNNNNNNNNNNNNNNNNNNNNNNNNNNNNNNNNNNNNNNNNNNNNNNNNNNNNNNNNNNNNNNNNNNNNNNNNNNNNNNNNNNNNNNNNNNNNNNNNNNNNNNNNNNNNNNNNNNNNNNNNNNNNNNNNNNNNNNNNNNNNNNNNNNNNNNNNNNNNNNNNNNNNNNNNNNNNNNNNNNNNNNNNNNNNNNNNNNNNNNNNNNNNNNNNNNNNNNNNNNNNNNNNNNNNNNNNNNNNNNNNNNNNNNNNNNNNNNNNNNNNNNNNNNNNNNNNNNNNNNNNNNNNNNNNNNNNNNNNNNNNNNNNNNNNNNNNNNNNNNNNNNNNNNNNNNNNNNNNNNNNNNNNNNNNNNNNNNNNNNNNNNNNNNNNNNNNNNNNUGUGCAAUUAGUUUUAGCUUUUGAGUAAGUUAGUUCGCGCGAUAUUUUGCCGUGAUGCCCUUUUGUUUAUUUCGUAGGAUUUAUUCCGUGCUUCGUUUGACGGAGUUGUCAACUAGAGAGUUGAUCUUGGAUGUUUUGUUUAGCCCCUGGUAUUUUUGGUUGCAAUAGAAAAGCAUGUUUAGGUGUGGUUUGAUCGCCCUCAAGUUGCUAGAAAUAGUGCUGAUUUGGAGGUGCUGAAAUAUUUCUAUGUCUGGAAUCUGUUAUAUUUUUUUGCUGUUUUGUCUUGCUUCUAUCUUGUGAUCUGUAGCUCUUUUGAGGUUGGUGCAAUGGAGUUAGUUGUAACCCUUGUGAUUCUCUAGGAUGAUGUGAAUUUUCAUGUCAUUUGGAGUCAUGUAGCUUAUGAUUUUGCUGCUGUCAAUAUUGCUUCAGAUCGAAAACUGCACUCUCAAGAGGUGUAAUUUUCACUAAGUUUGAAAUAGUGUGUGGGAUGCCAUGUUGUGUCUUCUUUUCCUAGUGUUCCUUGAUGCCAUGCUAGUUGUUGUUGGUUGUAUGUUGUAGUGCUUCUCACCCUAUUUCGUGUCAUGUCUUGGUUGAUUAUAUUUGAGUAGAAUAGUUCGUAGUUAUGGGGUGUAGAAGAUGCUAUGUGGCUGAUUUUGGCAGAUUGUAGUGAUUUCUUGUUUUGCUGGUAGUUGUUGAACCGUAGCUCUGAUUUGAUCGUGUCCUACAUGAAACUUGCUUAGAAUCUCGUGUAGUUUCAUUUUUCCUUGCUGGUUGUAUGUUUUGAAGUGCUCGUGACCGUCGUUGCACACAUAUUGCAUUCAUGCCAUCAUAUCUUUUGGUGUCCGUAUCUUUUGAUCCGUAGCUCCGUUGGAGAUGUUCUUUAUGUGUAGAUUUCUUGAAAUGACGCGUAGAAUCAUGUGAACCUAUUUGUUUUGCUGUUUAACAACUAAUUAAAUGUGUUAGUUCAUAUCUGGACAGAAUCAUAACUUAACAUGUGAGGUCAUUUCGGAGGUGCUAUAUGUCAUUUCCGACCUCAUUUAAAAUGCCUAGAUAGGUAGUUUAAGUUGCACUUCACCUCUUGCCUCGUUUAACCACAUUUAAUAUUGCCGUGUAUCUAACCGGGAUAGAACUAAAUAAUUAACGUGGAGUUUCGUCAAUAUGCAACUCGUUGCAUAUUGAACUUCACUUAACGUGUAGUGUUUGAUUGUGUGAAUUGUCAUGCCGUAUCUUGCAUGUUUUCAGCUGCUCAUGUUUCAGAUGUGUUGUGCAUCGUGUGGUGAAUUCCGUGUGUUGAUAUGUGUUUCCGGUUUGCUUCGUCUCCUUAGAGUUCCGCAGCGUGCCGGAUUGUGAGGACCCGUUCGACUACGUCGGUUUGUCUGCUUCACGGAGGCAUUCUUCUUCCAAGCGGGAUCUCAGGCAAGAUGACCAUUUCCCCAGAUACCAUUACUAUCAUUGCCAUGAUAGUUUUAUCGUUUCUGUCGUUAUGUCUCGUUGCCUACCACAUGUUAAAUGUCAGCCUCUCCACAAUGCCAUGAAACCCUCAACCUGUUCAACCUAACAAACCACUGAUUGGCUAUGUUACUGCUUGCUUAACCCCGUGUUAGCGUUGCUAGUUGCAGGUGCAGUUGCUUCCAUGUGAAGACAUGGGUUCCUUGUUAUAUCACCAUAUUUAAAUGCUAUUUAAUUUAAGGCACCUAUAUACUUGGUAAAAGGUGGAAGGCUCGGCCUUUCUAGCCUGGUGUUUUGUUCCACCUUUGCCCCCUUAGUUUCGGCUACCGGUGUUAUGUUCCCAUAAUUGAGCGCUCCUAACACGAUCGGGGUUGUUAUGGGGACCCCCUUGAUAAUUAGUUUUAGAUUAAGACUGGUCUGGCGAGGCCCAACUUUGGUACUACAUUUGCCUAAACACCUAAUAAAAUUGCAUAGGGACUUUCCGGACCCCGAGGAUAAUUUAAUCAACCCCCGGGCCAGUGCUCCUCAUGAGUGUUGCUCGAAAUUGGCAGACUAUGGGGCCACCGCGGGGCAACCUGUGGUUUGGUUCUCCUAGUGUGACCCAUCCGCCGUGUCCUGAGAACGAGAUACGCGGCUCCUAUCGGGAUCGUCGACACGUCGGGCGGCCUUGCUGGAUUAGUUUUACCUUUGACGAGAUAUCUUGUGCAUCGGGAUUCCGGUGAUGCUUUGGGUAAUCUCAGAGUUGAGGUUUUCCACUAGGGAAUCCGACGAGAUCGUGAGCUUCUUGAUUGAGGAUUUCUAUGCGGCUUGUGGUAAUUUGUGAUGGACUAGCUGGAGCACCCCUGCAGGGUUAAAUCUUUUCGGAAAGCCGUGCCCGCGGUUAUGUGGCAACGUGAAAGCUUUGUUUAACACUGGUUCUAGAUAACUUGAAGUUAACUUAAUUAAAAUAUGCCAACUGUGUGCGUAACCGUGACUGUCUCUUUCGUGAGUUCCUUCUCCGAUCGAGGACACGGUGGGGUUAUGUCUGACGUAGGUAGGUGUUCAGGAUCAUUCAUUUGAUCAACUGUAGUUCACGUCCGCUAUGCGUAGAUCUUCCCCCUCUUUGUUUUCUUGUACUCGUAAGUUUAGCCACCAAAUAUAUGCUUAGCCGCUGCUGCAACCUCACCACUUAACCUUGCCUCACCCAUUAAGCUUUGCUAGUCUUGAUACCUUUGGAAAUGAGAUUGCUGAGUCCCCUGUGGCUCACAGAUUACUACAACACCAGUUGCAGGUACAGGUAAAGGUUACUUGACGCGAGCGUGUUGAUUGUUCAUUUGGAGUUGCUUCUUCUUCUUCCUCUUCAUCGAUCUAGGAUGGGUUCCAGGCCGGCAUCCUGGGAUAGCAAGGAUGGACGUCGUUCUUCUUUUGUCGUUUGUUAUCGUCUGUAGUCGGACCCUGCUCUUACUCGUGAUGAUUAUGUAAUGUACUGAUGCGACUCUGAUGUAGCUUGUGGCGAGUGUAAGCCAAUUAUAUUAUAUAUCUCUUCUUUUCAGUACAUGUACUUGUAAUGAUAUCCAUUCUUGCGACACGACGAGAUGCGCUUCUAUCCCUGACGAGGCCCUCGUGCCAAAUUGAGGAUAGGAUCACAUCUUGGGCGUGACAAGUUGGUAUCAGAGGAGUACCGACCUAGGAGCCCCCUUGAUUGAUCGAACUUGGCCGAGUCGAGUCUAGUGAAGAACUGCUUUGAGUUUAGUUAUAUAUCGGAGAGUAGGAUUCUUUUUUCUCCUCUUCUAUGCUCUGGUGAGGAAUCUUGACGUAAUAAUUUACUCUACUCCUCUUCUCACUCAAAAAAAAAUUAGGAUCACGCGGAUAUUUUUGGAAUCUAUAUGAUGCCGAUGUGACGGAAUUCUGUCUUGGUGCCUCCUAUCUGCUUUAAGUUUCAGGGGAGUUGAGCUCCAGGGGAUUCUUGAGCACAUCGUUAUCAUUCAAAUUUCUUAGUAUCUCAGAAUGAAGGAUGUUCGUAAUUGCUUCAAUACUAGUAGUGGCGAGAUAACCCCGAUGUCCCCAGUACCGGUGCAGAUUGUUUGGGAGUAUUGCCAUACUUUGUAUCGUUGUGAUCACGAGUGUCUGUUGUAGAUGAAGGUCCGAGAUUCUGGUUGUGUGUUGACGGAUGUGAUACAGGUGACGAGUUAGUAUAGGAGUUGUGUGAUAUUACUCCUUGUAUCCGUGUACCAGAUUGCAUGACGAGAUAUUUCGAGAAUUCAUAGGUGGGAAUUCAUGUAGUUACUUAUAGGACAAUCUUCCAACAAAUGCAUGAUGUUAGGUUGGGGUUCGACAUCUAGUGGAUUCCUGUCCACGAAAAUAUCGGACGAAAUCUUUCUCAUGAGUUUGUUCCGGCUUGUUUCAUAAGCCUCAUCCAUUGUUUUGUUGAAUAUGGUAAUUCAAGUUGCUUCGAUGUCAAAUGGUGAUUUCAGAUCUUUCUUAAGAGGUGUUCUCAUAUUUUUAUGUGAGAGUGCAAAUCCUUUUGCUCAAUCAGUUGUCUUAUCAAUUCUUUUCAACUCGAGUCAUCGUAUCAAUUCCAUUCAACCGGUGUGCUUCUCUUCAAGGGAAUUCAAUCCUUUCUAAUUUUGCAAGAUCAUUCUCUCAUUUUAUUCCGGAGUUCAUCUCACCUGUCUCAAGUUGUCUUUGUUUUUCCCCGCCCUCCCACCCCUUGUCUUCGCUGAUUGAUUUUCAUCCAAGAGUUUUCUUUUCAUUGUGCUUUCGCUGUCUGUUCUUUUCUCUCUUACCCGGUGAUUCAUUGUGAAGAUUCUCAGGAGAUUCGUGUCGUAUUUGUUAAUUCUUGUCUUCCUUACCGGUGAAUUCAUUUCAGUUAUCCAUGGUCAUCAUAUCCUUUUCAUCCUUGUUAAUUCUUUCCUAUAUUGGAAAUUCUUAUGAGCCUAUCUUGUUACUAAUUCCUCUCUCUUUCUAUCUAGAGUGUUAAAGAUAUUUUAGGUGUUCUGGUUUUCAAUCCUUUAGUUAUUUCGAGGUGCUAACCUCAUCUAGUUUUCUUUUUACCGGUGCAAUAUCUCUCUUUCUAGCAAUCUUUGCUAAGAGUGGUUUCUUUGAGUGGGCCCAUAACCCACAGGUUUUCCCAGGAUCUGUUAUAGCUCUUGUAAUCUUCCGGAGAUCUUUAAUUCUUUUUUCAACUAUGAUGUAAGUAUGAAUUUCAUCAGUCAUAUUCCUUCUCAAGAUCAAUUUGAAUUAAUUCAUUAUUUGGCUCAACCUUUCAUUCUUAUUUAUUCCGGAGUGUCUCAUUAUUCUUGGUGUCGUUCCUCGUCAUCAUUCUCAGCUUGCAAAUUCGAAGGAGUGUUUCUCUCAAAUCUUGCUCCAUUCUUGUGAAGAUUGUCAUCUCAGCUUCGUGUUAUCCUCUAAAUUGUUUCUAUCAUGAGUAAUCCCUUUCUUGCUAUCCGGUGCAUUUCUGAGUUGUUUUUAUUUCUCGUUCCUCCGAAGGCCAUCAUUUCAGAAGAUUCUUCGUUCUCAGCUUUCAGCUUUCGUUCUCUAAUUCUUCUCAAUUGUUGUCUCUUCGUUCGUCUCUCAAUAAUUCCGGUGCCUUGUUCUAGUUUUCUCUUAGGUGGCUCAUGAGCUCUUCAUUCUCAUGUUUCUCCAUUAAUUCGUGGUGUUCCAUUCAAUUGUGAUUUCUUACCGGUGUUUCUUGCAACAAUUCUUCUAGGUUUUGCUCAUAUCUCGCCUCAAUCUUUUCAGAAGAAUAAGUUGGAUGCGAGAUCCGUUGCUUGUCAUCAAUUUAAUUUGGUGAAGGAUAAGCAUAACAUAAUUCUUAUUCUUGUUUCAUCAAAUGAUUUCAAUUCUUCGUUCGGAGUGGCUCUCGAUAUCAAUUCUUUUCUCAAAGUGUUCUUAUCUUUCUUUUCCGGAGUUCCAAGUUCUAUCAAGUUUCUCUUCAUGAAGCUUCAUCUAAAUCUUGGCAAGGUCAUAAUCUUAUUCUUUUCUACCUUCAUAUCCUUGCAUCAUUCAUUUGUAUACGGAGAUCCUUCAUGGUGUUUCAUCAAGGUUUCAAUCCAUUCUCAAGUGUUCUUCAAGAUUCUUGUUGGAGAACCUCAAGUAUCCUUUCUCUUGCAUUUCUAUGUGCAAUUGUUCUUCCUUUAUCCUUUGCGGUGGUAUUAUAGCAUUCUUGUUAGUCUAGGAGCUUCGAAGAGUGUUUCUUUCAAGAAUGAGAUAAUUAAACCCACCAAUUCUAUGGUCUUGAGAUAUUUCAACCCAUGAUUUCUUCAUUGAGCUAUCUUGGUUUGGAUUCACCUAAAUCUUUUCCUAUGGAUUGUUGCUAUCAUGGUGCUUCCCAUUAAUCCUAGUUCUCAAUGUACCCUCUUGGUGUAUGAAGUUUUCUUAUCUUUGCUUUCAACUAUCCUUGUUUCUUUUAGUGGGUGGUUGUCACCUCAUAUUUGUUGAGAUGAUUUUCAUAAGCCCACUACAAUCUUGUUCUUUUCGUUGUUGGUUUUCCAACUACUAUGUCAAUUCUCUCUCCAGAGGCUCUUCAAUUCUAUUGUGAUGAUAGUUGUCAUUCUUUUCUGUUGGAAUUAUGCCCUAGAGGCAAUAAUAAAUAUAGUUAUUAUUAUAAUUCCUGUAUCAAGAUAAUCGUUUAUUAUCCAUGCUAUAGUUGUAUUGAAUGAAGACUUAUAUACAUGUGUGGAUACAUAGACAAAACACUCCCCUAGCAAGCCUCUAGUUGGCUAGCCAAUUGAUCAAAGAUAGUCAGUGUCUUCUGAUUAUGAACAAGGUGUUGUUGCUUGAUAACUGGAUCACGUCAUUAGGAGAAUCACGUGAUGGACUAGACCCAAACUAAUUAACGUAGCAUGUUGAUCGUGUCAUUUUGUUGCUACUGUUUUCUGCGUGUCAAGUAUUUGUUCCUAUGACCAUGAGAUCAUAUAACUCACUGACACCGGAGGAAUACUUUGUGUGUAUCAAACGUCGCAACGUAACUGGGUGACUAUAAAGAUGCUCUACAGGUAUCUCCGAAGGUGUUCGUUGAGUUAGUAUGGAUCGAGACUGGGAUUUGUCACUCCGUGUGACGGAGAGGUAUCUCGGGGCCCACUCGGUAAUACAACAUCACACACAAGCCUUGCAAGCAAUGUGACUUAAUGUAAGUUGCGGGAUCUUGUAUUACGGAACGAGUAAAGAGACUUGCCGGUAAACGAGAUUGAAAUAGGUAUGCGGAUACUGACGAUCGAAUCUCGGGCAAGUAACAUACCAAAGGACAAAGGGAAUGACAUACAGGAUUAUAUGAAUUCUUGGCACUGAGGUUCAAACGAUAAGAUCUUCGUAGAAUAUGUAGGAUCCAAUAUGGGCAUCCAGGUCCCGCUAUUGGAUAUUGACCUAGGAGUCUCUCGGGUCAUGUCUACAUAGUUCUCGAACCCGCAGGGUCUGCACACUUAAGGUUCGACGUUGUUUUAUGCGUAUUUGAGUUAUAUGGUUGGUUAUCGAAUGUUGUUCGGAGUCCCGGAUGAGAUCAUGGACGUCACGAGGGUUUCCGGAAUGGUCCGGAAACGAAGAUUGAUAUAUAGGAUGACCUCAUUUGAUUACCGGAAGGUUUUCGGAGUUACCGGGAAUGUACCGGGAAUGACGAAUGGGUUCCGGGUGUUCACCGGGGGGGCAACCCACCCCGGGGAAGCCCAUAGGCCUUGGGGGUGGUGCACCAGCCCUUAGUGGGCUGGUGGGACAGCCCAAGAAGGCCCUAUGUGCCAUAGGAAGAAAAUCAAAGAGAAAAAAAAGAGGAGGUGGGAAAAGGGGGAAGGACUCCUCCUUCCAAACCUAGUUGGACUCGGUUUGGAAGGGGAGGGUUCCCCCCUUAGGCUCGGCCGACCCCCUUGGGAGUCCUUGGACCCCAAGGCAAGGCUCCCCCUCCUCCCCCUAUAUAUACGGAGGUUUUAGGGCUGAUUUGACAACUUUUGCCACGGCAGCCCGACCACAUAUCUCCACGUUUUUACCUCUAGAUCGCGUUUCUGCAGAGCUCGGGUGGAGCCCUGCUGAGAUAAGAUCACCACCAACCUCCAGAGCGCCGUCACGCUGCCGGAGAACUCUUCUACCUCUCCGUCUCUCUUGCUGGAUCAAGAAGGCCGAGAUCAUCGUCGAGCUGUACGUGUGCUGAACGCGGAGGUGCCGUCCGUUCGGCACUAGAUCGUGGGACUGAUCGCGGGACGGUUCGCGGGGCGGAUCGAGGGACGUGAGGACGUUCCACUACAUCAACCGCGUUCACUAACGCUUCUGCUGUACGGUCUACAAGGGUACGUAGAUCACACAUCCCCUCUCGUAGAUGGACAUCACCAUGAUAGGUCUUCGUGCGCGUAGGAAAUUGUUUUGUUUCCCAUGCGACGUUCCCCAACAUUUUCUUCAUUCUCUUCUUCCGUAUGAGCUAGUUCCUAUUUUAUUGUUCCGGAGGCUUUGUGAUGUUGCUCUUUUGGGUCUAUCUUGUUGUUCUAUCAAGAUCAUGGUGUUCCCUUGCUCUAUUUACUUGUUUGUUGUGAAUAUUGUCUAUUUCUCCCAUCUUAUCGAAUUUUUUGUCCCAUUUUCCUACCGAAGUGCUGCCGAAAUUUUCCAUGAAUUCUUGCUUCUUUCUCAUGUCAUUCCUGAUCUCUUGCAACUUUCAAGGAUUGUUAGUUUCACUCGUUUUUCAAAGAAGCGACUAAGUUUUUACCUCUUGUUCCUUCUCAUCCUCUCCCCCCUUUCAUUCUUGGAUCUCGGGGCGAGAUCCUCUUGUAGUGUAGGAGAGUUGUGACAGCCCGAGACCGACGUUCCAGAAGAUUCCCCUUUUCUUUCCGUUUUCGCCGUGUGUGUUUUUUCUUUUGUCGCAUCAUCAUCGCAUCAUGCGCACAAUCAGCAUUGCAUCGUCAUCCUGUUGCCGCCCGUUUUCAAAACUUGCAUCCGUUNNNNNNNNNNNNNNNNNNNNNNNNNNNNNNNNNNNNNNNNNNNNNNNNNNNNNNNNNNNNNNNNNNNNNNNNNNNNNNNNNNNNNNNNNNNNNNNNNNNNNNNNNNNNNNNNNNNNNNNNNNNNNNNNNNNNNNNNNNNNNNNNNNNNNNNNNNNNNNNNNNNNNNNNNNNNNNNNNNNNNNNNNNNNNNNNNNNNNNNNNNNNNNNNNNNNNNNNNNNNNNNNNNNNNNNNNNNNNNNNNNNNNNNNNNNNNNNNNNNNNNNNNNNNNNNNNNNNNNNNNNNNNNNNNNNNNNNNNNNNNNNNNNNNNNNNNNNNNNNNNNNNNNNNNNNNNNNNNNNNNNNNNNNNNNNNNNNNNNNNNNNNNNNNNNNNNNNNNNNNNNNNNNNNNNNNNNNNNNNNNNNNNNNNNNNNNNNNNNNNNNNNNNNNNNNNNNNNNNNNNNNNNNNNNNNNNNNNNNNNNNNNNNNNNNNNNNNNNNNNNNNNNNNNNNNNNNNNNNNNNNNNNNNNNNNNNNNNNNNNNNNNNNNNNNNNNNNNNNNNNNNNNNNNNNNNNNNNNNNNNNNNNNNNNNNNNNNNNNNNNNNNNNNNNNNNNNNNNNNNNNNNNNNNNNNNNNNNNNNNNNNNNNNNNNNNNNNNNNNNNNNNNNNNNNNNNNNNNNNNNNNNNNNNNNNNNNNNNNNNNNNNNNNNNNNNNNNNNNNNNNNNNNNNNNNNNNNNNNNNNNNNNNNNNNNNNNNNNNNNNNNNNNNNNNNNNNNNNNNNNNNNNNNNNNNNNNNNNNNNNNNNNNNNNNNNNNNNNNNNNNNNNNNNNNNNNNNNNNNNNNNNNNNNNNNNNNNNNNNNNNNNNNNNNNNNNNNNNNNNNNNNNNNNNNNNNNNNNNNNNNNNNNNNNNNNNNNNNNNNNNNNNNNNNNNNNNNNNNNNNNNNNNNNNNNNNNNNNNNNNNNNNNNNNNNNNNNNNNNNNNNNNNNNNNNNNNNNNNNNNNNNNNNNNNNNNNNNNNNNNNNNNNNNNNNNNNNNNNNNNNNNNNNNNNNNNNNNNNNNNNNNNNNNNNNNNNNNNNNNNNNNNNNNNNNNNNNNNNNNNNNNNNNNNNNNNNNNNNNNNNNNNNNNNNNNNNNNNNNNNNNNNNNNNNNNNNNNNNNNNNNNNNNNNNNNNNNNNNNNNNNNNNNNNNNNNNNNNNNNNNNNNNNNNNNNNNNNNNNNNNNNNNNNNNNNNNNNNNNNNNNNNNNNNNNNNNNNNNNNNNNNNNNNNNNNNNNNNNNNNNNNNNNNNNNNNNNNNNNNNNNNNNNNNNNNNNNNNNNNNNNUGUGCAAUUAGUUUUAGCUUUUGAGUAAGUUAGUUCGCGCGAUAUUUUGCCGUGAUGCCCUUUUGUUUAUUUCGUAGGAUUUAUUCCGUGCUUUGUUUGACGGAGUUGUCAACUAGAGAGUUGAUCUUGGAUGUUUUGUUUAGCCCCUGGUAUUUUUGGUUGUAAUAGAAAAUCAUGUUUAGGUGUGGUUUGAUCGCCCUCAAGUUGCUAGAAAUAGUGCUGAUUUGGAGGUGCUGAAAUAUUUCUAAGUCUGGAAUCUGGUAUAUUUUGUUGUUGUCUUGUCUUGCUUCUAUCUUGUGAUCUGUAGCUCUUUUGAGGUUGGUGCAAUGGAGUUAGUUGUAACCCUUGUGAUUCUCUAGCAUGCUGUGAAUUUUCAUGCCAUUUGGAGUCAUGUAGCUUAUGAUUUUGCUGCUGUCAAUAUUGCUUCCGAUCGAAAACUGCACUCUCAUGAGGUGUAAUUUUCACUAAGCCUGAAAUAGUGUGUGGGAUGCUAUGUUGUGUCUUCUUUUCCUAGUGUUCCUUGCUGCCAUGCUAGUUGUUGUUGGUUGUAUGUUGUAGUGCUUCUCACCCUCUUUCGUGUCAUGCCUCGGUUGAUUAUAUUUGAGUUGAAUAGUUCGUAGUUGUGAGGUGUAGAAGAUGCUAUGUGGCUGAUUUUGGCAGAUUGUAGUGAUUUCUUGUUUGGCUCGUAGUUGUUGAACCGUAGCUCCGAUUUGAUCGUGUCCUACAUGAAAUUUUCUUAGAAUCUCGUGUAGUUUCAUUUUCCCUUGUGGUUGUAUGUUUUGAAGUGCUCGUGACCGUCGUUACACACAUAUUGCAUUCAUGCCAUCAUAUCUUGCGGUGUCCGUAUCUUUUGAUCCGUAGCUCCGUUGGAAAUGUUCUUUAUGUGUAGAUUUCUUGAAAUGACGCGUAGAAUCACGUGAACCUAUUUUUUUUGCUGUUUAACAACUAAUUAAAUGUGUUAGUUCAGAUCUGGACAGAAUCAUAACUUAACAUGUGAGGUCAUUUCGGAGGUGCUAUAUGUCAUUUCCGACGUCAUUUAAAAUGCCUAGAUAGGUAGUUUAAAUUGCACUUCACCUCUUGCCUCGUUUAACCACAUUUAAUAUUGAUGUGUAUCUAACCGGGAUAGAACUAAAUAAUUAACGUGGAGUUUCGUCAAUAUGCAACUCGUUGCAUAUUGAACUUCACUUAAUGUGUAGUGUUUGAUUGUGUGAAUUAUCAUGCCGUGUCUUGCAUGUUUUCAGCUGCUCAUGCAUCAGAUGUGUUGUGCAUCGUGUGGUGAAUUCCGUGGGUUGAUUUGUGUUUCCGGUUUGCUUCGUCUCGUUAGAGUUCCGCAGCGUGCCGGAUUGUGAGGACCCGUUCGACUACGUCGGUUUGUCUGCUUCACGGAGGCAUUCUUUUUCCAAGCGGGAUCUCAGGCAAGAUGACCAUUUCCCCAGAUACCAUUACUAUCAUUGCCAUGCUAGUUUUAUCGUUUCUGUCGUUAUGUCUCGUUGCCUACCACAUGUUAAAUGUCAGCCUAUCAACAAUGCCAUGAAACCCUCAACCUGUUCAACCUAGCAAACCACUGAUUGGCUAUGUUACUGCUUGCUUAACCCUGUCUUAGCGUUGCUAGUUGCAGGUGCAGUUACUUCCAUGUGAAGACAUGGGUUCCUUGUUAUAUCACCAUAUUUAAAUGAUAUUUAAUUUAAUGCAACUAUAUACUUGGUAAAAGGUGGAAGGCUCGGCCUUUCUAGCCUGGUGUUUUGUUCCACCUUUGCCCCCUUAGUUUCGGCUACCGGUGUUAUGUUCCAUAAUUGAGCGCUCCUAACACGAUCGGGGUUGUUAUGGGGACCCCCUUGAUAAUUAGUUUUAGAUUAAGACCGGUCUGGCAAGGCCCAACUUUGGUACUACAUUUGCCUAAACACCUAAUAAAAUUGCAUAGGGACUUUCCGGACCCCGAGGAUAAUUUAAUCAACCCCCGGGCCAGUGCUCCUCAUGAGUGUUGCUCCAAAUUGGCAGACUAUGGGGCCACCGCGGGGCAACCUGUGGUUUGGUUCUCCUAGUGUGACCCAUCUGCCGUGUCCUGAGAACGGGAUACGCGGCUCCUAUAGGGAUCGUCGACACGUCGGGCAGCCUUGCUGGAUUAGUUUUACCUUUGACGAGAUAUCUUGUGCAUCGGGAUUCCGGUGAUGCUUUGGGUAAUCUCAGAGUUGAGGUUUUCCACUAGGGAAUCCCACGAGAUCGUGAGCUUCAUGAUUGAGGAUUUCUAUGCGGCUUGUGGUAAUUUGUGAUGGACUAGCUGGAGCACCCCUGCAGGGUUAAAUCUUUUCGGAAAGCCGUGCCCGCGGUUAUGUGGCAACGUGAAAGCUUUGUUUAACACUGGUUCUAGAUAACUUGAAGUUAACUUAAUUAAAAUAUGCCAACUGUGUGCGUAACCGUGACUGUCUCUUUCGUGAGUUCCUUCUCCGAUCGAGGACACGGUGGGGUUAUGUCUGACGUAGGUAGGUGUUCAGGAUCAUUCAUUUGAUCAACUGUAGUUCACGUCCGCUAUGCGUAGAUCUUCCCCCUCUUUGUUUUCUUGUACUCGUAAGUUUAGCCACCAAAUAUAUGCUUAGCCGCUGCUGCAACCUCACCACUUAACCUUGCCUCACCCAUUAAGCUUUGCUAGUCUUGAUACCUUUGGAAAUGAGAUUGCUGAGUCCCCUGUGGCUCACAGAUUACUACAACACCAGUUGCAGGUACAGGUAAAGGUUACUUGACGCGAGCGCGUUGAUUGUUCAUUUGGAGUUGCUUCUUCUUCUUCUUCAUCGAUCUAGGAUGGGUUCCAGGCCGGCAUCCUGGGAUAGCAAGGAUGGACGUCGUUCUUCUUUUGUCGUUUGUUUUCGUCCGUAGACGGACCCUGCUCUUACUCUUGAUGAUUAUGUAAUGUACUGAUGUGACUCUGAUGUAGCUUGUGGCGAGUGUAAGCCAAUUCUAUUAUAUAUCUCUUCUUUUCAGUACAUGUACUUGUAAUGAUAUCCAUUCUUGCGACACGACGAGAUGCGCUUCUAUCCCUGACGAGGCCCUCGUGCCAAAUUGAGGAUAGGGUCGCUUCUUGGGCGUGACACCUUACUUGGACAAGCAUCCCACUUAUGAUUAACCCCUCACGCAAGCAUCCGCAACUACGAAAGAAGAAUUAAGACAACGUCUAACCAUUGCAUUAAACUAGUGGAUCCAAAUCAGCCCCUUACGAAGCAACGCAUAGACUGGGGUUUAAGGUUCUGUCACUCCAGCAACCCAUCAUCUACUUACUACUCCCCAAUGCCUUCCUAUAGGCCCAAAUAUGGUGAAGUGUUAUGUAGUCGACAUUCGCAUAACACCACUAGAGGAAAAGACAACAUAUAGCAUAUCAAAAUACCAAACGAAUAUCAAAUUGACAUGACUAUUAUCAGCAUGACUUAUCCCAUGUCCUCAGGAACAAAAGUAACUACUCACAAAGCAUAAUCAUAAUCAUGAUCAGAGGUGUAAUGAAUAGCAUCAAGGAUCUGAACAUAAACUCUUCCACCAAGUAAUCCAACUAGCAUCAACUACAAAGAGUAAUCAACACUACUAGUAACCUUACAAGUACCAAUCGGAGUCGCGAGAUGAAGAUUGGUUACAAGAGAUGAACUAGGGAUUGGAGAGGAGAUGGUGGUGAUGAAGAUGUUGAUGAAAAUGCCUCCCCUCCAACGAGAGGAGUGUUGGUGAUGACGAUGGCGACGAUUUCCCCCUCCGGGAGGGAAGUUUCCCCGGCAGGAUCGUCGUGCCGGAGCUCUAGAUUGGAUCUGCUCAAGUUCCGCCUCGUGGCGGCGGCGAAACCACGAAAAAGCUCCCGGUUGAUUUUUUCUGGAACGAAACCCUUCAUAUAGCAAAAGAGGGGGCCAGUGGGCCGUCAGGGAGCCCACAAGCUUGCCCUCCGCCACCAGGGGAGGUGGCGGUGGCAGGGCUUGUGGCGCCCUGGUAGCCCCCCUCUGGUACUUCUUUCGCCCAGUAUUUUUUAUAUAAUCCCAAAAAAUUCCACGUAACUUUUCAGGGCAUUUGGAGAUGUGCAGAAUAGUGGACUAAGUAUUUCUCCUUUUCCAGUCCAGAAUUCCAGCUGUCGGAAUUCUCCCUCUUCAAAUAAACAUUGCAAAAUAAGAGAGAAAAGGCAUAAAUAUGGUACCACAAAGUAAUAUAACAGCCCAUAAAGCAAUGAAUAUCAACAUGAAAGCAUGAUGCAAAAUGGACGUAUCAACUCCCCCAAGCUUAGACCUCGCUUGUCCUCAAGCGAAAACCAAGUUCCAUAAACAUGUCCACAUGUUGAGGGACGAUGGUGUCGAUAAAACAUAAUACGUACAUGAGGGCAUCAUGAUCACACAUAGAACAGCAAUAAAUCAUAAAAAUUCUUAUGGGAAAGUAACAAUUCCUUCACAAAGCAAAGCAUGAAGAAAAAACCUUACCGAGAAGUAACCAACAACAGUCCAAAGUCAUUGAAGCAAUUGCAAUUUAUCACAACAUCAGAAAGAGUCAAGUAAGAGCUUGUAAGGCAAAUCCACAUACUCAAUCAUCUCUUUUGUUUUCCACAAUUGUUACAACUCACGAGGUACUCAUGGUGUCAAAGUUUCAGCUGGACACAUAGAAAGAUAGGGGCUUAUAGUUUUGCCUCCCAACGAUUUACCUCAAGGGUAAAGUCAACAAUAAUAAAGCAUAAGUACUCAACUCCAAGUUGAUAUAUGAAUAUAGAUCUUUCCCAAUCAUGUGACGGUAGCCAAGACAAAGCCAAAAAUAGGGAAUUGGUGAAGAUCACCAUGACUCUUACAAGGGCAAAAAGUAAAAGUACAAGAUAGGCCCUUCGCAGAGGGAAGCAGAGGUUGUCAUGCACUUUUGAGGUUUGAAUGUGUGUCCUCUUAGUGCGGAGGAACGUCACUUUAUAUUGCCUCCUGUGAUAAAGAAAUUUAUUAUGCAGUCUGUCGCUUUUAUGUAUUCCUCAUCAAAGGUUCGUACAAAGCUUAUUUUCCACACACUAAUAGAUCAUACAUAUUAGAGAGCAAUUUUUAUUGCUUGCACCGAUGACAACUUACUUGAAGGAUCUUAUUCAAUCCAUAGGUAGGUAUGGUGGACUCUCAUGGCAAAACUGGGUUGGAGGUUUAUGGAUGCACAAGUAGUAUCUCUACUUGGUGCGGGAGUUUUGGCUAAUAUGAGGUGGAAGCAAUCGUCACAUGCUAAGGGAUCUCUAAUCAUAUAACAUUGUUUGGAACCAAGCAAACACAAUUCAUUAUGUUGUCUUCCUUGUCCAACAUCUACUCCUAAGCAUGUAAUAGUUUGGUGAGUGCUCACAAUUGUAAAAAGUGUCUAAGAUGAUAUAUUUAUAUGUGAACCUCUCUUUCCUUAUUACUUCUUAUUAAUUGCAACAAUGACUGAGGUCUAUGUUGAUUUAUUCUCAACAAGUUCCAAUCAUCAUACGUGUCAUAUGUGAAGUUAUUACUUUCCAUAAGAUCGUCUCAUGAUCUUUCAUGCUAUCGUUCUUUUCAUACUUUUGAUCAUGGCACAAAGCAAAGCCCUUGACCAAGAUACUCUUUAUUAUAUAGCUCGCAAGCUCGAAUACAACGGGAGAGAGACAAAAGCAAAAGACUCAAACUAAACACUAAAGACUUAUUCCUCUAAGAGAAGAAAUAAAAUCUGAAAAGGAAAGAACUAAAACAAAGGUAAAAGAAAAAGAUAUAAAGGUGAUACGAUACCAGGGCAACUCCCCCAAGCUUGACAGAAGCCAAGGGGAUUGCCCAUACCAAUGCUUACCCCCCCCNNNNNNNNNNNNNNNNNNNNNNNNNNNNNNNNNNNNNNNNNNNNNNNNNNNNNNNNNNNNNNNNNNNNNNNNNNNNNNNNNNNNNNNNNNNNNNNNNNNNCACGUCAAAUCUCAAUCCGAUCAGAGAAAGUUUAACGCACACUUUUAAAACAGGGUUUCGACGGUGCCGCUGGCGCGCGCGAGUGCGGUCGGACUCAGAACGGACAACGUCGAGGACCUGCAACUAACAACGGAUGCAAGUUUUGAAAACGGGCGGCAACAGGAUGACGAUGCAAUGCUGAUUGUGCGCAUGAUGCGAUGAUGAUGCGACAAAAGAAAAAACACACACGGCGAAAACGGAAAGAAAAGGGGAAUCUUCUGGAACGUCGGUCUCGGGCUGUCACAACUCUCCUACACUACAAGAGGAUCUCGCCCCGAGAUCCAAGAAUGAAAGGGGGGAGAGGAUGAGAAGGAACAAGAGGUAAAAACUUAGUCGCUUCUUUGAAAAACGAGUGAAACUAACAAUCCUUGAAAGUUGCAAGAGAUCAGGAAUGACAUGAGAAAGAAGCAAGAAUUCAUGGAAAAUUUCGGCAGCACUUCGGUAGGAAAAUGGGACAAAAAAUUCGAUAAGAUGGGAGAAAUAGACAAUAUUCACAACAAACAAGUAAAUAGAGCAAGGGAACACCAUGAUCUNNNNNNNNNNNNNNNNNNNNNNNNNNNNNNNNNNNNNNNNNNNNNNNNNNNNNNNNNNNNNNNNNNNNNNNNNNNNNNNNNNNNNNNNNNNNNNNNNNNNUGAUCCAGCAAGAGAGACGUAGAGGUAGAAGAGUUCUCCGGCAACGUGACGGCGCUCCGGAGGUUGGUGAUGACCUUGUCUCAGCAGGGCUCCGCCCGAGCUCCGCAGAAACGCGAUCUAGAGGAAAAACCGUGGAGGUAUGUGGUCGGGCUGCCGUGGAAAAGUCGUCUUAAAUCAGCCCUAAAACCUCCGUAUAUAUAGGUGGGAGGGAGGGGACCUUGCCUUGGGGCUCAAGGAGCCCCAAGGGGGUCGGCCGAGUCCAAGGGGGAAGGUCCCCCCCCCCAAACCGAGUUGGACUUGGUUUGGUGGGAGGGAGUCCUUCCUUCCCUUCCCACCUCCUCUUUUUUUUCUUUUCUCCUUGAUUUUCUUCUCUAGGCGCAUAGGGCCCUCUUGGGCUGUCCCACCAGCCCACUAAGGGCUGGUGUGCCACCCUCAAGGCCUAUGGGCUUCCCCAGGGUGGGUUGCCCCCCCCGGUGAACUCCUGGAACCCAUUCGUCAUUCCCGGUACAUUCCCGGUAACUUCGAAAACCUUCCGGUAAUCAAAUGAGGUCAUCCUAUAUAUCAAUCUUCGUUUCCGGACCAUUCCGGAAACCCUCGUGACGUCCGUGAUCUCAUCCGGGACUCCGAACAACAUUCGGUAACCAACCAUAUAACUCAAAUACGCAUAAAACAACGUCGAACCUUAAGUGUGCAGACCCUGCGGGUUCGAGAACUAUGUAGACAUGACCCGAGAGACUCCUCGGUCAAUACCCAAUAGCGGGACCUGGAUGCCCAUAUUGGAUCCUACAUAUUCUAUGAAGAUCUUAUCGUUUGAACCUCAGUGCCAAGGAUUCAUAUAAUCCCGUAUGUCAUUCCCUUUGUCCUUCGGUAUGUUACUUGCCCGAGAAUCGAUCGUCAGUAUCCGUAUACCUAUUUCAAUCUCGUUUACCGGCAAGUCUCUUUACUCGUUCCGUAAUACAAGAUCCCGCAACUUACACUAAGUUACAUUGCUUGCAAGGCUUGUGUGUGAUGUUGUAUUACCGAGUGGGCCCCGAGAUACCUCUCCGUCACACGGAGUGACAAAUCCCAGUCUUGAUCCAUACUAACUCAACUAACACCUUCGGAGAUACCUGUAGAGCAUCUUUAUAGUCACCCAGUUACGUUGCGACGUUUGAUACACAAAAAGCAUUCCUCCGGUGUCAAUGAGUUAUAUGAUCUCAUGGUCAUAGGAAUAAAUACUUGACACGCAGAAAACAGUAGCAACAAAAUGACACGAUCAACAUGCUACGUCUAUUAGUUUGGGUCUAGUCCAUCACGUGAUUCUCCUAAUGACGUGAUCCAGUUAUCAAGCAACAACACCUUGUUCAUAAUCUGAAGACACUGACUAUCUUUGAUCAACUGGCUAGCCAACUAGAGGCUUGCUAGGGACGGUGUUUUGUCUAUGUAUCCACACAUGUAAAUGAGUCUUCAUUCAAUACAAUUAUAGCAUGGAUAAUAAACGAUUAUCUUGAUACAGGAAUUUUAAUAAUAACUAUAUUUAUUAUUGCCUCUAGGGCAUAAUUCCAACACUAAAGGCCUAACCUUUAGUCCCGGCCCUGUCACAAGCCGGGACUAAAGGUGCUCCACGUGGGCGCCUCGUAGCGCCCCAGGGGCAGGCCCUUUAGUCCCGGUUCGUUACACGGACCGGGACUAAAGAGUUUCAGAUUUUGCUUAUUUUUGGGUUUUUUUUGAAUGAAAUUAUUUUUGGGUUUUAGGGUUUUAGGGUUUAGGUGUUCGGGAGAUUAACGUGAUGCCUCGUUUGGUGUUCGGGAAUUAGUUUUCAUAUAAUUUAAAUAGAAAUAAUUAUGCAUAUAUAUAUAAGAUUAACUUAUCUUACAAGCGAGCAUAUAUAUACAAUUUUAUGGAGAUCUGAAUUAUCGGGACUAGAGCCCGUCUAUUCGAUUACAUGGACGAACAUCAGUAAUGGCCCCUAGCUACACUAAAUCGUCCUUUGUCAUCUAUAGCUUCCGUCCUCAGAAAGGUCGCAAGCUCCUCUGCAACAGCAACCGCGCGUUGCUCUGGUAGGACCUUCGUCGUCAUGGCUAUGUGCUAUAUAAGAAGAGGAGAUGAAUAUGAAUAUCAAUAAUGAUAACAAAGAAUGACGGGUAAAAAUAGAGGUGUGAAUGUUCAUUGCUUACGUCGAAUCUGUGAUCCUUGUGCUCAGAGGUAAACGUGUGAAUGGUCUCGCAAACUUAGUAUCCGCAUAGACGCGUUCCCCGUGGCUGCUGGUCGCACUUUACGAGAAUAGAAUAUAUAUAAUCAAAAUAAUAAUCUAGCAUCAUAAAUGUAUUGAAAAUAGAAGUAUAUCAUACUACUACUUACCUGAGCCGCUCUAAAGGUCAGCUUCUCAGGAAAGUUACCGGAAGUCACGCACUUGAACCGCUUCCAAACCCUGCCCGACAAGGAUAAUGAUUUGCUAAGUUUUUCAUUAAUUGAUAUAUCAGAAAAUCAUCGAAAGAGACCGAUAGAGCGCAAGAAUGAUUGAAAUUACCCUUGGAGCAUGUCCUGCAGGCUUUGGAACUGUUCCAAGGGUCUCGAUAAUGGGUCGAAGGCAUCAACUCUUCCCUUAUCAAUUUGAAUGCCCAACAGAAUCCAAUGGAAGCUGCACAUGUAUAUAUAUAUAUGUGNGUGUGUGUGUGAGUAACUUAUCAAUUACACUUAUAAGUGAAUGGACACAACAGAGUAAAGACCCUCACCUGAAGUUGUAUGGAAACAGUAUGUGGUCACAGAAAUUUUGAUCUGUUAGAAACCUUAGAAGGUUUUCCUCCGUCUCCUUGGGAUAAUCAGUUAGGUCGCUAUAUGUAUUUUAUCUGGGUCAAUAAACCCAAUAUUUAUGAUGCUCUUAGUUUUACACUCCAGAAUCUUCAUUCUGCAUAAUAGAGUACAAGUUAUAUAUAGACAAUGAAUUGAAAUAACUAAACAAGUUAUAUGUAGACAACGAAUUGAAAAACUUACAGACAAUAGCAACUCAUAAGCGAUUUGUCGAGGGCGUCGCCAUUGUACAUCUGGAAGAGUUCAUCAAAGUCGAUAUGGAUUUCUUCGGGGCGGCCGUAGUACUCCUGUGGGACACUCAGCACGAUCAUCGUUCUCCCAUUCUUUGAUUCACUUAAGUACCAUUUAUGCAAGUAACGCAUAUUUGUUGGGAGAUCAUCUUUGCUGACCAAAGGAUCUCCCAUGACAAACUUUGGCUUAGGGGCUACCACAGCCUUGGGUAUCUUGUCGUCUUGGGAAGACAACAAUUCUUCAACCGGGAUACCACAUGCAGUCGCCAACUCCUUUGCUCUUUCUAAAGCUAGCCCCUGCACCAGAGGGGGAACAUUCUCGGUUAACACCUUGAGGGGUGGGAUCGACUGUUGGGCCUGUUGUCCAAGCUGAGGAACGUCUGAUUAUUUCUUGCUUGUAGUUGAACUGCUCUUUUUCACUUCCUUCUGCAAUGUGCGUGUAUAGUCAUCAGGCUUAUGGUGUAAGUCAUAAGGUCUGAUAGGAAGAUUAGCAUGACGUACCUUUGGGAGGGGCGACCGUUUGCGCUUUGGGAUGCUCUGUGGCUUAGGAAUCGUCGGCAGAGCGUUCUUGGUGGCACGCUCCCGCUUAGUAUCCGGAACGGGCGGCGGCGGAGACGGACGACCCAAGUCCGGCGGCGGUGAUCGAGAUAUGCUCUUUUUCACUUCCUUCUAUAAUGUGCGUGUAUAGUCAUCAGGCUUAUGGUGUAAGUCAUACUGUGAUGGAAGGGUCGUGAAGUAUUUUGCAAAUGCUAUUUGCUUCUAGGUGUAUUCCGGGCGGGGCCCGGGUUCCUUCUUUUUCAUCUGCGCAUCAUGAUGUUCCUUUGAUAUCCUGGUGUUUUCCUCGGGGGUACGAUCAUAAGGUCCGAUAGGAAGAUUAGCAUGAUGUACCUUUGGGAGGGGCGACCGUUUGCGCUUUGGGGUGCUCUGUGGCUUAGGAAUCGUCGGCGGAGCGUUCUUGGUGGCACGCUCCCGCUUUGUAUCCGUGGCAGGCUCAGGAUUUGUAUCCGGAGCGGGCGGCGGCGUUGCGUUCUUGGUGGCACGCUCCCUCUUUGUAUCCGUGGCAGGCUCAGGCUUUGUAUCUGGAGCGGUCGGCGGCGGAGCGUUCUUGGUGGCACGCUUCCGCUUUGUAUCCGUGGCAGGCUCAGGCUUUGUAUCCGGAGCGGGCGGCGGCGGAGCGUUCUUGGUGGCACGCUCCCGCUUUGUAUCCGUGGCAGGCUCAGGCUUUGUAUCCGGAGCGGGCGGCGGCGGAGCGUUCUUGGUGGCACGCUCCCGCUUUGUAUCCGUGGCAGGCUCAGGGUUUGUAUCCGGAGCGGGCAGCGGCGGAGACGGACGACCCAAGUCCGGCGGCGGUGAUCGAGAUGGACUCGUGUUGUGCUGGCCGACGUCAUGUGGAGGGCUUGGAGGUAAUGGAGGUGUAGGUGACCUGCGACGACUCGGAGGCGGUGCUGUCCUUGGGGCCGAGCCUGGAAGCUUGAUGUAGUUCUUGUCCCAUAGGAUGACUCCACCCAGUACUUCUCCGAGUGUCCUCUCAUCUUCGGGUCCAGCUAUGUCGAGCUCCAUAUCAUUAAACCUGGUCAUGAUUUCAUCCACCCCGACUUUAGCAAAGCCAGCUGGAAUCUCACGGCCAUGCCAGCGUGCAUUAGGGCCAGAAGGUAAAGCUUGUCCGACGGCCACCUUCAUGGAUAUGUUCUUGAAUUUGUAUGAAGUUCACAUGAUGUUGAAUCCUUGAUUCCAUCUACGGGGUAGCCGGGACCGCCCUCUAUCAUUCUUCGUUCAUCGUCGGGCGGGGCCUCAGAUUUAGCCACGCUGCUUUUCCGCUUAGAUGGGGCGCCGGUAAUAUCAAGUGCAGGAUCUUCUUGGCGCGGUACUCCUCUAAGCUCAUCAAUCUGCUUCUGUUGCUCGUUAAUCCUGGCAAGCAACUGGUUGAACUUGUCAUUCUCCUCAACCUGCUGCCGCUUCUUUGCUCUCUCUCGGCUUCUGUAAGUGUCUUGGUCUCUCGCAAACCCAAGCCACCACGGGUAAGAUGGACCGAAGCCUCGCGUUCAUCCUCCAUGUUCGUCAUUGCCGAGGACCAGUGUGAGCAAAUCUUUAUCUCUAUCUGCAGUGAACUUUCUUUGUCCCUCCUUAAUUUCUUUCACUAUCAUUUUCCAAUUCUCCCUGGGUAUCCUAAGGUUGUCAUUGCAGAUGAGGUCCCCUAUUUUUUCGUCGUACGACCCACCAUGCGCAAGGAACCAAUUUCUUGCUCUCAAUUCUCACUCAUCACGGAGUGGUUCAGGUACGAUGCCUUUAUCUUUUAGAUCUUGCUCUUUCUUUUCCCACUUUGGGAUGGCAGUCUCAUAGCCCCCUGGCCCCAGCUUGUGGUGAUAUUUCUUCUUGUCUGCAUUUAUCUUGUUCUUUUCUGAUAAUGCCUGGGCAUCUUCUGACUCCUUGUACUCUUGAAAUUCCUUCCAGUGAUUCGCCUGCUUGGCUAGAUACCCCUCAAAUACUGGCACUUUCUUUGUCUUCAGAUAGUUUUUCCGUAGCUUCUUCUUCCAGCUACGGAACAGUUCGGCCAUCUUCUUUAGAGUCCACUGCUUGACUUUGGCCCUCAGUUUGUCUGCGGCGUCUUCAUUCUCACAUUCUGGCAGGUUGAAAUGUGACAUGAGAUCAUUCCAAAGAUUAUCUUUGUACCUUUCGGCGACAUAGUCACUAUCGGCUGCCCCUUUGCGCUUGUUCCACUCCCGAACGCUGAUCGGGACAUGAUCCCUAACGAGAACUCCGCAUUGCUUCUUGAAUGUGUCAGCAGCAUUCUUAGGAAGCUUGGGUUCGCCCGUAGGCAUUAUCACCUCAAAGGUGUAAUGCGUCCGUGCAUCCAACUUUCUACUCGGGUCUCAUUUCGUAGAUUUGCUCGAUGUGGAGGCCUAAGAGGGAGAAACAUUCGUCAAAUGAAUGUAUAUGUAUACAAUAUAGAGCUAUCUCCAAUAUUUUUCACAUAUUACAAGUGAUUGUCGAACUUCAUAUGUAUACCUCGCCGGACUUUAUUAUUUCUUCACCGGCUUCUCCACCGGCUUCUCCAUCAGUGGAGCUAUCACCUUCUCCGUCAUUGGACCUAUCUCCUGCCCCAUAGGCUUCAUCUUCGUGUCGCUCGACCUCCAUUCCAUAUCCGCAGUCGUUUAGAUAUGACGUCGGAGAUUCGGCUGGUUCAACGUCGGGGCCGUAUUUGAUUAUAUCUUCGAGAAGUUCUUCCUCUUCGAGGUUCCUGAUAUGUGGAUCCAUAGUUCUGCAAAAAACGGACAUUUGAUUAACUAAUAAACUAACAAACUAUAUAAGAGGGGUUGGAAACUUCGAAGGCUCGUUUUAUAUAGGAGGACCUUUAGUCCCGGGUCUUGGCUAGAACCUAAACUCUAAAAUACCAACCGGGCGGAGCCCAGUCCCGGACACUUAAGCAUAUACAAUAGCAAAAUUAAACUAGUUCUAUUAAUUUUCUUGCUAAAAAUAAACUAUUAACAGUUAAGCAUAUACAAUAGAAAAAUUAAACUAUUAACACUUAAGCAUAUACAAUAGCAAAUUAAGCAAGAAUCUAAGAAACACUAUUAACACUUAAGCAUAUACACAAUACAAUAGCAAAAUUAAAUGACAAAAAAAACAUUUCUUCUUCUUGUAACCCUAAACUAAUUUUUCCUCUUCUUCAACUUCUUCUUCUUCUUCUACUUCUCCUCUUCUUCUACUACUUCUCCUCUCAUCUUCUUCUAUUUUUCCUCUUCUUCUCCUCUCCUCCUCUUCUUAUUCUCCUUUUUCUUCUUUUCUUCUCCUCCUCUUCUUAUUCUCCUUUUUCUUCCUUUCUUCUCCUUUUUCUUCCUUUCUUCUCCUUUUUNNNNNNNNNNNNNNNNNNNNNNNNNNNNNNNNNNNNNNNNNNNNNNNNNNNNNNNNNNNNNNNNNNNNNNNNNNNNNNNNNNNNNNNNNNNNNNNNNNNNNNNNNNNNNNNNNNNNNNNNNNNNNNNNNNNNNNNNNNNNNNNNNNNNNNNNNNNNNNNNNNNNNNNNNNNNNNNNNNNNNNNNNNNNNNNNNNNNNNNNNNNNNNNNNNNNNNNNNNNNNNNNNNNNNNNNNNNNNNNNNNNNNNNNNNNNNNNNNNNNNNNNNNNNNNNNNNNNNNNNNNNNNNNNNNNNNNNNNNNNNNNNNNNNNGGACGGCGGGCAGCCUGACGGCGUCGUCGAGUUCGUCGCUUGCCGCGCCGGGCAGGAGAAGGAGAGGAAGAAGAAGAGAAAAUUGACGAUUUGGGUUCGAAAUUUUCUAACUCCCGCUUAUACAGGUGAAUCUUUAGUCCCGGUUCGGGGCUCGAUCCGGGACUAAAGACCCUUUAGUCCUGGGUGGAGCCACGAACCGGGACUAAAGGCCCUUUUUCGGCUGACCAAAAGGUGGGAAGCAGGGGCCUUUAGUCUCGGGGCGUGGCUCGAACCGGGACAAAGACACCCCUUUAGUCCCGGGUGGAGCCACGACCCGGGACUAAAGGCCCUUUUUCGGCAGACCAGAUGGCGGGAAGGAGGGGCCUUUAGUCCCGGAGCGUGGCAAGAACUGGGACUAAAGUGUUGCCUAUAUAAACCCUCGCCCCUGGCCACCAUAUCCCCUGUUUUUUGGUUGUUGAAGUGUGACCAUGCCAUGCUCUUGCCACUCUAGUUCAUGCACAUGACGUGUUCGAUGAAAUGCCCGAGCCACUCUACUUAAGCUUUCUCCUCUCCAAGCUCGACCUCCAAGCUCCAUUUUCCUUAAUAUUUGUCUAGGUUUGGCCGCGCACCAACUCCGAGCACCACCGUGGUGAGCCUCUUGUUCUUAUCUUCUUUUUAAAAUCAAAAAAAUCUUACUUGUAUGAUUUAGAUACAUACUUGUAUAAAUUACUCACUUUCAUUAUUUUUUGUUAUUAUAUAGUGCGAUGGUUUUGGUAUCCGCCUCCGUCGGCCCUCGUCCUGUCUAUGAUUCGGAUGUGGUAUAUAUUAUCUUUUAUAACUAUUUGUUUUUUUAAUGUCUAUGACAAUUAUGACGACCAAUGUGACAUAUAUUUUUUUAAUCUAGGAGGUAUGUGAACCGGAAAUAACAACCCACAUCAAAAUUCUUGUUGAGAAGUUAAAUUUGGUUGAAAAAGAAAACAAAUACUUGAAGAAAAAAUUGAAAAUAAUUGAGGAUAAGAAUAUGGAACUGGAGUUGCAUGUCGCCGAUGUCAUCGAUGAUCGCAAGAUGAAGAUCGAUGCGAUGCGGUUGAAGAUGGAUGCAAUGCGCUUGAAGAUUAAGAAUAUUAGAAAAUAUGCCAUUGAUAAAGAGGCUUGGUAUCAUUAUGUUGUUGGGUCAAUUGUUACCUUAGUUGCGAUUUUGAUCGCGUUUGUUGUUGCAUUUAAAUGUUUUACAUAGUUGUAUGUUGUUUCUAUGAGAGAACUUUAUGUAUUUAUUUUUUGCAAUAAUAACAUUUGAUCACUACUAUUCUUUGGCUUUAAUGUGAUGAUGAACUUGUAUUAAUUUGGUCAUAUGUUCUGCAAUGAUUUUUUUAUAUAUUUGAUUUCAUAAUAGAGAUGAAUCGCCAAUGAUAAUAUUUAAUUUCAUAAUAUGGUUUUUUGAACUCCAUACUUUUUGACUUCAUUUGGUAUAUUUCGUGGAUUUACUUUUUUUUUUGAGCUAGUUGACCCUGAAAUUGAAAAUCACUACAAAUAAACUCUGAAAAUGUUGAAAGUUGGCAUGCUAUCAUCAUUUCACCCACAUAGCAUGUGUUAAAAAGUUGAGAGGGCUACGACAAAAACUGGAUGUACUUCGUGUACAAAACGGACAAUCUCUCUCGAAGUAUCAGGGUUUCGAACGAGAACUCAUCUCUUACAAAGGGAUUUCAUUUUUGUGAACUUAUUUGAACUCCAUACUUUUUGUGUGUUUAAAAUGCACCAUUCAAAGUCACACCACAAAAUUUUAACAAUUUCUGACUUCAUUUGGUAUAUUUCGUGGAUUUACUUUUUUUUUUGAGCUAGUUGACCCUGAAAUUGAAAAGCACUACAAAUGAACUCUGAAAAUGUUGAAAGUUGGCAUGCUAUCAUCAUUUCACCCACAUAGCAUGUGUUAAAAAGUUGAGAGGGCUACGACAAAAACUGGAUGCACUUCGUGUACAAAACGGACAAUCUCUCUCGAAGUAUCAGGGUUUCGAACGAGAACUCAUCUCUUACAAAGGGAUUUCAUUUUUGUGAACUUAUUUGAACUCCAUACUUUUUGUGUGUUUAAAAUGCACCAUUCAAAGUCACACCACAAAAUUUUAACAAUUUCUGACUUCAUUUGGUAUAUUUCGUGGAUUUACUUUUUUUUUUGAGCUAGUUGACCCUGAAAUUGAAAAGCACUACAAAUGAACUCUGAAAAUGUUGAAAGUUGGCAUGCUAUCAUCAUUUCACCCACAUAGCAUGUGUUAAAAAGUUGAGAGGGCUACGACAAAAACUGGAUGCACUUCGUGUACAAAACGGACAAUCUCUCUCGAAGUAUCAGGGUUUCGAACGAGAACUCAUCUCUUACAAAGGGAUUUCAUUUUUGUGAACUUAUUUGAACUCCAUACUUUUUGUGUGUUUAAAAUGCACCAUUCAAAGUCACACCACAAAAUUUUAACAAUUUCUGACUUCAUUUGGUAUAUUUCGUGGAUUUACUUUUUUUUUUGAGCUAGUUGACCCUGAAAUUGAAAAGCACUACAAAUGAACUCUGAAAAUGUUGAACGUUGGCAUGCUAUCAUCAUUUCACCCACAUAGCAUGUGUUAAAAAGUUGAGAGGGCUACGACAAAAACUGGAUGCACUUCGUGUACAUAACGGACAAUCUCUCUCGAAGUAUGAGGGUUUCGAACGAGAACUCAUCUCUUACAUGGAUAAUAUGAAAAUGAAAAGUGUUUGAAAUUUAGUACGUUCCAUACAUGCAUUACAUAAAAGGUUUAAUACAUUAUUACAUUAUUGCACCAAUAUUCCUAUCUAUUAUUUCUAUUUUCUUCUGGGUCGUAGCCAUGGAGAAUCUUCAUCAUUCAGUAGGAUGCUUGGGUCAGUUUUCACUUUGAAGGGCGGAAUUUCAUGAAACUUAUUAUAAUCUUCUGACAUGUCUGUCUUGUCAUCUACUCCCACGAUGUUUCUUUUCCCUGAAAGAACUAUGUGGCGUUUUGGCUCAUCGGAUGAUAUCUUCUUUUGCUGAUUUCUUUUUCUCGUUAAUGUAGACAUGUCCUUCACAUAGAAAACCUGAGCGACAUCAUUGGCUAGGACAAAUGGUUUGUCCAUGUACGCAAGAUUGUUAAGAUCUACUGUUGUCAUGCCGUACUUUUGGUCUACAACUACCCCGCCUCCUGUCAGCUUCACCCAUUUGCACCGAAAUAAAGGGAUCAUAAAAGUAGGUCCAUAGUCAAGUUCCCAUAUCUCCUCUAUGUACCCGUAAUAUGUUUCCAAACAGUGCCCAUUCUCGUCUGUUGCAUCAAAGCGGACACCACUAUUUUGGUUGGUGCUCUUUUUAUCUUGGGCAACCGUGUAAAAUGUAUUCACAUUUAUCUCAUACCCUUGGAAAGUACAUAUAGUCGAAGAUGGUGGCCUGGCCAAACAGUACAGCUCAUCUCCAACAGUGUCGUCAUUCAUGAGAUGUGUCUGCAACCAACUGCCGAAAGUCUUCUCGUGUUCCCCUUUAAUCCAAGAGUCAGCCUUCCCCGGGUUUUCGGAGCGUAGAAUAUUCUUGUGUCUCACGAUAUACGGAGCCACCACGGUGGAAUUGUGUAGAACUGUGUAGUGUGCUUGAGAGAAAGAAUGCCCGUCCAUACAUACUUUUGCUUUCCUUCCUAGUGUGCCUUUUCCUGUCAGCCUACCCUCAUACCGAGAUUCAGGAACACCAAUCGGCUUAAGAUCAGGAAGAAAGUCCACACAAAACUCAAUGACCUCCUCUGUUCCAUAGCCCUUGGAGAUGCUUCCUUCUGGCCUAGCACGGUUACGAACAUAUUUCUUUAAGACUCCCAUGAACCUCUCGAAGGGGAACAUAUUGUGUAGAAACACAGGACCGAGAAUUCUAAUCUCUUCGACUAGGUGAACUAGGAGGUGUGUCAUUAUAUUGAAGAAGGAUGGCGGGAACAACAACUCAAAGCUGACCAGACAUUGGACCACAUCAAUCUGUAACCCUGAUAGACUUUCUCGAUCGAUUACCUUCUGAGAAAUUGCAUUGAGGAAUGCACAUACCUUCACAAUUGCCAGGCGAACAUUUUCCGGUAGAAUUCCCCUCAAUGCAACCGGAAGCAAUUGCGUCAUAAGCACGUGGCAGUCAUGAGACUUUAGGUUUUGGAAUUUUUUGUCUUUCAUAUUUACGAUUCCCUUUAUAUUCGACGAGAAGCCAGUCGGGACCUUGAUACUGAACAGGACUUCAAAGAAGAUUUCCUUCUCUUCCUUAGUAAGAGCGUAGCUGGCACGCCCUUGAAACUACCCUGGAUGCAUGCCAUCUCUUCCUUUAUGACGUUCCUGGUCCUCCCGUGCUUCCGGUGUAUCUUUUGACUUCCCAUACAAGCCCAGGAAGCCUAGAAUAUUCACGCAGAGAUUCUUCGUCAGGUGCAUCACGUCGAUUGCCGAGCGGACCUCAUGGACUUCCCAGUAGGGUAGCUCCCAAAAUAUAGAUUUCUUCUUCCACAUGGGUACGCGCUUAUCAGGGCCGUUAGGAACAGGUUGGCUGCCAGGACCCUUUCCAAAGAUUACUUUUAAAUCUUUGACCAUAUCAAAUACUUCAGCACCAGUACGGAUGACAGGCUUCCCCCGGGGUUCUGCCUUGCCAUUGAAAUGCUUGCCUUUUUUCUUUAAGGGAUGCUUGGGCGGAAGAAAACUACGAUUGUACGGAUACACAUUCUUCCUAUAGUUGUCGAGAUAUAUACUUUCUGUCUGAUCCAAACAGUGCGUGCACGCAUUGUAUCCCUUGUUUGACUGUCCUGAAAUGUUACUAAGAGCAGGCCAAUCAUUGAUGGUUACGAAAAGCAACGCUCGAAGGUCAAAUUCCUCUUGUUUGUGCUCGUUCCACACACGUACACCUGGUUCGGUCCACAGCUGUAAAAGUUCAUCCACUAAUGGCCUUAGGUACACAUCAAUAUCGUUGCCGGGUUGCUUUGGACCUUGUAUAAGCACUGGCAUCAUAAUGAACUUCCGCUUCAUGCACAACCAAGGAGGAAGGUUGUAGAUACACAGAGUAACGGGCCAGGUGCUGUGACUGCAACUCUGCUCCCCAAAAGGAUUCAUGCCAUCUUUACUCAGACCUAACCAUAAGUUCCUUGCGUCAGCUGCAAAUCUCGGGAACUCUCUCCCGAUUUUUCUCCAUUGCCGACCAUCUGCGGUGUGCCUCAACUUAUCGUCUUUCAUACGAUCUUCCAUGUGCCAUCGCAACAACUUCGCAUGAUCUUUAUUUCUGAACAGACGUUUCAACCGUGGUAUUAUAGGAGCAUACCACAUCACCUUGGCAGGAACCCUCUUCCUGGGUGGCUCGCCCUCAAUAUCACCAGGGUCAUCUUUUCUGAUCUUAUACCGCAAUGCAGUGCAUACCGGGCAUUUAUCCAUAUUCUCGUACUUCUCACCGCGGUAGAGGAUGCAGUCAUUAGGGCAUGCAUGUAUCUUCUGCACGUCUAAUCCUAGAGGGCAGACAAGCUUCUUUGCUUCGUAUGUGCUGGCAGGCAAUUCGUUCUUUCUUGGAAGCAUCUUCUUCAUCAGUACCAGCAACUUUUCGAAUGACGAGUUAGUCACACUGGUCUCUGCCUUCCACUUCAGCAAUUCCAGUGUGCUACCCAGCUUCUUCUGGCCAUCUUCACAAGUUGGGUACAACAAUUUGUUCUGGUCCCGUAACAUCUGCUCGAACUGCAGCCUCUCCUUUUCCGUGUCGCAACCUCGCCGUGCAUCAGAAAUGACCCGGCCAAGAUCAUCAGCGGGCUCAUCUGGUUCCAGUUCUUCAUCCUGAUCUUCUUCUUCAUUGUCUUCCAUUGCGGUAUCAGCAUACUCAGGGAACAUAGAUCGGUAGUUUUCAUCAUCGUUCUCUUCUUCUUCAUCAUCGUCUUCCAUCAUAACCCCUCUUUCUCCGUGCUUGGUCCAAACAUUAUAGCCCGACAUAAAACUGUACCGAAGCAGGUGGCUCUGAAUGACUCUUGAGGAAGUGUAAUCCUUCUCAUUCCGACAUUCAACACAUGGACAAAACAUAUAGCCACCACCAUGCUUGUUCGCAUCGGCUGCAUCUCGAAAAGAAUGCACACCUUCUCUGUAAGCGGAUGUGCGUCGAUCACCGUACAUCCAUGGAUGGCUCAUCUCUGCGUUAUACGACAAUAUAUCAAAUACAAUCACGAUCCUAAAAAUUAGUACCGCACGGUCUAAAUGAGGAAAUAUAGUUGCUAACCUUUUAGAAUAGGUAGAAAUAAAGAGGAAGAGGUUUAAGCAUGGCUCGGGCAUCUCAUAUCGUAGUUGUGUUCGGUGAACUGAAGCAGCAUCGCUCUAACACACAUUUCAACAAACACCUCUAGUGCAUCAAAAAAAGUGGAGAGCAAGCACCCACCCACAAUCCUCCAUCCAAGAAAAAUGCAACGAAGUGGGGAGAGGGGGGCUGUGCUAUAUAUAGGCAGAGGACUUUAGUCCCGGUUUGAGACACAAACCGGGACUAAAGGUGGCACACAUGCAGGCUGCCCACCGCUUAGCCCUUUAGUCCCGGUUUGGGACACGAACCGGGACUAAAGGUUCCUUACGGGCCGGGACUAUAGCCUCGAGGGAGGCAUUGAGAAUUGGGGCGACGUGGCCGGGCCUUUAGUCCCGGCCCAGAGGCAGGCCGGGACUAAAGGGUCCCGGCCAAAGGCCCGUUUUCUACUGGUGGUCACUGACGUGGAUGACCAAGCCACCAAAGGAUAUCUCCCGAACCCAACUCACACCACCAUGCCCAGCCGCCAUCAGCCCGAUGAGGCAAGAUCACCGACGCAAGAUCCGGCGGAAAAUGGACCAGAUGGGAAACUUCAGGUCUGAUGCCAGGAUCACCGCCAGACCAGGCCGUCGGCCAUGAACCGCGUCCGCCGAAGACGCCGACCCUCUCCCACGAGCACCGCCAGCCAUGAAGACGGUGUCACCUCUCCAAGCAUGGACGCCGCUCUGGAACCCAAUGCCCUCUGCCGAGCCCGGAGCGACGAAAUCCCGUCUGCCACCUUCACCGGCGACCGCAUGUGCUUGCCCGGCAACCUCCUCGGGUGGUGCGAGGAAGAUGAGGAGGCUAGAAAUGGCCGCACGGGGUAACCCUACUGGCCUCCCGUGUCGCCCGAGAGGACGACGCGGGGGCUGUUGCAUGUGUACUCUGUACGUUAGUGUCAAAGCUUCCUAUGGAAAAAAAACUCUUUGGCCUUCAAGGAAUAGUAAUUGACAGAAUAUGCAUGGUUCAUGAAUUAUGAUGAGCGGCACCUAUUAUCAGCCAUUGCUGUUAAGCUUGAGCAUCAACCAGAAAUAAGUUGACAUAGCCAAAGUGCAGAGUUCUUCCAAUCCCUCUUUAAUUAUUUCUGGUCAUGAACCAUUUGGGUUUUAGAGUGCGAAAUAUUGCAUUGGGGAUAUUCCUUAUGUAGCCAAACAAUAUGUUUGUCAUAUGAGUAGUUUUUUUAUUCCAAACCAUGCAAUUUAGUUAUUACAUUCCAACAUGGACCUCAAGCAGCCCAGGGUCCUAGAGAUUUCAUAAGUCCUCGCCAGGGAGACCCUGUUUAAUUAUGUCCAUGCUAUCAAUUCUCUUGCAAUUAACGUCUAAGGAAACUUCUCUUGCUGGAAGGGACGGAGCUAGGAAUUUCAUUAAAGCGGGGGCAAUGAAACAUGUCAAGCAUCAUUGGGGGACAUACAUAAGAAUUUAGAUAUCAAAUUCAUAAACUAGCAUAGUACUCCCUCCGGUCCUUUUUACUCCGCGUAUUGGAUUUUGGUCAAGUCAAACUUUGUAAAGUUUGACCAAAUUUAUAUUAAAAAAAUAUCAAUAUCUACAAUACCAAAUAUAUACAUUAUGAAACUACAUUUCGUAAAGAAUCUAACAAUAUUGAUUUGGCAUGGUGAAUGUUCAUAAUUUUUUCUAUAAGUUUGAUCAAAGUAAAGAUAAUUUGACUUCGAACAAAACUUAUAUGCAGACUAAAAAGGACGGUAGGGAGUAUUUAGGGAUAGCUUCAGAAACUUUUACAGUGUGGGGGGACCAUGGCCCCAACUCGCCCCUAUUGACUAUGUCGCUGCUGCUAGCCCAAGUCGCAAUUCAAUGUGUUCUAUUUAUCACGUCAUGUUUAUUACGAUCACGGUGUCAUUGGAUGGUCUGCCUUUUUGUGCAGUCAGUGUGUGUGAGGUCGAAGGGUUGUACGAGAUGUUCAAGAAAUCGGUAAUGUUGUGGUAGAUGUCGAGCUGAUUAACAAGGUUAGUGGAUAAACACCCAUCUCCUUAUUAAAGUAAAUAAUAUAUAUCGUGUCGUUCUGUCAGGUGCAUGUUUGUGUAUAUGAUGGAUAACGAAUAACAUGAGUUCUGAUGCUUGUAUAUUGACCUGGCGCGGGAGUUUCAGCUGUCGAUUUUCAAGACCAGUAAGACUAAGAGUUUGUUUGGUGAUCAUGUAAGUCCACAUUGCACGUGUGUACACACAUUCACUCUUUGUAUUGUAUAACGAAAAUGUCUCUCUUGUUUUUGCGUAUUUUCAUUUAUUCUAAUAUAAUUACUGCGGAGUCAGUCUCAAUCUCGUUUUUGGCACAUUACUGGGACUUUGGAGAUAAAGAACACACUUUUUAACAUAGAGAUCAUAAGUGAUCUAUGGCAAAGACAUUUGCUUAAUUGUAGAAUCGUGCAGAUAAUUGAUACUCGAAGGGCUUCGAGGCAACGAUUUAAGUUGGAAUUUGGUUCUACUUUCUGUGUUAUAUUUUCCAUUUUCAUUAGAGGAUUUCGCUCCUAUUACGCCUACUUUUUUAGCAUAGCCUUUGAUCUACUACAUUGCAUGUAGUAAAUAAUGUUUCCGUCCAAAACGCCACCCCUAUAGACUUCAAUUUUUUACUAAAAAAGGAGGUUAAACCAGAACUUCUGCAUCAAUUGAUGCAUACAUCCAUCUUUAUUAAUUACUUUACAAAGGUCUAACAAAAACAUACAUCAAACUAAAGCCACCAUUCACACCUUCAACCUUGAUAAUGUGUAGUGCUCUCACUCCUCAUAUCUAAAAUCGAUGUCGUCGUCAAUCCAUCCCUAUAACGUAUAGGAUCUAACAAUCGGUGCAGCACACCUAAAGUGUACACCACAUGCACACGUUUCGGAAGUCGCCAUCAUCGUUGAGCCGUUGUCCCAUCUUCAGGAGAGAGAUCUGCAUCAUCCUUGCCAGUCCGGCCAUUCAUUGACGCCAACACGGCGCCUAACGGCGCCACCGCCUUGCGCUCGGUCAUCCCGAUGUGGAGACUAUAGAAGAUCUAUCGUGCGUAGCACUUGCCGAACAGGAUUGAAACAGUGUAGCACCUGUCAACCAGACAUGACUUACAUCUCCACCGAAGCUCCGUUGAAGACGAAGCCGCUCCACCUCCUGCCUUUGUCUUCCAGUGUUGCUCCACAAACAAUGCUCUCAAGAGAGAAUCGACACCGUAGUGCCACCAUCGUCCGAUCUGGAAUACCAGAUCAAAAGGUUUCCCUCGGAGCAGCACGAGCAGGUCGACGGUAGUUACAUGAUGAUGCCUUCAUCAAGGUAACGACGAAGAACGUCGCCAUCGCCUGUCAUCGGCUCGAUUUUCACUGUCAACUAUGUUCCCCCGACUCACAGCCGAGAUUAGGUGACCGAUCUCGAGAUCCGACCAUCCAGCCUCAGGCCAACCACCUCCCACGGAAGAGAUGACCACCAUCGUCGGCUGCGUCGGCCAGAAUAGAUCUGACAGAAGGUGUCGUCGAGCCGUCCACCAAGCCCUCCACGUCGCCGCCGAUUUGAAACUAGAUGACGUGAUGUCGCCGUCGGUCGCAUCGCACCGCCGCCCGAACAAGGCCAGCCAGCCACACACCGACGCCCGUGACCGGGCCGCCCGACGCGCUUGCAGUCGUCGUUCCCUGAGACAGGGCCGACCACCGUCGUUGUUGCCGCAGCCAACGCCGCCGCUCCGCUAGAUCGGCCACGCCUCCACGCGUGUAGGGGCCCCGCACCACCCCUGAGACACGAAAGAGAGGGAGUCGCCCGCCACCGCCGUCGGGGCUUCCUCCGGCGGCGGCGGAGGGACGGGAGGAGGGAGUGCACGCCCCCGACGGCUAGGGUUUGGGCGAUGCCCGAGUCGCCCUAGCGGGGACGACACGGGGGCCUCUAACCUAGCGUACACAAAGUUAACGCCCCUCUACAAACUUCUAAUUAGAAGCUUGGAACGUAGAAAUAAGAUUUACCCGUCGAUAACUUGGUAGGUGUCAACUAGUUUGGAAGCUACUUUCAUGCACACAAUAGAGAUGAGCUACUCUGUGGUUGUUUUUUUAUCGAGUUGGCAUUAAUGUACGAUUAAGGUGGGGAUGAUGCUCGUGGUGGAACAUGUAGGGGCUGAAGUAUUGUACGCGGAUCUUCUUAAAUGUGUAUUGUUGUGAGUUGGGGAAGUUUUAGUAGUACGACCUAUGCUAAUUUGUCAAAUUGCUUUCAUAAUAAAGGCCAUGCUAAAUGAAGUUAGUCACGUUUUGGGCACUUCAUCAAGCUUGAGAUCCCUUACUCUGGCAUAAUAAAGUGGCCUUGCCUUAUACGUUUUUCAUGAACUGCCACAACCUGGAAUCCAUAAUUAGCCAGGAGCCCAUCUCGGACUACCAAAUCCCGUGCAUGAUUGCGAAUCAUCUGCAUAGGGACACCUUUGUCAUGCCAUACUAUGACAAGUAAGUUGUUGAAGUUCACUCAUUCACUAUGAAAUAUAUAAAUGGCCUUAUGGUUUGAUAUCAAUAAUUAUAUUUCCUUCAUUUUUUCGCAGCGAUUGACAUUUGAUUGUAAUCACACUAUUGUCGACGCAGAGCUUCGUUUACUUCUUCUAUUCAAAGAGAGCCCUCAAAACCAAUGGACCAGAUUAAAUGUGGUUCUAAAUGAUGCUUUACGCAAAUGUAAGAACUACAACAAGACAUUAACAUGGUAUUCAGAAUUCAAGGUUCAACACUAGAGCUUGUUGCUAUCAAGAACCAAAUGCCAUUACCUUUCAUAUGUUUGGCUACUUUUUCAUGGUGACCAUGGAUGACUUAUUGAAGAAAAGCCAAUAUUUGUGAAAUCAUAGCCAGAUCAUCAAAUGGUGUGAGGAGAUGGACAAGGACAUAGACGUAGGAGAAUUAAUGAGAGAGCAUGAGAGCCUCCAAAAGGUGUUGGCCAAAAUUAUCAACAAGGAAGUUGUAAAUGAAGACGUGAAGUUCCACUACCAACCAGAUGAAGAAUGACUUCACUCAUUCAAAACGGUAUUGCGUUCAUUGAUUAUGAGAGUCUAGCCAAGUCCGCUCAAAACAUAUUUGGAAAUAUUCAUUAUGUGUUGAGACAUGCAUGUUUGUUACCCUGCACUUUUAUAUACUUUAUGUUUGCUUCACUAUAAUACUUUUAAUUAUGAUAACAUGUUUUAAUUAAUGUGUAAUGCUAUGUGAUGAUCAAGUGUAGCAACAGCAUCAUUAAAAUGCUGCCAAGGGAAAAAAAUGUUGUCACGACAGCAAUUCUUCUAAAUGCCUAGAGCACUAUCAGUGGUGAGCACCAAAGUUUCUGCCACUGUUGCUAUGCACAACAGUGGCGGGCGGACAAUAAUUCUUCUGCGGGCUUUAUAAUUUGCUCGGCACUACAAUAGACCCAUUGUGCCCACCACUGAUGCCUGAGAGCCUUUCCCGCUGCUAAUGGGCCUUUUGCGCCCGCCAUUGUGUAACAUUCAAGAUGAAGUUCUAUCCUUAUUUUGGCUCGAGUGCCUCGACAGGGAUAGAAGCGCAUCAAAUUGUUUCACAAGAAUGGAUAUCGUUAUAAGUACAUGUAAAGAAGAGAUGGUAUAUGGAAUUGUCUAACAAUCGCCACAAGCUAAUCAUGAUCAUCUCAAUACAAACAUACAUUCAAUCACAAUUCAAAAGAGCAGGGUGCGACUACGGAUGAAAUCAACAAUAAAAAUAACGUCUACCCUUGAUAUCCCAGGCAUCCAGCAUGGAACCCAUCCUAUGAUCGAUCAAGAAGAAGAAGAAGAACUCCAAAUCAAGCAAGCAUCGCUCUCACGUCAAAUCAUCGCAUUGCCUACACCUGCAACUCUUGUUGUAGUAAUCUUUGAGUCACAAGGACUCAAUAAUCUCCUUUCCAAAGGUAUGAAGACCAGCAAAGCUUAAUGGGUGAGGUAAGUAAUGAGGCUACAGCAAGCACUAAGCAUUUAUUUGAGUGGCUAACUUAGGAGUACAAGAAUAAGAAGGGUGAUCUACGCAUAAACGUACGUGAAUUAGCAAUGAUCAAUAAGUGAUCUUGAACACCUACUUACGAAUUAAACAUAACCCCACCGUGUUCUCUCUUGGUUCAGAACUCACGAACAAAGAUAUUCAAGGUUAUGCACACAGUUGGUGUAUUUUAGUUGAGUUUGAUUCAAGUUUGCUAUGACCGGGUGUUAACAAAUUUCCAAGUUCCCACAUAACCGCGAGCACGGAUUUCUGAAAGAUUUAACCCUGCAGGGUGUUGGGUAACGUAGCAUAAAUUCAAAAAAAUCCUACGCAUAUUCAGAUCUUCCUAUGAAGAGACCAGCAACGAGAGAGGGGUGAGUGCAUAUUCAUACCUUUGAAGAUCGCUAAGCGGAAGCGUUACUAGAACGCGGUUGAUGGAGUCGUACUCACGGCGAUUCAGAUCGCGGUGUGAUUCCGAUCUAGUGCCGAACUAUGGCACCUCCUCGUUCAACACGCGUCCAGCCCGGUGACGUCUCCCGCACCUUGAUCCAGCAAGGAGGAGGGAGAGGUUGGGGAAGAACUCCAGCAGCACGACGGCGUGGUGUUGAUGGAGAGACGAGGUCUCCCGGCAGGGCUUCGCCAAGCACCAGCAGAGAGGAGGAGAAAGAAGGGCAGGGCUGCGCCGAGGGAGAGGGAAAAGUCUAUCUCAAAACAGCCCCAAACCUCAACUAUAUAUAGGAGGAGAGGGAGGGGGCGCAGCCCUUAGGGAUCCCACCCCCAAGGGGUGCGGUAGCCCCCAUCUGCGCCAGGAGGUGGCGGCUAGGAGGGGAGGAGGGGUGUGGCGCACCCCUCGUGGGCCUUAGGCCCACCUGGCUUAGGGUUUGCCCCCCUUCCCUCUCCCCUGCGCCUUGGGCUGAGUGGGGGCGCACCAGCCCACCUAGGUGCUUGUUCCCUCCCCCACUUGGCCCAUCUAGCAUCCCGGGGGUCGUUGCCCCCUUCGGUGGACCCCCGGGGCCACCUCCGAUGGUCCCGGUACGUUACCGGUGACGCCCGAAACACUUCCGGUGUCCGAAACCAUCCGUCCUAUAUAUCAAUCUUUGCCUCUGAAUCAUUCCGGAGCUCCUCGUGACGUCCGGGAUCUCAUUCGGGACUCCGAACAACUUUCGGUAACCUCGUAUAACAAUUCCCUAUAACCCUAGUGUCAUCGAACCUUAAGUGUGUAGACCCUACAGAUUCGGGAGACAGGCAGACAUGACCGAGACACCUCUUCGGCCAAUAACCAUCAGCGGGGUCUGGAUACCCAUGGUAGCUCCCACUUGCUCCACGAUGAUCUCAUCGGAUGAACCACGAUGUCAAGGAUUCAAUCAAUCCCGUAUACAAUUCACUUUGUCUGUCGGUAUAGAACUUGCCCGAGAUUCGAUCGUCGGCAUACCUAUACCUUGUUCAAUCUCGUUACCGGUAAGUCUCUUUACUCGUUCCGUAGCACAUCAUCGUGUGACUAACUCCUUAGUCACAUUGAGCUCAUGAUGAUGUUCUACCGAGUGGGCCCAGAGAUCCGUCACACGGAGUGACAAAUCUCGAUCUCGAUUCGUACCAACCCAACAGACACUUUCGGAGAUGCCCGUAGUGCACCUUUAUAAUCACCCAGUUACGUUGUGACGUAUGAUACACCCAAAGCACUCCUACGGUAUCCGGGAGUUGCACAAUCUCACGGUCGAAGGAAAAGAUACUUGACAUUAGAAAAGCUUUAGCAUGCGAAAAAUACGAUCUAGUGCUAUGCUUAGGAUUGCGUCUUCUCCAGCACAUCAUUCUCCCAAUGAUGUGAUCCCGUUAUCAAUGACAUCUAAUGCCCAUAAUCAGGAAACCAUGAUCAUCUAUUAACUAACGAGCUAGCCAACUAGAGGCUUGCUAGGGACACAUUGUGAUCUAUUUAUUCACAGAUGUAUUACUGUUUCAUGUUAAUACAAUUAUAGCAUGAACAAUAGACGAUUAUCAUGAACAAGGAAAUACGAUAAUAACCAUUUUAUUAUUGCCUCUAGGGCAUAUUUCCAACGGUCUCCCACUUGCACUAGAGUCAAUAAUCUAGUUACAUUGUGAUGUAUCGAACACCCAUAGCAUUAUGGUGUUGAUCAUGUUUUGCUCGUGGAAGAGGUUUAGUCAACGGGUCCGCAAUAUCCAAAUCCGUGUGUACUUUACAAAUAUCUAUUACUCCACUCUGGACAUGGUCCUGGAUGGAGCUGUAGCGGCGUUUGAUGUGCUUCGUCUUCGGGUGAAACCUGGGCUCCUUGGCUAUGGCAAUGGCCCCAGUGUUAUCACAAAAGAGUGUCAUUGGACCCGACGCGCUUGGAACCACUCCAAGGUCGGUGAUGAGCUUCUUCAUCCAAAUUCCUUCAUGAGCCGCUUUUGAAGCAGCUAUGUACUCCGCUUCACAUGUAGAUGCUGCCACGACUUCUUGCUUGUUGCUGCACCAGCUCACUGCCCCACCAUUCAAAACAUAUACGUAUCCGGUCUGUGACUUAGAGUCAUCCGGAUCUGUGUCGAAACUGGCGUCGGCAUAACCCUUUACGACGAGCUCUUCGUCACCUCCAUAAACGAGAAACAUUUCCUUACUCCUUUUCAGGUACUUAAGGAUAUUCUUGACCGUUGUCCUGUGUUCCAUACCGGGAUCACUUUGGUACCUCCCUACCAAACUUAUGGCAAGGUUUAUAUCAGGUCUGGUACACAGCAUGGCAUACAUUAGAGAGCCUACGGCUGAAGCGUAGGGUACAUAACUCAUCUUCUCUUUAUCUGCUGCCGGGGUCGGCGACUGAGACUUACUCAAUCUCAUACCUUGCAAAACUGGCAAGAACCCUAUCUUUCAGUUUGCCAUAUUGAACUUCUUCAAUAUCUUGUCAAGGUAUGUACUUUGCGAAAUACCUAUGAGGCGUCUCGAACUAUCUCUAUAGAUCUUGAUGCCGAAUAUGUAUGCAGCUUCUCCAAGGUCCUUCAUUAAAAAACUCUUGUUCAAAUAGGCCUUUAUGCUCUCCAACAUUUCUGUAUUGUUCCCCAUCAGUAAUAUGUCAUCCACAUACAGUAUGAGGAAAGCUACAGAGCUCCCACUCACUUUCUUGUAUAGACAGGCUUCUCCAUAAACCUGUACGAACCCAAACGCUUUAAUCACCUCAUUAAAGCGAAUAUUCCAACUCCGAGAUGCUUGCACCAGCCCAUAGAUGGAGCGCUGGAGCUUGCACACUUUGUUAGCACCCUUAGGGUCGACAAAACCUUCUGGUUGCAUCAUAUACAACUCUUCCUUAAGGUUCCCGUUAAGGAACGCUGUUUUGACGUCCAUUUGCCAAAUUUCAUAAUCAUAAAAGGCGGCAAUCGCUAACAUGACUCGGACUGAUUUCAACUUCGCUACGGGAGAGAAAGUAUCUUCGUAGUCAACUCCUUGAAUUUGUCAAAAACCCUUUGCGACAAGUCGAGCUUUAUAAACGGUUACAUUACCGUUUGCAUCAGUCUUCUUCUUGAAGAUCCAUUUAUUUUCUAUGGCUCGCCGGUCAUCGGGCAAGUCCACCAAAGUCCAUACUUUGUUCUCAUACAUGGAUCCUAUCUCGGAUUUCAUAUGUGAACGUUAGAAUCUAUCACACCCGAUCAUCACGUGGUGCUUCGAGACAACGAUCCUUCGCAACGGUGCACACUUGGGGGAAUACGUUCUCGAAAUUUUAAGAGGGAUCAUCUUAUUAUGCUACCGUCAUUCUAAGCAAUAAGAUGAAAAACAUGAUAAACAUCACAAUGCAAUCAUAUGGUGACAUGAUAUGGCCAUUAUCAUCUUUGCUCUUUCGAUCUCCAUCUUCAGGUAUCGCAUGAUUAUCAUCGUCGCCGGCGUGACACCGUGAUCUCCAUCAUCGUGUCUCCGUGAAGUCGUCACGCCAACUACUACUAUCACUACUACUAUAGCUAACCGUUAGCAAUGAAGUAAAAGUAGUAAGCACAUGGCGUUGCAUCUCAUACAAUAAAUUAAGACAACUCCUAUGGCUCCUGCCGGUUGUCAUACUCAUCGACAUGCAAGUCGUGAAACCUAUUACAGUAACAUGAUCAUCUCAUACAUCAUACAUGCAACAUCACAACUUUGGCCAUAUCACAUCACAUGUCAAACCCUACAAAAACAAGUUAGACGUCCUCUAAUUGUUAUUGCAAGUUUUACGUGACUGAUUUGGGUUUCUAGCAAGAACGCUUUCUUACCUACGUGACAGCCACAACGAUGAUAUGCCAAAGCUAUUUACCCUUCAUAAGGACCCUUUUCAUCAAAUCCAAUCCGACUAGAGUAGGAGAGACAGACACCCGCUAGCCACCUUUAUGCACGGUGUGCAUGUUUGUCGGUGGAACCAGUCUCACGUAAGCGUACGUGUAAGGUCGGUCCGAGCCGCUUCAUCCCACAAUACCGCCGGAAAAGAAUAAGACUAGUAGCGGCAAGCAAUUGAAAAAUCAUUGCCCACAACCUUUUGUGUUCUACUUGUGCAUAGAAUCUACGCAUAGAAAACCUGGCUCGGAUGCCACUGUUGGGUAACGUAGUAUAAAUUCAAAAACAUUCCUACGCAUAUUCAGAUCUUCCUAUGGAGAGACCAGCAACGAGAGAGGGGUGAGUGCAUCUUCAUACCUUUGAAGAUCUCUAAGCGGAAGCGUUACUAGAACGCGGUUGAUGGAGUCGUACUCGCGGCGAUUCAGAUCGCGGUGUGAUUCCGAUCUAGUGCCGAACUACGGCACCUCCGCGUUCAACACACGUGCAGCCCGGUGACGUCUCCCGCACCUUGAUCUAGCAAGGAGGAGGGAGAGGUUGGGGAAGAACUCCAGCAGCACGACGGCGUGGUGUAGAUGGAGAGACGAGGUCUCCUGGCAGGGCUUCGCCAAGCACCGGCAAAGAGGAGGAGAAAGAAGGGCAGGGCUGCGCCGAGGGAGAGGGAAAAGUCUAUCUCAAAACAGCCCCAAACCUCAACUAUAUAUAGGGGGAGAGGGAGGGGGCGCAGCCCUUAGGGUUCCCACCCCCAAGGGGUGCGGAAGCCCCCAUCUGCGCGAGGAGGUGGCGGCCAGGAGGGGAGGAGGGGUGUGGCGCACCCCUGGUGGGCCUUAGGCCCACCUGGCUUAGGGUUUUCCCCCCCUUCCCUCUCCCCUGCGCCUUGGGCUGAGUGGGGGGCGCACCAGCCCACCUAGGGGCUGGUUCCCUCCCCCCACUUGGCCCAUCUAGCCUCACGGGGUCGUUGCCCCCCUUCGGUGGACCCCCCGGGCCACCUCCGGUGGUCCCGGUGGUCCCGGUACGUUACCGGUGACGCCCGAAACACUUGCGAUGUCCGAAACCAUCCGUCAUAUAUAUCAAUCUUUACCUCCGGACCAUUCCGGAGCUCCUCGUGAUGUCCAGGAUAUCAUCCGGGACUCCGAACAACUUUUGAUAACCUCAUAUAACAAUUCCCUAUAACCCUAGCGUCAUCGAACCUUAAGUGUGUAGACCCUACGGGUUCGGGCGACAGGGAGACAUGACCGAGACACCUCUCCGGCCAAUAACCAUCAGCGGGGUCUGGAUAAUCAUGGUGGCUCCCACUUGCUCCACGAUGAUCUCAUCGGAUGAACCACGAUGUCGAGGAUUCAAUCAAUCCCGUAUACAAUUCCCUUUGUCUGUCGGUAUAGAACUUGCCCGAGAUUCGAUUGUCGGCAUACCUAUACCUUGUUCAAUCUCGUUACCGGUAAGUCUAUUUACUCGUUCCGUAGCACGUCAUCGUGUGACUAACUCCUUAGUCACAUUGAGCUCAUGAUGAUGUUCUACCGAGUGGGCCCAGAGAUACCUCUCCGUCACACAAAGUGAAAAAUCCCGAUCUCGAUUCGUACCAACCCACAGACACUUUCGGAGAUACCCGUAGUGCACCUUUAUAGUCACCCAUUUACGUUGUGACGUUUGAUACACCCAAAGCACUCCUACGGUAUCCAGGAGUUGCACAAUCUCACGGUCGAAGGAAAAGAUACUUGACAUUAGAAAAGGUUUAGCAUACGAACAAUACGAUCUAGUGCUAUGCUUAGGAUUGGGUCUUGUCCAUCACAUCAUUCUCCCAAUGAUGUGAUCCCGUUAUCAAUGACAUCUAAUGCCCAUGAUCAGGAAACCAUGGUCGUCUAUUGACUAACGAGCUAGCCAACUAGAGGCUUGCUAGGGACACAUUAUGAUCUAUUUAUUCACACAUGUAUUACUAUUUCCUGUUAAUACAAUUAUAGCAUGAACAAUAGACGAUUAUCAUGAACAAGGAAAUAUGAUAAUAACCAUUUUAUUAUUGCCUCUAGGGCAUAUUUCCAACACAGGGAUGCUCCAACUCAUUCAUGACAAACUAGCCACAAGUUGUGUGGGAAACCUCAACCACGAAAAAAUAGCAGUCUCCUGGGAAUCCCGGUGGAAGACCUCCCAUGCUUCCCGAGCGGACCGAUAGGUGGAAUCAACAGCGGUUGGGGCGGUAGCGACGGCGACGACAGCUCCAUCUCUUUCUACUCCAUCAACGAUAGCGGUUUUUUCGAGCCGAGGUUAUCCAUGGAGCAGCGCUUGCGGAUGGCAUAGAUGUGGGUGGCGAACACAUGUAGUAGCCAAGAUUAGACCCAUGGCAUCGGCGGCGUCUUGUAAGUAAUCCCUAUCCUCCCUCCUUCUCUGGAUUAGGGUUAGGGUUAACGUAAGCAAGGAUUAGGGUUAACUUAAUUUGGAUUGUGAGCUAACUUCAAUACAUAAGUGUUUUCAUUAGAUUGUGUACUGCUAAAUCUAGUGUUUUACUGAAUUUUUAACACAAGGUGUGUAGUGUUAACUGAACUUUUAACAAAAAGUGUGUAGUGUUAAAAAUAAGUUUACCGAAAUUUUUAAAAUUGUGUACUAUUAACAGUAUUAACUGAUUUUUUGAAAGAAAGUGUUAACCGAAUUUAUAACUGAAAGUGUUAACAUAAUUUUUAACUGAAAUUGUAAAGUGAAUUUUUAACUGAAAUUGUUAACUCAAUUUUUAACUCAAGUUGUUAACUAUUAAAAAUGAAAUGUUUUCAUGUUUGUUUAUUUAAUAUGUCUAUCGCUAACUGAAUCACGGUACUGAAUAAUUGAAAUUUUCUUUGCUUUUAAGUUUGUAUGAAGAUAUUUGGGAGGUUAGGAUGCAUUUUGUUGCUCAACAAACUUUGGCAGGGAAACUUUGUGGUUCAGAUAUAACUUAUUUAAAUAUAGUUGCCCUGGUGGAAACCCAAGGAUUUGAUGUGUAUGAUUCUCUGUAUCACAUAGAAAAUGUAGGUUUAGGAGAGCAAGGAUUGGAAUUGGUAGAUAGUAAUGCUCAAUUACAAUUGAUAAAGAGACAGAAUAAGCAAUCUUUGGUGCUUAAUUUUCUUGUCAGGGCAUGUCCACCCCAUGUUAGUGAAUUUCAGAGGCUAGAAUUUCAUAAGAAAGAUUUAUCACCAAUUGUGUAUCAAGAGCAUGUUGUGCUUGAUCUCAGUGUCCCUCCUAUAUUAGUUGUUGAUCAACAAGGGGUUGUGUUUCAAAGUGAGUGCAGUAGCUCUAGUGCAGGCCAUACUCCUCCUGUUUGCACACAAGAAAGCAGGAAUGUAAAUGCCAAGUUGAAAGUUAUUUUUGGAAGAAGAAGAAGAAGAUGAAGAUGGAUAUGGAGUUAGGUAUGAUGGAUAUCAGGACAGUGAUGCUUCUGCCUGUGAUGCUAAAGGACGAAGAUAUGGAGGUGGUGGCGACACACACCCGAAUCAAAGUUGUCAGAAUCGGGACUCGAGUCUUAGAAUCUUACGACCUUACAAUCCAAAGUAGGCCCUCCAGUUCUACAAUUUUGCUCAUAUAUUCUAAGUUUCUACGAUCCUAAUAGUUAUAAUUUUAUGAUUCAUGAUCCUACCAAUAGAGCUCUGAUCCGAUUCAGAAUCUCGAUUCUCAUAACUUUACUAAUUACAUGUUUGGUACCGACGACAUAGAAAUGGAAGAGGUAAAGAGAUAGAGAGAGGAAGAACUAGAAGAUGAAGAAACUAAUGAUGAAGAAUCAUAGGAGGAAGAAGUGUUGCAUUAUGAAGGUGUAAAGAACUUGAGGAACUAUUUGAGAUGGAGGAAGCUGACACAUUUGUUUCACAAGAAGAAGAAACAAUAUUAGUACCUACAAAGAAGCAACCGAAGCUGCUAGUUAGGAGAGGACCAACAACAAGGUCACAUUCAAGUUUGUUAGAAGCGGUGGAACCUGAUUUUAAACCAUCAUCAGAUGAAGAACAGAAAGGUUUCCUGAAGGAGAGUGAUGUCGAUGGUUUUGAGCCACUUUCAUUUUCCUUACCAAAUAAAGGAAGAGUUGGGAAAAGAAGAUGCAUGCUAGAAAAUGGAGUAACCACAUCAGCAACUCUUUCUACAUAUGUGUUCCAAGGAUGAACAUCAAUUGAGAGAUGCUUUGCUGAAUUUACACAUCACUUAGAGCAGGGAUUUCAAGUAUCACGAGAGUUCAGAUCAAAGGAUAAUUGUUUAGUGUAGAGAAAAAACAUGCAAGUUCUUUAUUGUGGCAGCGGUUAUAAAAGGGGAGAUUUUUUUUAAUUAAGAAGGUGAGACUAAAGCACACUUACUACAGUAGUACAGGGACAACUAGGGUUAGUGCCAAGUGGCUAGCAAAGAAAUAUGAGUCCCUCUUCAGAUCUGAUAAAACUAGUGGCAUUCAGACAUUGAUUGAAGCCUGCAUGGAAAAAUAUGGUGUAGAUGUGCCCAAGUCUAUGUCAUAUAGGCAAAGAACAUAGCUAUUGAAGUUGUGUUAUGAGAUCACAAGAAGCGAUAGCAUAGGCUAAGAGAUUAUGCUCAAACUGUUAUGGAUACAAACCGAGGAAGCAGAGUAAUAGUCACUAUUGUAACUCCAACACCUACUAAAACAUUUCCACACUCAGUCCCAAGAUUCCAUGCCAUGUUCUAUUGCAUCAAUGGAGCAAGGGAGGGAUUUCUAAAGGGGUGCAGAUCAUUCACCGGUUAGUUUCUGAACCAUGUGCAAAACUUACAUAUUAUUACCCAAUUAAAUGCAUUUAUUAAACUAACUAUUGUUUCAAAUGUUUUUUUAUGUUUGUUAAUGUAGGUAUUGAUGGAUGCUUUAUUAAGCUAACUACUCAUGCUAAACUACUUGUUGCCCUAGUAGAGAUGGCAACAACACUAUAUACCCACUCACAUUUAGCAUUGUUGGACAAGAGGGCACACCUAUCUAGUGUUGGUUUCUACACCAACUUAAGAUUUGCCUAGGAGGAGAAGUGGGACAGUUUGGACCAUAUACUAUAAUGUCUAAUAGGCAAAACUUAUGUUUAGGCAUAUUUCAUUCUGUUUUGCACAUUUGUUGCUUACAUGUUUGUUAUCAUUAUGUUAGGCAGUAGCUUAAAUUGUUAAAUUGUGUGUACGAGGGGUUACUAAAUGGAGUCUUUCCUAACUGCAACCAAAGAUUCCGCCUUAGAUAGUUAUAUGCAAACUUCCAAAACGUUGGGUUUAGGGGUAAAGAUCUUAAGAAGUGCCUCGAUAAUGCCAGCUAUACCUAUAAUGAACACGAAUAUAAUUUUGCAAUGAAUGAUCUGAGAGUUGAGUGUGAGAAAGCUUUGAAGUGGCUUAGUGCAAUACUAAAGAAACAUGGGCAAGGCAUGCAUUUGACACACAACUUGUGUGAGGUGUUUAACAAGUACAUACUAGAUGUUAGGAGAAAAACUAUAAGGACAAUGUGUGAUGGAAUAAAGAUAUGUAGAUGGUGAUGUGUCACAAGAACAUAGAGAGUGGAAAGACAACUAGAUGGGAGAUAACACCUCAUUACAGUGAGAAGCUAGAGAUUGAGAAGGAGAGUGCCAAAUAUUGUAAGCAUAUACAAGCUCGAGUUAAUUUAUGGUAGGUUACAAGUGGGCAACAAACACAUGUUGUCAACUUGGAACUUGAGACAUGUGGUUUAAGAAAAUGGCAUCUCGGCCAUGGAACCAUGCAAUCUCGACAGUAAACAAGGCUAAAAGAUUUCGAGAAGAUUAUGUGAGAAAAUUAUUCAUGAAGGAAUUUUAUGUGGCAGCUUAUGAACCAAUGAUAUAUCUUGUUCCUAGUGAGCAUGAUUGGACAAGGACCCCUGUUCCAGAAAUAGAACCACCUGCAUUUAAAGUGAAGGGAGGAAGAAAGAAAGAAAAGAGGAUCGAGGAAAAUUUUGAAGUGCCAAAGCCAGAGGACACAUCAAGAAUGGGGACUAUAACAUGUGAGAAUGAUGGAAUACAAGGGCAUAGGUAUACAAGAUGUCUUAAGCAGUUGAAUCUUGAGCUAGCUAUGAGGAAGUAAAAACAUAUGGUAAUAAUGUUUUCCAUUCCACGUCACUUCACUUUAAUUGAUAUUUUGUGGUAGAUUACUUUACUUGUAGUAUUAUUAAUUGUUUUCCUCUAUGUGUAUGCAAGGCUACUCCAAGUAAUUCACAACAAAGAGGUUAUGCUCAUGGUCCUGCUCCUACUCCUGCUCUUACUCUACCAACAAGACAACCAAGAGGUCCUGGUAUUGGAAGAGGUGGUGCUGGAACAGGUGGUGCUGGAAGAGGUGCUGGUAGAGGUGGCACUGGAAGAGGUGGUGCUGGAACAAGUGGUGCUGGAAGAGGUGCUCGCAGAGGUGCUAGAAUAGGUGGUGCUGGAAGAGGUAUUGCUACAGGUGGUACUAGAGGAGGUGGUGCUGGAAGAAGUGGUGUUGUCAGAGGUGGUGUUGGCAAUGGUGAUCCUAAUGCAUUCUCUAUGCCAAGGUAAGCUGCUUCCUCCACUUUUGGUGCUCCUCCUUCUGAUGGUACACACACUGGAUGGAUGGCAUACUUCACUGCUAGUGGUAACAUAUAGGGGGCUUGAUGUGCCAUGUAAUGCGUACUUGAUGCUACAUUGUGUUGUUAUUUUGGUUCAAUUCUACAAUGUGUUGUUAUUUUGGUUCAAUGCUACAAUAUGUUGUUAUGCUACAAAUUGAUUCUUGCAUGAUUCGGUUUAUACUUGGAUGUUUAUGUUGAUGGAUUCCAUGUGCAUGCAUGGUUGAUGGAAACAGAUUAAUGCAAUUGUUUAUGUGAUGAAUGCAUACGUUAAUGGAUAUGUUGACAAAUUGGGUCUAGGGGAUCUCGGGGUCGACGAAACCCCCUAAACCUAACAAAUUGGGUGUAGGGGGUCUUGGGGUCGAUGAAACCCCCUAAACCUAACAAAUUGGGUCUAGAGGGUCUCACGAUUGACGGAACCCCCUAAACCUAACAAAUUGGGUAUAGGGGUCUCGCGGUCGUCAGAACCCCCUAAACCUAACAAAUUGGGUCUAGAGGUCUUAGAGUCGAUGGAACCCCCUAAAUCUAAAAAAAUGGGUCUAGGGGUCUCGGGGUCAACGGAACCCCCUAAACCUAAUAAAUUGGGUCUAGGGUUCUUGGGGCACCGGGAAUCCCUUAAACCUAUCAAAGUGGGUCUAGGGGGUCUCGGUGUCGAGGAACCGCCUAAACAUAAGAAAUUGGGUCUAGGGUGUCUCGGGGUCGCCGAAACCCCUAAACCUAACAAAUUGGUUCUAGGGGGUCUCGGAGUCAAGGGAACACCCUAAACCUAACAAAUUGGGGUCUACAAAUCAUAAUAGUAAAUACUUAGUGGAGUUCAUAAAUUCUAGUGUACAAACUAUAAACAUAAAGAACAUAAAAUAUCUAGUUUGGAAAUUCACAAAUUCACCCAUCUUCCAAAGCAUGAUAUCUCACAAUCUCACAACAUCCAUUGGAGUUCAACAUAAUAUAGGCAUACACAUCCAUUGUUCAACUUAAUUACAUAGAGGAAUUGAAAUACUUAAUGGAGUUUAUCCUUUUCUCAGAAAGGUUGAAUAGGACAAUUAUUACAUACAUACACAACGAGAGUUCACAUUUAAUACUACCAUACAUUAGAGCAUCUCCAACGGCAGCGCAAAAAAUCCGCGCCCAAUAAAUUUUUUAGCACGCCACUCUAGCAGUUUUGAAGCGCGGGGACCGAAGCAUCUCCAACAUACGCGCGUUAGUGCGGCGCCCAAUCCAGUCCGAUCCAGCGGUACCAUCUGCAGCAGCUCAGAGUUUGCUGCGCGCACAAGCCGGCACACCAAAUAUGCUGCGCGCAAUAGCGUUUUUGAGCGCGCGCCCAAAAGUUUUUAGCGCGUGCAGUGUUUUGCAGCUUCUGCUGGAGCAGUCCGGCGCCCAAAAAACGAAUCUUUUAGCGCACGGAGCAGUUUUUGGGCACCUGUUGGAGAUGCUCUUACACAAACAUAGUUCUAAAUUACUAGGUCAUUACAUAACCAUACUUCCCAAAAGGUAUACAAUUCCCAUUGAUCUCCUUCACCAUAUUGAUCAUUCAUCCAAGCAAGCCUGGAUCCCCUUCAUGUUUGCUUCACCUUUCCCUCAACCAUGAUGACCUCAGCAAUCUGAAUCUGUAACUGGACACUUUUUUCACCAACCUUCUACUUUCCCUUAAGCAAAUCAGCAACCUCAAGCUUCAGAUCUACCUUCUCUUGGGUGAGCUUCUCCUCAUUCUUUGUGAGCUCUGCAUUUUGAAACUCCAAUUUUAUCCUACCUUCAUUGAUAAAUUCCUUCUCUUUCAUAUGCUUCAACUUCAAGUUUUGGAUGGCUGUUGCUUGAGCUCUUGUGAGGUUCACUAAGAGUUGAUACUUCUCCUCGAGCUUCUCGUGAUGUGCCUCUUUCUUUUCCAUCUCCACCUUCCUAUGAGACACACUUCAUUCCUCCUAUCAUGUGCACUAUUCAACAUAGUUUGCAAAUAACUGAAAUCGAGCACCCCGUCCUCCUCGAAGUUCAUAGGUUCAUGCACAUUUUGCACCAACUUGUCAUAGUUGCCAUCCAGAGUUUUUUUUCUCUCUUCUGUCAGAUGGUGAAUCAUGAGAGCAUUUUCAAGAUUAUCAUUCACCCUGACACUCUUGCUAUCUUCAUACAUUUUCCAUAGCAACAACAAUGCAUUCUGCAUUGUUGGGGGCUGAUGGUGAUCAACCCAUUCAACAAAGCAACAAUUUUCAUCUUCCUGCAAAAAUAGAAAUGCAACAAUUUGUUUAUUACGGAACUUAAGCAUUGUUCAAUAGUGAGUUUAAAGCAACGGUGAGUACAUUUCAUCUAAUUAUUUGACAUCACUAACGCAAUUAGUUGUGAGCUUUUCCUCGGAACUACAAAUUGGCUUACUACAAUUUAACUACAAAGCCUAGCUAAAUACACUACAUUAGCAUAUGCAUUACAUUAACAAGGAAGUUAAUAUAAUAGCUAAUUAGAGUAUUAAGGCAAUGAAUGAAUCACUACAAAGCUUGCUAAUUAGAGUAUCUAAUUAGAGUACUAUAUGCACAAUACAUGAGCAUAUAUUUAGCAUAAUAUCACUACAUACACUGCAUUGAACUAAAUAUUCAACAUCACUACAAUGUCAACUAUAAUUUAGCCACAAACAUGAGCGAAUCACACUUAGCUACAUUGAUACAACAAUGAUUCACUGCUUACCCACAAUGUCAACUCCCACUGUCAAGCGUGUGCCACUGUCAAAGAAAUGUGCAUGAAACAUACCGGCUGUGAACAAGCUAAGAACCUUCUCCCUAUGUAUGUUCCUUCAAAUGCAACAAUCCUCCUAGAUGCCUUGUCGUGCUUCUCACAUAACACCAUCAGAUCGAGCUCAAGGCCAUUGUAAUCCGGCUCCUCAAUUGAAAAUGGGACCUACAUAAGCAAAUCAAAGUUAACAUCAUGUGUAGACAAGGAGGAAAGCAAAUCUAAGCAAAUCCCCAAAUCAAAAACCACCUAAACAGAAGAAAAAAACAAGUUCUCAAAACUUAACCCUUACCAUAGAAAUGAACUCACCUGGUUAAGACCGCCGGUCGACGAGGGGGAGUACAUGUACCGGAGGCUCAAGUUGGAGUCGCUCCUUUCGUCCUCGAAAACCAUGGCGGAGGAGACAGAGAAAUCGAGGAGGAACAGAAAGAACCCCACUCCUUCCCAAGAGCUACCGAGCCCGAGACGGACUAGUCCUCGUCAGCGCGUGGGCACGCGCCGAUAGGCCAGCGUGGUGCCUGGCCGGGGGCCCAACCCGUAAGAACAUCCAUCAAAAAGUAUAAACAGUGAGUUUAGUUGUUUGUGCAACAGCCUGCCCCAAAAUCGGUACUCGCAUGCAAUAAUUAUCAAUCUUGGUAUCAAUACAUACGUACCGCUUUAAGUAUGAUACUUCCAUGCAAUUAACUUUUCAACUUUCAUGUCAGCACGGACAAUUGGGACAUGGAUCUGUAGAAAUCAAGUCUUUUCCGUACUCCUACUUGUACAUCGAAAAAUGAUAGUAAGAACAUCCGCAUUCUUGUUAACUAUUAACACUAACCACCUGUCGUAAGAUAUAAUAUUGCCAUUCUAGCAACUUAGUCGCUUCUCAAAUCUGUCCUCUAUACAUCUACAUGAGAAUUAAUGAUGCCUCAUCUAACUCCUAUGCCAUUUAUUUUGUGUUUUUUAUUUUUCCUUUUUUUUCUUCCUUUACCAUGCUAAUUGUAGUAUUUUAAUUCUCAUCUAGGAGUAGAUGAGAGCUAGCCAUUACCUAAAAAACAAAAUCAGUUUCCUGACUAUUAUAGCAAAAUUGGAAUGUCACAGGUAAAGCCAAGAGACAGCUGAGAGCGUGAUGAAAGCGAGCAUAGACAAUAAUGCAAUGCUACUGUCAAAUUAUUAUUUUGUAUAGGCCCACCACCAAUUCAACCAAAUUACGAGUCAAGCUAGCCCAUAUCGUCUCGCUCUCUGCUGCUCCUGGAUAGCACCAGCCCUACACUACACUACAGUCUACAAUGGCGAUGGACACUCGGCGCGCCGCGCAGUGGGGUAACAUUCAACAUAUGCGUGUGCGGUAGACAUAGAUCACGGGUGCGCUCGUACAGCUCGGCAUCCCGUCACACUCAGAGUCACACAGCCAUGUCGUGAGGCCGAGAGAGCAUCCACGUGACGUUCCAUCCAGAGGCCGGGGGAGAGGGGAUGAGGGCGCCGCCGCCCUCCCUUCUUCCUCUCCUGGUCGCCGCCGCCUUCCUGUCCCUCUCAAUCGCCACAGACAAGAUCGACCAGACAGCGUCCAUCGCCGGCAACCAGACGCUCGAGUCGGCCGGCGGGGUGUUCAGGCUCGGCUUCUUCGUCCCGCCCGGCAGCUCCGACGGCAGAGCCUACGUCGGCAUCUGGUACGCCGCCAUCCCGGAGCAGACGGUCGUGUGGGUCGCCAAUCGCCGGAACCCGGUCGUGAGACCUCCCGGCGUCCUCAGCCUCUCCGCCGAUGGCCGGCUUGUCAUCCUCGACGGUCGUAACGCCACCGUGUGGUCCUCCGACGACGCGGCCGGCUCGGGCGGCGUAGCCACCCGCGCCACCGCGCAGCUGCUCGACAACGGCAACCUGGUCGUGAGCCAUGGCGGGGAAAGUCAAAGUGGCUCGACGGGUCGGACCGGCUUGGCGUGGGAGAGCUUCGACUACCCGACGGACACGCUGCUCCCCGGCAUGAAGCUCGGGGUGGACGGCAGGAGCAGCAUCUCCAGGAACAUCACGUCGUGGCGCAGCCCGGCCGACCCCUCGCCGGGGGACUACACGUUCAAGCUCGUCAGCGGCGGCCUGCCGGAGUUCUUCCUCUUCCGGAACCUGUCCAAGACGUACGCGAGCGGGCCGUGGAACGGCGCGGCGCUCACCGGCGUGCCCAACCUCAAGUCCAGGGACUUCAUAUUCACGGUCCUGUCCAACCCCGACGAGACCUACUACACCUACUACGUCAGCGACCCGUCCGUGCUGUCGCGGU